rnacentral:lncRNA from 1 species
GAUUUAAAAUAGUCCGAUAUAUGAGAUGUAAUAGGGUUAAGCUUCUUAAUACUAUGUAGCAUUUUGAGCGAUGGUUAGAUUCGAGAGAUUAAAAUGGUUAAGCAUGCUAAAAUUAGAAUAGUUCUAGUAUAGAGAAAGCGGGGCAUCAUACAUGCAGCAAUUUUUUUUACGACUAUUAUAUUUUUACAAUUAAAAAGGUUUCAAAAUCAAAUAAUCUCCAACUCUACAUCUUUAGUUUGCUUUAAAAUGGGUUCUUUUUUCCAAAUUGGCAAGUAAAGAAUGAUAUUUGUGUAAGCAAAGUUUUUACUUUCAGUCAACAGCACGCCAAAUUAUUUACAUAUGUGACAAUCCUUUUUAAGACAAUAAUAUUAUUUGUAUAAACCAUUAAAACUAGAAAAAUAAAUUUGGUUUGCAAUAAGUAAAUCUAUCAGUCGCUGCAUCUUAAAUUUCCUUGCUUUAAAAUAUGGCUAAAUUACAGAAAACCUCCCUGUAAUAACCCGCUUUUUCACUUUCCCCCCCUGACAUUUAAAAACCUACACUUUGCCCCCUUGUAAAAUGAAAAAUGUGCACUUCACCCCUUCCGUUAGGGUUCCGUUAGGGGUUCUGUUAAAAAAUAUUUUUUUAUACCGAAAAUACCCCUCUGCCUCUUCUCGGAUGCUUCGCUCCCUCCGGCUCGCCGCUUCGCCGCUUCGCCGCCUUGCCGCCUCGCCGCCUCGCCGUCCUCCACUGCUUCGCCCUCGCCCACGUCCCCUUCGUCCUCCUCCGCAGCCUCGUCUUCGCUCUCGUUGUCCCUGUCUACCUCUCCAUCAACACCCAUCGCCGAAAUCGAUGGGCGGCGACGGUGUAGGAGGAGAAGGGGAGCUGGUGGAGAAGAAAUUUGAGAGGAAUCGUGGCCGAUUGAGGUGGAAAACCGGCGGAUCGAAGGGGCGGCUGAGGAAGCUCAGGAAGAAGACAACAAUGGCGAGGGGCAAAAUGGUCAUUUUACACACCGUAACCCCCCUGUGAACAUUUUUCAUUUUACAAGGGGGCAAAGUGUAGGUUUUUAAAUGUCAGGGGGGGAAAGUGAAAAAGCGGGUUAUUACAGGGGGGUUUUCUGUAAUUUAGCCUUAAAAUAUACUCCUUCCCAACAUAGCAAGUAAAGAGUAGGACUUUAUUUCUCAUACUUGCUAAUUAAUACAUUACUUUCUAAUUGCUUUGUUCAGCAAGUUGAAAGCCAUUUGGAUCUCUCUGCGGCUCUUUAAUUUCUCCAUAACGCACAAAUACAAAUUUAAUCAUUCGGGUACGCACACAUUUAAUUUCUUACAUUAUUCUUAUUACUUAUCUUUUGAUUUUUAUUUCAUUAUUUUUCUGAUUUUAUUAUUGGUUAUUGUAAUUGAGAUUUAAGGCUUCUUUUUAUUCAAUAGGGAUUAAGCCCCUUAAAUAACAUGAUUACAUAACUGCAAAAAAAAAAAAAAGAACUUCUAAUAAUAUAAGAUAAUUAUUCAAAUAUUAAAUCAAGCUUUGAAGGAAAGAAAUAACAUUCUAAUAUGGUAUGUAAUUAAAACCCAAAUGAAAACCAUGGUAUAUGGUUUAUUAAACAAAUAUAUUGCUUUUCUAACACAGCUUAUUUUUUAAACUAUUUGACACUUUAGCAAUAGUUUUAAGAUCUAUAAAUUUUUAUGUACAAACUAUGUAACGCUCUAGAUUAGGUGUUUUUNNNNNNNNNNNNNNNNNNNNNNNNNNNNNNNNNNNNNNNNNNNNNNNNNNNNNNNNNNNNNNNNNNNNNNNNNNNNNNNNNNNNNNNNNNNNNNNNNNNNNNNNNNNNNNNNNNNNNNNNNNNNNNNNNNNNNNNNNNNNNNNNNNNNNNNNNNNNNNNNNNNNNNNNNNNNNNNNNNNNNNNNNNNNNNNNNNNNNNNNNNNNNNNNNNNNNNNNNNNNNNNNNNNNNNNNNNNNNNNNNNNNNNNNNNNNNNNNNNNNNNNNNNNNNNNNNNNNNNNNNNNNNNNNNNNNNNNNNNNNNNNNNNNNNNNNNNNNNNNNNNNNNNNNNNNNNNNNNNNNNNNNNNNNNNNNNNNNNNNNNNNNNNNNNNNNNNNNNNNNNNNNNNNNNNNNNNNNNNNNNNNNNNNNNNNNNNNNNNNNNNNNNNNNNNNNNNNNNNNNNNNNNNNNNNNNNNNNNNNNNNNNNNNNNNNNNNNNNNNNNNNNNNNNNNNNNNNNNNNNNNNNNNNNNNNNNNNNNNGUAGCAAUUAAGCUACCCACCAAAUAUCAAAUGACCAACCAACUAGUGGUGGUAAGCUUAAUUAACAUUUAAUUUAAGGGUUAAUUUCAUGAGUGUCCCUCUACCCAUAUCUAAUUACAAAGAAACCAUCCAAAAAUUGUCAAUAUCAAAAAUACUUUUUACAUUUAGAAAGAUUAUAUGGCUUAAAUGCUCAUUUUAACCCUCUUACCUUUUCAAUUGCUGUAAUAUAUAUUAUUUUCAAAAAAAGAAUGCAUUUUUUAUUAAUUAGUAUUCUUAUGUUUAUAUUUUUAUUACUUUUAUUUAGACUACUUUGGGUAUCCUAAAUAAGGAAGCUAUUCCAAGAGACAUAAAUUAAUACAAAAGUCACAAAUUAUAUGUUAAUUAACUAUUAUGAGGGGUAAAUACGUCUUUUUGGUAUUCUAACUUAAGCAAAUUUGACGAAAUUAAUGGACAUUUGCAAUAUAAUUUAUAGAUUUGUAGGAGUAAUAUUGAUAUAUAUUGACAACUUUGAAGAGGUAUCUUUGAUAUUUUUUAAAUUUUGAGGGGCAUGUUUGAAUUGCCCCUAAAAAAAAUGUUCAAAAAAUCAAACUUUCCAUUGAUCACCCCUAAAUCGAUAUGAAAAUUUUCCUUGUAAAGUUUAAUAUCAAUGUAAAUAAUUUUAAAGGUGUGUGAAAAAGUUUUAAAACAUUUUACAUAAAGUGAAAAAAUUUGUAUUUAAUUAGUAAUAGAGAAUCUGAAAGGCUACGAAGGUUUAAAUUUUUAUUUAAUUAUAUUUAUUAGUGGAAUAUUUUAAGUUUAGGUUUUCUUAGUUGAUAGAGUAAUUAAUAAAUCAAGAGUCUAAAACAUAUUUAGUACUGCACAAGUAUAGAUAAUUUAUUUAAUUUUUUGCUUUAUAGUACAAUGUAGAUGCAGAUAUAGAUGGGCAAAAUUGCGCUCGUAAACGCACGUUUAGAAUGAAAAAUUAUAGCAGAACAUAAACAAUUUAAUCAAAACGUAGUAAGCGAAAAGAAAUGAAAUUUUAUUUAAAUGAAAAGGGAAAAUUAUUUAAUUUUACUUACUAAAGAGUGAUUAAAACUAUUUAACUUGAUAAAAUCUCAUCAAGCAAUUUGAUAAAUUGAUCCUUUUUUUUUCCUUACAGUUACUUAGUUCUAAAAAAUCAAAAUUAGUUCCAGAAAAAGUGUAAAUCCAAAAAUAAAUAAAUUAAUUAAUUACUUAUAAGUUAUAACAAGGAAAACCUUUUCACCAUCGUAGUUAUAGUGCAUAGGAUUUGCAACACCUAAUCAAAUAUCUCCCUAUUACAUAAAAAUAAAAUAAAAUAAAAUUACUAUUUUAAUGUACAAUUACUUUUUCUUUUCUUUUUUUUCUAAUCGGGCUUUUUUUUUUUUCUAACUGUUUUAAUUUACAACCCAUUCAACUUAAUUUUUAAGAUUUAAAAUGCAUUUAAACAAAUUUUAAAAUAUAUAAAAUUAUAAGUUUAAAAUCAUCAAAAAUUAUAAGUUUAUUAAUUUUCAAACUUUAAAAAUAAAUAAUGUAAUAUUUAAAACUGUGUAAAUUUAAUACUCUUUAUUUUCAAAGCUUUUAAUUCGUAAUAAUUUAAUAUUUCACAAUCUCUUACAUACGUACCUUCAAGUAGCCACAACCCACAACGGGUGUGUGUGUGUCUAAAAUUAUGAAAAUAUCUCAAUUUGUAAUUAAUUAGAUAUACUGUUUUUGUUUGAAUAAUAAAUCAUAUAUAUAUAGAGGCCAGGUUAAUUUGUAGCUAGCGAGCAGGGAGAAUUAUUAAUUAAGAAAAGAAAAGAAAGCUACAAAUUAAUUGACUAGCUCGAUCGAUCGGUGAAUAUAUAUAUAUAUUAUUCUCUGCACAGAUGGAUGACGAUCGAUUAAAUUAAAACCCAGCUAUCAACAUGAGCAUCCGGCGGUUUCCCUACGAAAGGCAAAAGGAUUUUGUGCUUGAAACCUUGCUCAAUGGAUCCUAUCAGAAGAUCUACGUGGAGGCAUGGGAGGGAGUCGGGGCGACCGCUUUACUCCGAGAGGUGGCGGAAGCGGUCGAGAAGUCGGAGAAGCGCGAGUUUGAGACGGUGAUCAAGGUGGUGCGGCCCGCACCAUUUCGGAACGGCAGGGAGAUGCAGAGGGCGGUGGCGGAGCAGCUGAAUCUUCUACUACGAUCUCCUUCGGUGACGGCUGCUGCUUUCGACGCGGCGGACGAAAACGACGACUUCUCGGGUGUGGAAUUCAGCUCAAGAGGCCUGCUUUUGGAGGUCGCAAAGGAGAUCUACCGAGCUGUGGAGGGUCGUAUCGUGCUGCUCGUCUUUUGCAAUAGUAUUGCGGAUGACAAAUUAAUUGACCCUAUUGAUUUGGGUAUUCCUAUCAUAAAGGGGUUGAUCAGCAAUGCGGUGUUGUGGACCUCUGGGAUGACUAUUAGCAGGGAAGCCACGUCAGUGACUGCGGAUUAUAUCGUAAGGUUUCGGCCAUCAAACGAAACAACCGCACUUGAUCUUGUGUACAAGGAGGCCGUCGAGAUUGCCCGAUAUAUUGACGAGAGCAGCGGUGGGCGCUUGCGGACCACCACGGAAUUAGUCCUCCGCUGCUUUUGGUAUUGCCUGCUGUUGUUGCGUAGAGCAGCGUUUAACCGAUCGGCACUACUACCCGAUGGUGGUCGGCCCCUGGAAGAUGCUGCCAAGUAUUUUGUGUGCGACGGAAUUUUACCAGGAGAUGAUGCGGCGGCAUGGGAGAUUGGGAAAGCACUAGCUCCGGUGAUUGGACCCAUAGUAAAUGAUCAACAACUGCAAUAUUGGCAGGAAGAAUUAACCUCUUCCACUUGGACGCGGAGGGAGGAAAAGAAAGAGUUGUUGCCCCCGAAGACUUUAUUGGUCGACUCUACCACAUGGGGAGAUUGGGUAAAGUUCUCAUUGCCAUCAUCGGAGGAGGAGGAGGAGAGUUACCGUUGGAUCUCAGUAUGCUUUCCUCAAACUAGUAUUCCAAAGCCAUGGGAUUUCUUCUUCGAAGUAUGUCGCAGUUCAGUCACGUCCGACGUUUCAUCCGUCUUCUUCGAGCAUUUUGAGGAAACGCACGAAGCUCUACCGGACGGCUUCUUCGUCGACCAUUUCAGCAACGUUCGAGUGCUAGACCUUCUCGGCUGCGUAGUAAGUCCUAUAGGACAUUCCUCCUUCCUUCGUCUUCGCAACCUGAGAAUGCUUAGGCUGGAGCUGUGCAAAGUAACUUCUCUUGAUCCUAAUUCUCAUUCUUCAGCACCAGAGGGGCGACGAGAACCAUUACUUUUUGAUAACUUAUGGGUCCUGAAUUUAUACAACUCGGAUGCCGAUGCAUUUCUUUUAGGAGGCAAAGCCUUUGAGCUCACGCCUAACCUCCGGGAGCUCGGUCUCACUGAUUGCGAGGGUUUACAAUAUCUAAACUUCAAUCUCCCUACAACAAUCGAAACAAUCAGCCUACAAAGGUGCGCAUCGCUAAAAGAGGUGGAGCUAGUCGGCCCUGCAGCUGCUCCUUUGCCCAACCUCAAGACCUUCCGCCUCAGCGGCUCUAAGCUGAUCGCCAAGCUCUCCCUACAAGGAUGCCAUAAGUUGGAGAACGUAGACCUGCAGGAAUUGACGGGGCUCGAGGUGCUCGAUCUUUCAUGCACCGCAAUAAAAGUAGUGGAUAUCAGCAAACUCCCACAACUGAAGCAAUUAUUUCUUCUCAGAUGCAAGCAACUCCUUAGAGUAGCCGGUCUUUAUAAAAUAUCAGAAGAACUAGAUGUGAUGUACUUGGAUAACUACAACGGCGGCGGUGCUUGCGACGUCGAUCGGUGCCUUGAUUCUUUUCGAAAUCAAAGACUAAGUGAGUUAAACAAAGGGAUUAAUGAUGCUGAUCAAAGAUUAUUCCAUGCUCAUGUGGUCGUGAGGGAUGUUAGGCUCUCCCGGUCACUUUAUGAUGCUUUUUUUAAUUUAAGCAGAGCAAAAUCCUGCUUCCAUAUCCACGUCAAGGGUUCUUCAACUGCUAAGAGAGGCACUAAUAUUGGUACUACCACCAGAUUGAAUGCUACUAUAACGUCGGCAUCAUGUUAUGCAGAUGUUUUAAACACUAUGAUAGAUCGUCACCGUCGACAUCACCCGUCGCCACCUGCUAUGCACCUGAAUAAUCACAUAGAAGUUGACGGAGGUCACGAUUCCAGAAUAGUAAAGGAAUUUGCAUUUAGGGCCAUAAUGGGAUAUUUUGCUAAUUCUUUAUUCAUUCACGACAACACAUCUAAUUUUACCAUGGACAUUAAAUUCAGAGAUCUCAAAUGUUUCAGCAUUGAGAGGUGCCCUAAUUUGGAGUUUAUCUUCUCUUGGGAGGAUGAGUAUAAUUAUUUGCUGGAAUUAGAAAGCAUAUGGCUCAGCCAACUUCCGACGCUCAAAGCUUUAUAUAAACAAGGAAGGAUUGGGCAACUAAAGCAUAUUGACUUAGAGUUUUGUGCGAGACUAGAAUAUGUAUUUCCCCCGGUAUCGGAGCUGCAUGACUUGGAAACAAUCAACAUCCGUUAUUGCGGCGAUCUAACGGCAAUUUUCAAAUCUGAUGAUGAUGAUAAUAAAGAUAAAAGAGGAGCUGCUCCAAAGCUACUUCCGAAACUGAGGUCCAUCCAUCUACAGGAGCUUCCAAAGCUACAACACAUAUACAAGCUAAACAUUUGUGCUCCGUCGCUGGAAGAGAUCAAGAUUGUGGGGUGUUUCAAUCUGAAAAAACUUCCUCUUUUCGGCCGAUCGGACGCUCGUUCAAUGAGAGCUGUGAAGAUUAGCUGCGAGAAGGAUUGGUGGGAUAAGCUACAAUGGGAUGGAUUAGAAUCCAACCACCACUCCUCUCUCUUCAAGCCAAAACAUUGUCCUUACUAUAAGAAGCGUAUGAAAGCUAGAUAUUUAUGAAGCACAGCUCUGCUCCAAUGUUCAUAUGCAAGGUGAACCCCCUCUCUCUCUCUCUCUCUCUCUCUCUCUCUCUCUCUCUCUCUCUCUCUACAUAUUAAUUGUGUAUUUGUGUGCAUAUACACGCAUAUGUGUGCUUGAUCGUGUGCGUCUAUAUAUAUUGAUGUUUGCGAAGCUCUUCAUAUGCUUUUGAGAAAUAAGCUAGCCACAGUGCAGCAUGUUCUUUCUUUUCUAUUUACAGGCGUGAGCUUGUCUACGUGUGUAAAAAUAUUAUAUAUAUAUUUAAUUUCUUGAGACUUGAGUGUGUAAUAAAGAAAAUGUCUAAGCAUAUAUUUGACUUUUGCAGACAACAAGUGUAGUGUUCUUGACCUUUGAAUAGGAUUGGCUUCAGUAUUAGUGACUGGUCGACGUCUCUGGAGAGUGUCGGACUGAGUCGGAGUCAAUUCUGCACGAAUUGGAUGCAGAAUUGGACUCGGCGCACUCAAAUAGGCAAAACUGGAGUUUUGCCAGAUUCGGGCGCCCAGAACAUUGUUAGGGUCGCCCAGAACUGAGUGUUGAAUUUAACUGAAACUGGAAGCCAAUUCGGAUCCCAUGUUCCGGGCGCCCAGAUGUGGGUCCGAAAAUUCGACAUCGUGAAUAUCGCUUGCUUCGACGCGUGGCAGGCGGUAGGUGAGUUCCGCCGGAGCCAUGUACGGGCGCAGCACACCGCGGGCGGAGAGUCCGAGGAGCCUGUUUUGUGCAGGCCGGAUGUUCUGGUCGCCCAGAACAUAGUUCCGGGCGCCCAGAAAUGCCCGUUUCUGCAGGGACACUGGAUAGCAGCUUGAGUUCCUGAGGCUUUCUGGAUCAUUUUAACUCUCUAUAAAUAGAUGGAAUACGCCCCUUUGCUGCUCUUUUCCUCCCUUCUUCACAGAGAAGUCCCUUUUAGUAUCUCUACCCUCGGAUUUGCCUCAAAUUGCAUCAAACUUCCAUUGAUCCAGCUUGAGAGAGUGCUGAUUCUACAGUUCUUCAGCGGCGACCUCUAGUGUUUUGGCUCGUGCGCAACGUAGGAGGAUCGGAUUUCGACGAAACUUGGUUUGCUGGAUUCUAGACUUCCAGCACGAAGCCCUGAAUUGCAGAUUUUGGUUGAGGUUAGCUUGGUCGAAUUGAGGUUUUUCUGGACUGCUGUUGGUUUUGAGCUGAAAAUGGGAUUUUCGAGUUUUUCUUGAUGCUAUCUUUGUUGGCAAUGGGAUUUUGGACCUGAGUUUGAUCACCCUUCAGUAGUUGCUGGAUUUGGAUCUGUCCUCACCCGAAUUGGAGAUCAUUAGGUGAGUUUUGACAUUGGAAUUGGAUAAAUCCUAAGCUUAAAGUGCUGAAUUUGGGAAAUUGAUGGUUUUUAUUGGAUUUUUGGUGAAUUAGUGGUAAUCCAGAUCUGAGGGGCUUGUUGCUGGUUUGGAGGUGUUUCCAGCAGUGUUGCUUGUGAUCCAAGACAUCUUGCUGCCAGGAAUUGAUAGAGGUGGUGUAUCACUCGGUUUCGCUCCUAAGUGCAUGUUUAGUCGACGUGUAUAGUUCGAUUUUUGUAUAUCAUGCUUUAAUUCAUCGAUUAGCAUUUUGGACGUAAUAUGAUAUAAAUGCAUGCUGAAAUGAAUUGUUUUUAUUAUACAUGGUGGACUUGAAAUUUGACUUAGGAGAAAACCUGCGUUUUGACACCGUCAUAUGCUUAAACUAGCAGAUUUAGCUCUAGGAGUCGUGUUUCGAUUGUAUCGUUGCCGCGUAUCAGUGCGAUGGAUACCUGGGUAGUUUAGAAGGCAUUUACGCUCGUGCUGGGAUGCCGAGCUUAUUUUUCAGCAGAGUAUAGGCUGUUCGGGUCGUGGGUGCCUGUUCGGUGCGGUGGACCCAGAUUCUUGUUUUGAUCAGCGAUUAUGCCGAGGGCAACGUGGUUUGGUUUGUAGACCUGUUUUGACCCUGUUCACAUUGGACUUUGGCUAGUUGGAACCUGAUUGAGCUCGACAAAGAUCACCUCAUACUCGGUUGGUUAGCGCCGACGGAAGUGCAUCCGGAGUCAGGCUUUGGCUUUUCGCCGUUGUGCGUCGCUCAUGCCGGUUGGACUUGUCUCCGGACCAGUUGUGUGGAUAGAGCCUAUGUUGCACUGGGCGAGGGACUGUGUGUUCACAGUCCAGGAGGGAUAUGUCUACCAGUCCGCAUUGGAUUGCGCCGUACAGAUUGACUUUCCUGAAGUGGUUAGUGCUUAGAGCGCAUGAUAGUAUACGUGAUUUGGUAGCGGUUUAGUUUAUUUCCUGGCUUUUUGGUCUUUCUCUUCCCUUCUUAGACUUAGUGGGUGCGACCGAUGUUGUUUUGGGCGGUACCCACUGAGGACUACUUGUUUUUACAGUAGUUCUCACUCCUAGUUGUUACCCCUGUUUUGCAGAGCUACAGGUUUCGGCUGCUGCGCCUUCCGCAGAUCAGGAUCGAGGCAAGGGCGUCGCGAGUUAGAGCCCUACCCGACGUGCUGAGCUAGAGGUGCCCCUACUGCAGGUAGAUGUUUUGUUUCGAGUUUAUGUACAUAGUGGACUUAACUCGCCAGUGCGAGUAGCUUUGUAUUUUGGCUUUGGACUAUGUAUAUGAAACUCAGUUUGUUUAGCUUCUGUUUUCUCUAGCAGCUCUCUACUACUGUUCGUAGUAGUGUUUGAUUUACAGGUACAGCUAUCGUUUCGUAUACAGGGAAAAUUCCUUUGUAUACGGCGGAUUUGUCGGCGCGCCCGGGAAAAGUGUAAUCCGGGGCGUGUAAUCCGGGGCGUGACAACAAGGACGACAUUUAUUCAUUUUUCUUAUCUUAUUUUCUACUCUCUCUCUAUCACUGGUAGUUUUCUCUAAGUUAUGUGAACCAAUUCAAUUUACAUUAAUCUAUGUUACACAAGGGAUAAAUUACACAAAUUAUUAAUACAGUGAAGGUUGUCUAACAGUUUGCAUGCAUGAUUAAUUAUUUAGGUCUUACGUUAAUAGCCGAAUAGAUUUGAAUUGAAUUGGCAAAACCUGUGUAAAUUUGUGGAAUUUUUUUUUAUAGAUCCGCAUGCUUUGAUUCUAGAGAUCUCCAAAGAAAAAUAAAUAAAUAAAUAAAUAAAGUAGUAUUUCCAAAGUAACACGAAAGGACUUUCCGUUCUCUAUUACAUCCUAUGUAUUAGUACUUCACAUUCUCUAUUACGAAUCCGUCUAGAAUACUAUCGAUGGUAGAUUAAUAGUAUUUAUUAUUUAUUUUCUAGCCCUUAAAUCAAAUACUACUGUAACUACGGCUACUAACCAAAGUCAUCCAAAAAUUAAAAACUGGAUAGCAAAUACUUUUCCUUUAUUAUUGAUAGUAUUCUAACUUUACUCCUCUAUAACAUCCUGUAAAUUAGUAAGUUGUGAUUUUUCGUUCCUGUUAUUAAUGUAUCAUACAAGCCAUUUUAUUUGCUAAAUAAUUUUUUGAAGGUCUUUUUUAAAUCAUUGUUAUUAGCUUAUAUUUUCUGCAUUAUUUGUUGAGAAAUUUUGGCAUUUUAUAUCAGAAUUAGUCAGAAUUGAAGUCAAUUUAUGGCAUUUUUUGACUCCAGAAAAAAAAUUGAAAUUAAUGGAUGACUCUAUUUGUUGGUGCGUGAUAUGCAGAAAUUUUAUUCUGACUCUGAUUUAUGGGUGAACUGAGAAUUCCUCAUUCAAAUCUUCUCCAAUCUGACUUAGAAGGUUGGACUAAAAAUUAAACUCCGGCGAAAUUGAAACUGAUUCUUAAAUUCAAAAUGUGGCUAGGCCACCUUUCUUCAGACCAUGGCUGAGUACGGCACCCGGCCGCAAGCUUUAUUCAAAAUAACGUCGGCUUAUACAUUGAAUAAGGGAAAAAUAGCUUGUAGGGCAUGUUUGUUUCAUCGAAAGUAAAGUGAAGUGAAGUUGUUUAUUAUCAUUAAUAACUAACUACAUUUGUUAUUUGAUUCACCGUACAUUAUAUUUGCCUAUAACUCUAUUUUUUCAGGAUACUAUAAUUGACUUCGUCUCAGUGGCGGUGACGUCAAUAACCGGAGAAAAGAUAGAAAACAAUAAUGAAAAAUAAUGAAACACUAUAAUGAGAAAAAAUAGGGAAAUGACCAAACUUGAAAGUCAAUAAAUGAUCACUAGCAAAAUAUUUCUAAAUUAUGUAAAAAGAUGCUCAGCAGGGACUUUUUUGAAAGAAAAACUUAUAUUCAAGACUAACAUGAAAAGAAAAUAAAUUAGAAACUUUCUUGAAAUUGUCCUAAAAGUUAGAGCUCUCUUUAGAAAAUUCUAAAGUCACGAACUGCAUAACUAAUAACUAGUCAUUUCCACAAUCAAUGUCUAGUGCAAUUGGUUGAAGGGGUAAAUUAGUCCUGACAUUUUGUGGGAAAAAUAAAAAUUAAUAAUUUACUAGAUCUAGGAAGAUUCUAUUAAGGUGGGAUCUAUUGGCUUAUUCAAACAAUUUUUUUUAAAAAAAAACUAGUUAUUUGCAUUAAAAAGGAAAAAAAUUCCAACAUAACAGUACACUGCUGAGAAUGAUAAAUUGAACUUGAUAGCUAGAUAAACUUUUAACUAUCUCUUUAGUCUUCAAACAUACACCUGUAGAAUUAGGGAUAAUGCUAAGUCCUUUAUGACAUAGAAUUGGAGAUUAAGGGAAAUGUUAACCUACAACUUGUUCAUGAGUUGAUUAAUUAUCAUGGAUAUAUGAUGAUGAUGAUAUCAUGUGAACAUUUUGUUUAUUGCUUUUCUGAAGUGGUUGACCUUGUUGCCAGCAAGUAGUUAGAGGAUUACUCACAUGACCACUCACAAUGGUAAUGCAUGUUUAUUGGUAUGGAAGAUUAUUUCAAUUGGCUAAGUAGUGUAUCUUAAAAUUUUGGUAAAUUAUUCUUUUUCAAUUUGUUGAAUAUAAAAUGUUAACUCAUCAGCUAUGUAGUUAUGAUUUUUGAGACAAAGCAGAAGGUCGUGAGUUCCAAAAAUGCUCUGCAUUUGAUCUUCUUAGUAAUUGUUGAAUAACAAUCAAUAGUACGCAACUAGCUACAUUCUUAACCUUCCAAGUUAAAUAGAUUUCAGUAGAGAUAUCAUAUUCUUAAAAUUAUAUAGGUUUUGGGGUGGGCCAAAACUCACUAACAAUUGGCAUCAAAACAAGGGCUUAAAAUGUUGAAUUUAAACUGACAAAACAUCAUUCUCUAACAAUUUAAGCUUUCGGGAUAAUUUGAUCUUUUCACUAGUUUGAGAAUGUAGAGGCCACGUACAUCCAUUUACAUGCGCUCUGCACUAGUUUGAUAUUGCAGUGUCUAAAGAACACCCAUUUACAUGCUUAGAAGAUCCAAGGAAAAAAAAGAAACAAGUGGUUAAUUAAGUGACACCCUAAUAGUCCCACAUUGCAUGUAAAAGAAAUUGUGAUAGAGUAUAUAAGGAUUAAAAAGAAUUUAGUAUUAAUAAUUGGGCUUAAAUAUAUAAUUUUAGCCGGUGACUUAAACACAAUAAAUUAUUAGUACUAGUAAACUGAAUCGUUAGUGUUAAAACUUUCUUAGUAUUGCAACUUGUUCUAUACUUUACACCAAAUGAUGAAUUGCUACUAAUAUUAGUUUGACUUUUCCUCAAAGUUAGACUUUUCAGCCAUUUAUUAGAGAAUGCUAUUAUACCGUGCAACACAUGAUCGGCUCAGAAAACUACUACUUCUAAGUUUAUUUCACAGGAUAUCCUUUAUUCCAUGAAUUAAUAAUAUAAUAACUAAUAGGGUUAAUUGCAUAUAAUUUUCUAUAAACAUAUUGAAUAGCAAAUAUAUUCCUACAAAAUUUAACUUUUCAUUUUUAUCACUGCAAAAGUUCAGUGAUAAAUUCAUAGUUGCCCCUCUAGCUUGUUACCGUAUGCCCCAACUGUUAGAAUUAUACAGAAAUAUCUUCCCAAAGAAUUAUUUUAUGCAAUAACAUAAGAGAGGUAAACAAGUCAAUUUAACUCAUUUACUAACUUAGAGUUAAGUAUUUUAUUUAUGGUUUACUACAUUUUCUAGCGGAUCCUAACAAUAAGGAUAUAUUAGAAAACAUUUAGGACUUUUGUAAGAAUAUAUAUAGAUAAAAAGUUAAACUUUAUAGAUAUAUAUCUGUUAUUCAAUAUAUUUUCAGAAAGCUAGAUGCAAUUAACCCUAACUAAUUAAUGCUUGUUAGAACUUGCCUUCUGAAUGGUGGAGUAGCUCAUGUUUUAAUUGGAAGCUUAAUUUUAUCAUCUAUUUCACAAAUAAAGAAGCACACGACAAAAGAACCCAAAACAAUAAGCGCACAAAUAAUUAACGUGGUUUGUCCAAGGCCUACAUCUUUUUAUUUAUACAUUAGAAUAUAAAAGACUUUUUUUUUUUUUCUUAUAAAACUGUAAUUCUCAAAAUUUAUUCAAUGCUAGCUUUUUCUCGUACUGAGAAUCUACGGAAUUGGGAAUGAUUUUGGCUUAACUUUAAAUUUCUAUUUCUCAUUUGAUUAAAAUAUUUAAAUUUUUAAUUUGAGAUUUUGAAUUUGACUUUGAAUUUUGAAUUAAAGUUAAAACUACUUACUGUGCCCGGAUCCAACGUAGACCCCAAAUUUUCGACAACAUAUUGUGUCAAAAUUCAGACCCAGUUUAGAAUAAGAUGUCUGGGUCCGGUUUUUGAGCCAAAAUUUUAAAAAAUAUAGGUGAAAUUAAAAUUUGAAUUCAAGAUUCUUGUAUUCAAAAUGAAAAUAUCGAAAUCAUAGAGAUAGUUCAUAUAUCCUUGUAAAAUAAACAAUUUUAAGUUAAAAAAAAAUAAAUUGAUACAUUUUAAUUUUUACUAUUUAAACUAUUAUUGUUAAUUCAGAUCGUCGAACCGGUUUUGUCCAAAAUUUUUUUGCCCGGAUCCAACUUAAUUUUAAUUCGGAUAAAAUAAUCUGUCUCGACUUGAUUUUGCGGACAAAAUUUGUGGUCUAAGAUCCAAUAAGUUUUCGGGUCCGACUAAAUUAGUCAAGCGGGUCGGGUUGUAUUUUCCCAACCCUACAAGUUUGUAAUUUUAGAUGUUAACAUUGUUAAACACAAUUUUGCAUUUAAUACCCAAGAAGUUACUUUUUUAUAAAAUCAGUUAUUUUUUCAUAUUAAAAACUGUAUUAAUUUUUAUAGGAAAAACUUUAAAUACCACCCAUAUGGUUUCGCACUUUCUCACUUUAAUACCCUAUGGUUUGGUUUAAAGUGUAUCAUUUUCAUACCAUGUAAUUUUAUUUUUCUCUUUUUGUUAUCCACUCUACUAAUUUUUUUCGUUAAAUCAGUGACAAAGUUAAAACUAAAGGAUUCUAAAAUAAAUAUAAGCGGGGUAUCUUAAAUUUUUUGUAUAUGAUUUAACAAAAAUUCUGACGAAAAGAGAAAAACAAAACUAUAGAGUACUAAAUUGAUACACUUUACACCACAUGGUACUAAAGUGAGAAAGUGUGAAACGACAGGGUUGGUAUUUAAAAUUUACCCAUAGAUAAAUUAUAUGCUGGAUGGUCCAUGUACCAUCCUUAAUAUUUGCAAUUUUAUCCUUAUACUUUUCUAAUAAUAUUUCACAUGUAAUGUCCUUUAUUAUGGUUAAUUGAAGUUGAAGCUUUUCCCAACAAAAAAUAAAAGAAAAAAAGUAAGUUGCAAUAUACAGAUAAUACAGGGACUUAUCCAUGUAUUUUUAACCGAUCAAACAACGUGGGACGUGGAGGCACGUUCGAUCGGGGGAAUCAGUGGGCCCCACAUAACGUGGUCGGUCGGUUGAGCCGUUGANAUCCAACUUAAUUUUAAUUCGGAUAAAAUAAUCUGUCUCGACUUGAAUUUUCGGACAAAAUUUGUGGUCUAAGAUCCAAUAAGUUUUCGGGUCUGACUAAAUUAGUCAACCGGGUCGGGUUGUAUUUUCGCAACCCUACAAGUUUGUAAUUUUAGAUGUUAACAUCGUUAAACACAAUUUUGCAUUUUAAUAUCCAAGAAGUAACCUUUUUAUAAAAUCAGUUAUUUUUUCAUAUUAAAAAUUGCAUUAAUUUUUAUAGGAAAAACUUUAAAUGCCACCCAUAUGGUUUCGCACUUUCUCACUUUAAUACCCUGUGGUUUGGUUUAAAGUGUAUCAUUUUCGUACCAUGUAAUUUUAUUUUUCUCUUUUUGUUAUCCACUCCACUAAUUUUUUUCGUUAAAUCAGUGACAAAAUUAAAACUAAAGGAUUCUAAAAUAAAUAUAAGUGGGAUAUCUGAAAUUUUUUGUAUAUAAUUUAACAAAAACUAUGACGAAAAGAGAAAAACAAAACUAUAGAGCACUAAAUUGAUACAUUUUAAACCACAAGAUACUAAAGUGAGAAAGUGUGAAACUAUAGGGUUGGUAUUUAAAAUUUAUCCAUAGGUAAAUUAUAUGCUGGAUGGUCCAUGUACCAUCCUUAAUAUUUGCAAUUUUAUCCUUAUACUUUUCUAAUAAAAUUUCACAUGUAAUGUCCUUUAUUAUGGUUAAUUGAAGUUGAAGCUUUUCCCAACAAAAAAUAAAAGAAAAAAAGUAACCUGCAAUAUACAGAUAAUACAGGGACUUAUCCAUGUAUUUUUAACCGAUCAAACAACGUGGGACGUGGAGGCACGUUCGAUCGGGGGGAAUCAGUGGGCCCCACAUAACGUGGUCGGUCGGUUGAGCCGUUGAAACCCCUGCUUCCUAAAUUUAAUUCAAAAAAUUAAGGUGAAAAAUUAUGUAGAGCCCCCUCUACUAUAUCGAUUUUUGUAACAUGCUCCUAAACUUUGCUUGCUUUAUUUUUUUGGAAUUAAGUAUCGUUUAUCAAAAAAUUAUAAAUUUCAUCAAAUUUAUUGAUGAUUUCACUAAAGUUAACAAUUUUAAUCAUAACUAAGUAUAAAAACUCAAAUCAAAGAUACAAGGUGAGGGAUCUCAACCCAAAAAAUAAUAGUUGAAGAGUGCAUUUCACAAUAGAUAUAGUUGAGGGGUCUUCAUACAAUUUUACCCCCAAAAACAUUUAUCUCUCUCCUCACAAAACUCCUCCCCCACAUUGAAUCCCCUCUUCACCCUCUCUAGUUGUUGUUGUUGUUGUUGUUGUUGUUGUUGUAGUAGUUUUUGUUAUUGUUGUUGUUUUUGUUGUUGUUACCAUCUUAUUGCUUCUCCCUUUUCCUCCUCUUUCUCAUUCCGUAAUCAAGGCCACAUCUUUUUCCCCUCAUCUAAUUUGUUGGGCUCUUCUCUGUGCACACCAACUGUUUGAUUCUUUGUUUGUAUGGCAAAUUCCUUCACUUUCCCCUUCUUUUUUGACCUUUACGAUUAAAUUUCAUGUCUGAUUAUGGAUUCGGAGAAUUGGGUUUCGUUUAGUUGUUUGUAAGAUGAUACUAACUGGUUAAAAAUUGAAUUUUUCUUCUUGUUCUUCUUGUUCUGCUGCAGGAUUGUUGUUAAGGAAGCUCAUUUAGAGGGGUAUUCAGGGUUGAGAAGGUUGGCAAUAUGUGGUGCUGCGGUGGUGUAGAGAAGGAGUCGCAUGGGCCGCCCGUGAACCACUACGCGGCUCCGCCGGCGCGACCGGCGGCUCCAGGUUAGUUUUCCUCUAGUUGUUUUUAUCAAAUUGUUACUUACAAAGAUCGAUCUGAUAGGAACCAGUUUAGGCCCGUUCAUGUGCACAGCGGUGAUCAGGCGAAUCAUGUCAUGUGCGCACACAAUGGAGUUGCAAAAUUAAUCCCAAGACCUAGCGGAACUGAGGGAGCGUAGGAUUGGCUCUAAAACCAUGUUACUCAAAUGAUCAAUUUAGUGGAAAAUAGUCCGAUAUUUCUUCUGUUAUCAAUCUAACAUGUUUCAUAAUUUGAUCACCUUUUCUCUGUAGUAAGUGGUAAUGCAUUUGUCUUUCUCACAAACUAGUGCAGUUUUAGAUUGGAAAAACAGAGAAAGAAUCGCCUAUUUUGUUUGAAAAGUCAACCGCGACAUCAAGAUCUUGAAAACAUUAAAUAUUCUUGUAAUUACAUGUUGAUGCAUAAAUAAUGAUAGGUAGGUCAUUUUGACACUUUGGUUUUCUUUCCUUUUUUAUCUGAGUUAGUUGACUUUGUAAAGGUCUCGAAAACAUUAUUUUUUAGUGCCAAAGACAUUACUUUUUAGUGCUAAAGAGACAUUAUUGGCAUACUACAGAGGAUUGAUCAAAAAGAAAAGGUGGUUUUUUUAUAAAUUUGUUCUCUUAUUAUAGUUUGGUUAUUAAAUAUACUAGAUGUUCGUGAUUGUUCGAGCCUCAAUGGAUAAGUUGUUUCUGAAGCCAAAGAUGGACAGCUGAAUCUUAAGAUUUAAAGACCAUAAAUGAAGAGUUAAACAAUGGGAACGAUGAUGCAUGACCACAAACAAUUUAACAACUUCCAUACCAUCAUAGGCCAAAAGUUUUGAGUUCUUUUCUGCUAAGAUGUGUUGAAAUUGGGUUAUUAAGCAGUUUAAUGCUGUGAUCUCAUAUUAGAAAUAUUUUAAGGCCAGUAACACUUGAAUAUUUCUAAGGUUUAGUUCCAAUUCUUAUUCACGUAUCUCUCUAUGUAUAUAUCUGAUUCAAAUCUGAUUAUUAACAUAUAAAAGAUAUUAAUGCCAUGCUUCUUCCCUUACCUUAAAGGCUGACCUGUUGGCUGAGAAGCACUAGAAUGAUCCCUAACAUUAAUGGUAAAUUAGAAUGCUUCUUCCUUGGGCAAUAAAAUUUACAUUUUAUAUCUAUUAUGCUUGAAUUGGGCUAAUUCACAACUUAUGCCGAAUUUCUGACUGUAACCAUCCUUUUUCUUUAUUAUUAUGUAAUCUCUUCUGUAUUUUGCGUAAUCUCUUCAAUCUUCAGUACUAGAUUAGUCCUAUAUACGUAAUUAAGUCAUUACUCAUUAGUACCCAUACACUACACUAGAUGGGAAUGUGUUAUAGUAGUCAAUUUAAAUGUAAAACAAAUCUAAAUGUAAUGUUUUACAUUGUUCUGAUUUUUUUGUCUUCUUUCUGUGUAAUUUAGGUCCAAAUCGAGAGCAAAGAGCCCCAUAUCCACCCAAAAGUGCUGCACCUCAAAAGAUCUUGCCUAUUGAUGCUCCAGCCCUGUCUCUGGCCGAGCUGAGUCGGCUAACUGGUAAUUUUGGUGACAAUACAUUGAUAGGAGAAGGCUCUUAUGGCCGAGUCUUCUAUGCAACUUUAAGUUCAGGAGAAGCUGUUGCAGUGAAAAAGCUCGACCCAAAUGUCUCAAAUGAAUCCGACUCUGAUUUCUCUGCUCAGGUGAUUCUUUAAUACUGACAUAAUGGCAUAACAAAAAUGUUUGUAGACUCCCUCAACCGGCUUAACUCUUGGUUUUGAUCGAGUUAAUUCUUUUGCUGAAAUGGGGAUACUAUAUAUAGUUAAUGACUUUAAUAGUUGUUAUCUUUAUUCAACUAAUGCAAUAACUAAAACCAAAAUGAACAAAAGUUGCUGGGCGGCAACAAAUUGCGAGAUCCUUUUUAAAAUCGCCUAUUCGUCUCUUUACAUUUUAUUUUUUAUUUAACCUAGUGUGAACGAUACAGAAGUACUAUUAGAACUACUGAAUCUGGCAAUUGAUGGUAACUUUGAUCCCUUCUAUAUUCCCGUUGUUGAUGCAGCUAUCAAUGGUUUCGAGACUAAAGAACGAGAAUUUUGUUCAGCUGUUGGGUUACUGCUUGGAAGCAAGUAGUAGGAUAUUGGUCUACCAGUUUGCGGCAAAAGGAUCUUUGCAUGAUAUCUUGCAUGGUAUAGUCACUCUAAUUUCCUGCUUAACUUCAUUGAAAUAGCUUUGCAAUGAAGAAAAGAACAUAACAACUGAAUAGUUUCGAGAAAAAACAUAAAGCCAUCUCAAAUUUAGAAAUAUAAAUUGAUUUAUAAUAAGAUUACAUUCAAAUAUGGGUACCAUACAAUUAUAUCCAAAUUAUCCAUAUCUAUCCCGUAUCUACUUUGGAUUAAAUAAAUCUCCCUUUGCAAUUUUAUUCAAAUAUAUAUUUGUAUUUGUCUAAAAAGUAUUUUAUAGUUAAUUUUGUUUGGUUAAACCAUUUUCUAUCGUGCAUUUAAAUACGUGAGAUUAUUUAUUGUCUCGUGUAUCUCACUGGUUGUGGUCUCGUAUUUUGUACUUCUUUGUGGUAAAUCAUAGGGAAAAAGGGUGUAAAAGGUGCUGAACCAGGUCCAGUACUGAGCUGGAUCCAGAGAGUGAGGAUAGCAUACGGUGCGGCAAGAGGCCUUGAAUAUCUACAUGAGAAGGUCCAGCCAUCAGUUAUACACCGAGACAUCAGAUCGAGCAAUGUUCUUCUUUUUGAUGAUUUUGAAUCAAAGAUCGCCGACUUCAGUUUGAACAACCAGUCUCCGGACUCGGCUGCCCGACUCCACUCGACCCGAGUUCUGGGGACUUUCGGCUACCAUGCUCCAGAGUAAGUAAAUCAUGAUGGCAAUUUCACAUUAAAAAGAAAAAACAUUCCAAAUUUUUUAAUGAUCUGUAGAAAGAUUAAGUUACUUGAAUGAUUUGCUAGUCUUUUGAUUGUAUACUCGGUCUGGCUUGUGGAAUGGCUUUUCUACUCCAGAAAUGCAUGAGCUCCGUAAAAAAAGGCAUUAGCUAUGGUGAGAAGCUACAAAUGAGCUCUUGGUUCUCCGUUUUGAAGAUUUUGCUUUUGUCGGAGGUAGAAACUAUUGGGAUGAGUUCAAUAAGAAAGCUAAUAGUGCUUCUUCAAACAAUUCAUCUAAACAACACUUUUACAGAAGCACCAGCUGGCCGUAAAGAACCCUGAACAACUAACUUAAAAUAAAUAAAUAAAAAAUAAAUAAAUAAAUAAAUGCUAUCUAUUGUGAAUAGGAAUUCUAAUGAUUGAAUGUAUAUCAUCUCUUCGGUUCACUAUUAUUGCUUAAACUUACUUCAAAUGCGCUAUAGGUACGCGAUGACCGGGCAACUGACUCAGAAGAGUGAUGUAUAUAGCUUUGGUGUGGUUCUUUUAGAGCUUUUGACAGGGAGAAAGCCAGUAGACCACACCAUGCCGAAAGGGCAACAGAGUUUAGUUACUUGGGUGGGUUCAUCCUCCUCAGUCUCUCAUUAUCAUCAAAGAACAAUUACUCAUAUGUUCUAGCUAACAUUCCUUUAUAUCUAAAUUCUUCUAUGAUUAGGCAACUCCGAGGUUGAGCGAAGACAAAGUUAAGCAAUGCGUCGAUCCGAAGCUAAACAAUGAUUAUCCACCUAAAGCAGUUGCCAAGGUAUAUGACCUUAUCUCUCUCUAGAUUCCAAUUUACAUGUUUAGAUAUAAAUCCGGGCACAAUUAUUUAUUGAGAGAUACACCACUGCAAAACUGAAUUUUCAUACAUGCACUCGAUCAACUUAAUCCCUUUGUCCUUACCGAAAAUUUCUUUUUAAAUGUAAACCAACUUUCCUCAUGAAUCAGAUGAUUCUCGGCUUAAAAAACUAAGAACAAUAUGUAAUAAAAAAUAUAUAUAUACUUUUUUAUGGUAUGUAUGAAAUAUUCAAAUUUUGGAGGCAUGAAAGGUCCAUUCCUAUUGUAUUUAACUCUAUUGUUAAACUUUGAAAUGGCCCAAAGUAUAGCUUUGUCCUUUUAAAGUCUAGAUUUGCUAUAGAUAGAAAUUAGCACCAAAUUUUGGAGAACUUUUGUUUGGUUGAUAACUCGUCAUAAAAAAUUUAGUUGAAAUAAGUUCUGAUCAAUUGUGACGAUGAUUAAACCCUAAAACAUCAAAAUAUUUAUGGGAUUUGAAUUGCUCUUUUUGUUUGUGUUCAGUUGGCAGCAGUUGCAGCAUUAUGUAUCCAAUAUGAAGCCGAUUUCCGACCGAACAUGACGAUUGUCGUCAAGGCGCUCCAACCUCUUGUUAACACGAGAGCAGGACCCGACCAUUAAAUUGUAGAAUCACUUAUUUACUCUCCAAUUAUUGUUGUUUUUUUCACUUAAAUCCUUGUUUAGUUCCUUUUGUUGGUUGAGCUAGUUUUGCAAAAUUGGCGAUGCCGAUUUGUUGUAGCCUUUAAAUUUACUUACAAGGGACAUACCAGAAUAAGCUAGUAUUAUCCAAUACUUGAUCAAGGAACUUUGUGACUAUUACAAUAUUGUUUGUUAUAUGUAUUCUUUUUUUUUCUAAAUAUAUGAGAAUUUGUUCAUUAAUUAUCGGUAUCUUAGUGAUAUCCUCUUUGUUGGAAAUUGAGUACAUUUUACAUAAACCAACACAUGGGAGCUUAAUCACUGGUAAUUAUUGAGUCCAUCUUCUCUUACACACACCAUAUUUGCUUGUUCAUUGUUCAAUUUGUUUGAACAAAAUUACCAUUCAUGAAUAUCCUUUGGCUUUACACAUUUUUAGGAAACAAUUUAAUUUAUGCCUACAAGGAAUUUUUCAAGAUGUUUUUAUCAUUUGCUUGGAAUCACUUACUCAUUUGAUGUUUAAUAGGAAGCCAAAUUGAGUUUAUAGAUUACAAAAGUAGAUAUUCGUAACGCCCUUAUAAUCUCACCCACAUCAGAUGAAAAGGAGGUUAUGAUUUGAAAUAUAAGAGAUCACCACUCUAGUAAUAAUAACUGAGCUUCAGUAUUUUGAGCCAGUGAUUUAGAUUCAAUGAGUUAUUAUUGCUAGUAGGUUGGGUCGUUAUAUUUGAUAUUAAAGCUCCGAAAGUUUGAGAACUAAGUGUUUUGUUUUAGUUCUAUCGUCUAUCUCUAAAAUCUCACAUCGCCUAGUUCUUGUCUAUAAACGUGUGAUCGCGUCAGGUCUAAACGACGGGAGGUUCUAAUUUAAAAUAUAAAAUUAUUAUUGAUAGCUGGUCAAGUUGUUACAAUAUUUUAAUUUAAGAGUUUCAAUUUUAUGGAAACAAAAAAAAAAAAUUAGUUUUUUUAAGCAUCGCUGCUCAAACAACACUAUUAUAGAAGCUCGCACGUUGUUAUCAGUACAGAUUAAAUAUUAUUAGGAAUAUGAAACAAGUGAUGAAUUUUUUCCUUUUUGUUUUGUGUUUACGAAGGAGGCCCCUAACCUUCUAUUUAUUCCAAUUAGAUCCUUAAUCUUUUACCCAAGUUUCAUUUUAAGUUUAUGUUGCAAUUAGGUCCCUAACCUUUCCUAAUCAUUUCAAUGGGGUCCUUUCUGUCAUAAAAUCAUCAUCACAACAAUGUACCAUUAGAUAAAUUUUGAAUGCUAAUUUCUUACAAAUCAAACGGUAAAUUUUUCUCUAGUGUUCAUUUUAGAAUCUACUUAAUGUCCAUGUAAUAAAUAUUUAAAAUACACAUCUACUGGAUUAGAUCCUAAUUUAAUAUAUUGAUAAUCAUAUUUUAGGUGCGGUGUACAAAGCGUACCUAGUGGACAAUAAAAGAAAAGGAAGUACAAGAUUAGAAAUUAUUUUCUAGAUCUAGUCCUCCAGUUCUCUAGAUACUCAAUUGAAACUCCGUUAAAAGUUUAAGGACCUAUUUGCAAUAAGUAGACGGUUAGGGGCUCAACUGAGACUUGAAUAAGAUGUUGAUUAUCAAAAACCCCAAUCUACCGGGUUUUUAAAAUCCAUAUCCAAAUCCGUACCCGACCAAAAUCUGAAACCCGAAGUAAUUAUUUUUCUUUACCAUAUUUCAAAAUAUAUUUUAAAUUUUUAAAUAUAAAUUUAAAUAUAAAAUCAAAUAUUCAUACAUAUUAUGUAAUAUAAAAUCUAUUCGGGAAUUGGGGUCAAAUUCUAAUCAAAUACAGACAAAAUUCAUACCUGAACUUGAAUCUGUCAAAUCAUCAUUUUUUUAGACCCGUGUCUGAAACCAUAUUUAUUUAGAAUCAGGUAAACUCAUUCCGUUCAGAUUUGGAGUGGAUAAAUUUCGGAUAUUUGUACCCACUGACAUCCCUAGACGAAACAACCUAGUUGAAAUUAACCAAAACAGUGCUUCAAUUAAAGAUCAUGAUUUACGAUUAUUAUCUAAAUAACAAAAAGUAUGUUUUUUAACAUAACUUAAUCUAUUUAAAGACAAAAAUUAAUCACUAUUUUAAAAACUCGAAUUAAAAAAUAAAAAAUAGUUAAUUUAUUUAAAAUAUAAAGACACAGUAUAUAUAGACCUAAAUUGGGACUCAGGAUCUGUUUGGUUCAACAUAAAAACCAUGAAAAAUAAUUUUUUAUGGAAAAAAAUUUUACGUUUUGUACUAUCUAGUUUGUAAAAAAUAAUAAUAAUAAAUAAUUUUUCAUCAAUAUUUGUUUAGUUGGAAGAAAAAAAUUCACAUUUGUUCAGUUUGGUGAAAAAGAGUGAAUGGAAAAAAUUUUACAAAGUUUAAGUUUUCGUUUUUUUUUUAGAAAAACAAUAAAAAAAAUGAAAACUUCAAUUUUUCCCCCAAUAUAUAAAAAUAUUUUUUCGUAAAACUAUUUUUAUAUCAAACCAAACAAAUAAAAAAAAAUGUUUUAUAUCAAAAAUAUUUUUUUCAUUUAUGCAGAAUCAAACCAAUAUGCUGAGUACUGCACCAGCAUUAAUAACUAGAAAAGACAUAUAUCCCUGUCUUUUAUGAAAGGCACAUUUUCUAUGGUUAGGGUUGUCAAAUUUGAACUUAUUAUAAGAAAACAACAACCUCAAUUGACCUAUUGUCCUUUAACACUAUAAUAAUUAUAUAGGUAGGGUAAUGUUACACUUAUUCUCCAACUUGGGUGACACUUUAGUCCUCAAUUUUUAAUUUAUUAUAAUUUGUUUUAAAUUUUGUAGAUUAUUACAACCAAAUUUUACAGUAAAUUUAGUUGACUGAAGACUUAGAUGUUGUCGAUAUGGCACGGUCCAAAAUGCUUAAGCCCGAUGAUUAACGUUUAGACCCUAACAUUCUCAUCAGAUCCGAAUUCGAUCAUAGAUAUAUAAACCCGCAUAGCAUUUAGCACGAUUCUAUACGUGGCUCCCACCAAACUCAAGGUGUAGCACUUUAUCCCACAUAAUAUUUGGCUCUCACAUAUUUGACUGGUAAUCAGCUCUGAUUCUAACUGUAACAAUCGGACCAACUUUCAACUAUAAUGAUCCGACCUACUAACAGUAAUAGCUAGUUGUGUCCAAGCCACCAGUCCAAAAUAUGUAGGCCCAGUUAUUAUUACUGGAAUAUGUGAUCUUUUAUAUUUUCAGCAAGAAUUCAUUUCAUAUUUAAUGUGAGACUAUUGAAAUGUUACAAUAAUCUAUUAAACAUAAUGAAUCCACAAUAUUUCUUGCCACGUGGCAAGAAACCCUUUAUUCUUAGGUUAUUAGAUAAUAUCCAUCUCUUAUAUGAAUCCCCAAUAUAAAAUUUACGUUUCUUCUUCACUUCUAAAUGCUUAACCGUUUACCUCUCUAUAUUUAAUUACAUGCAUUAUAUUCCACCAAUUAGUGAGCUUUGUAACUCCAAUCCACUCCUCUCCACCAUUAAUCAGCACUUCUAAAUGCUAUGCUAAACCCUUCACCUCUCCACAUUUAAUUACAUGCAUCAUAUUCUAUCAAUUAGUAAGCUUUGUAACUCCAAUCCACUCCCCUCCACUAUUAAUCUCCACUUCUGAAUGCUCAAUCUUUCACCUCUCCACAUUUAAUUACAUGCAUUAUACUUCACCAAUUAGUGAGCUUUGUAACUCCAAUCCACUCCCCUCCACCAUUAAUCCCCUCACCCCCUCUUUCUUGCAUGACAUGUUAUUUUUCAUGCAAAAAUGAACAUUAUCAUCUAAUCUCUCACCCCACACUUAUCUCCUUCUCUCUAUCUCAUUAUGUUAACAAAGAUUAUGAGGAUGAUGAAGAAGAAGAGCAUGCGAAGAAUGUUGUCUCCUUCAAAAAAUAUCGUCCUGUAAAGUCCAGCCGCGCCCCAUAUAAGUGCUCGCUGGGCCAGUCUGCACUGGAGCCGUCGCUCGCCGUGAACCGCCGCCGCCUCGGCUGCCUCCUCGCACGGCUCCCGCGUGCCGGCAACUAGGCCGAGGGGAGCGCCGUCCUAGCCUCCUCUUCGCGGGGACGUUGCGCGGGAGCUUGCUUCUCAAGAAUUGCAGGAACUUUUUGGUAAAUCAAAUUGUUUAAGAAUUAGGGUUUCUGUGGUUGAUGUGAUGGCAAGACUGUGUCGGUUUAGAUAUCGCAGUUUGGUGAUGCAGAUGAGGUGUUUGUUCAUAGAUUACAAUGAAAAUCCAGAAAUGAUUCGGCGCAGGGAGCAACUACCAGCUGAAGAUUAAAAAGAUGUAUGAGAUUUGGAUGAGUAAGAGAAGUGCUCCAAAAAAAUAUUAGUUUUUUUAAGAUUGAUGUUUUUUGUUUUAUUUUCAUAUUAUGAUCAUUUUUUUGAGUAGACAUUGUUGUGGGCAAAAUUUUUUUCGUAGAUUAAAAAGUAUGAUGCGGAGAUUUGGAGCCUGAGACGCCAACCAAAAUUUUCUUAAGCCAGAUACGUUAAGUUAUUAUUUAUGUAUUUCAUAUGCUUCUAACUAUUAUUUUAUUUUUUUAACAACUGAAUUUAGUCAUGCAAAUUGACUGUGCUUAAACAUAAUAUAGCUUCCUAUAAGCUGUAAAUAUAAAUUUUAUUAAAUUAUUAAAAAUUUAUUUCUAUUAUCUAUCCGCUGCAUCGCGCGGGUCUCUACACUAGUAAUGGCUAAUAGCAUAUCAUACCGCUAUUUUUUCAGCGACAUAUUAUUAUUCAACCAACUAAAUCGACUUAUAUAAUUUGAUUAUAACAAUUUUAAAAAAAAAUUGAAUCAUAAAUUGUAAUAAACUAAAAUUUGAGAACCAACGUGCGGUGGAAGUUAAAAUUAUUACCAAGCAAUUCACUAGUACAAAGUAAUGGGCCCACAUUUACAUGUCCUAUAUAUAUUAUUAAGUUUUGGCCUAUAUAUCUCAAGUAGAUCAACACAAGACAGAUCUGUACUUGUUCUAGUAAUGAUGCAUGCUCCUGAAAAUUUUGUAUCUAUCUUCCUAAUAAUUGAUCUCAUAUAUAAUGUAGCAGGUAUCUCUACCAUUCAGUUUAAAAUUUUAUUUGAUUUGAUAUAGUUAUAAAUACAGUACAAUUAAAGAUAUUUCCAAUUCGAGAUAUUGUAACGAUGUUUCCAUCUCAUCCAUUUGACCGCUUGUUAUUUUGCGUAAUACAGCUAUAAAUACUUUUGUUUUUCACCAACUCAUCCGUCUCCAACUUCCUUCAAUUUGGGCGUAGUUUGAGAUACAAUUGGGUCUCCAAUUGCAGGUCCAACUAUAGCACGUACAUAUUAUUGGGUAUCCGGUACUCGCCCCGGUAUCGGAUCUUGAGAAUCCGCAAUCCGUUUCGAUACCGACUCCUGUGGAUCUGGUACCGAUUGUUGGGAUUUCACAACGGAAGCGUCAAAUCGAAUUUUUACCACAAACCGUCUUCUCAGCAAAAGCUGAUACAAUCACAAAAGAGAGAAAAAUCAAAACAGAGAAUAUAUGGGUAAAAUAAGAUUUAUUAAAUAAGAGAAGAAAUAAAAUUACACCUGACUCCUCUUCUGCAACUAAGUAGCUACAACCCGAGCCCUCUUUUUGAAUCUUUUCUAUCAUUCUCUCGUCUUUUAUAAACCUAGAAGACAACUCUCUUUCUCUCUCACAUGCACCCGUGCACUAGGUGCAUACAACCGGCCAACUCUCUCUCUAGUGCAACCCACCAAAUAGCUUCAACUUUUUAGUUGUUCUCCCCCUCACAACUUUUUGGCUUAAUAAGUUUAAGCCCUUAAUGCUACAUAUAUAGCGCCCACGAAAACGUACCCAACUCCUAAUAUAAUUAGGAUUCCGAUUCCAAUAAAUAUUUAAAUCUUAAUUGAUUUAUCUCUAAUAGAUUUAAAUAUUUAUUCCAAACUAGUUAGAUUCAUACUCUAAUUAAUAUUUAAAUCUUAAUUUAUCUCUAACAGAUUUAAAUACAAAUUCCAAUCCAACUAGAAUUAAUCUACAAAUCGAACCAAAUUCUAACACAUAUAACUACAGUUAACUGAACAAAAUAUUUAUGUUCAUAUGGAAUUACACUUGCAAUAUAAUUAGAAAUAUAUGUAAUCAAACAGUUCCUAAGUUUUUUAGACUACAUUUACUUCACGCUAUUGGCUACAGUGCACUAAAAUACUCUUUCCAAGUUUGACAUUUAUCGAUCAAUUUGGUUUAAAACGAUGUGUAAUAUUCACCUCUACAAACAAGGAUACAAUAAAAAUACUUCAAAAUUUUGUUUGUCAAACACACGACUAUAUAUCAUACGUAGAAAUCGAAAUAACACUUGUUCUUGGUGGAUCAUCAGAUUUUUACUUAUUAUGAGAACAAAUUCAACUUGGCUACCUCUCCUUUCACUAUUCUAAAUCCCUUCAAGAGUAGGCAAUCACCGAAUGAAAACUUUCAAUGAGUUUAUUGGGAUUGGCUUCGUAUUAAUGAUGAUUUUUUGAUGGAAUCAAAAAGACAUGCGCAUUUUGGUAAGAUCAAUCAUAAAACAAAUCUUAGAGACUUUUUGAUCCGAUAUAAUAUGGGCUUCAUUUGGGAUUAUUCGGAGAUUGCGUUACGUGUGGUGAGAAAGUAAGUUAGAAAAAUAUUCUGUUUAUUUCUGUACGUUCUGCGGUCCCACCAGAGAACGCAGAAGCAUAUCUCUAUAUGCUUUUUCCUUAAUUUCAUUUUAUCUAAUAACGUUAGAUAGGACUCAAUACCAAACUAAGCCAUAGUAUAGUUAAAGCUACAAAUAUUUUGCUUGAUUUACUAUAAUAGAAAAUGCUAAAACUUUAAAUAAUUUGUUUAAUUGUAUAUAGUUGGGAAAUACAUUUGUAUGUUUUAACACUUUAUAUAUGAAAUAGUGAGAUUACCAUUUACCAUUCAUUUUAAUGAAAAAAUAAUAUCUUUUCAACGACUAAGAUCUAGUUAAUAGUCUGACCAUUAAUUAAUUGAGAACAUAAAGUUCAGGGACCUAUUUCAAAAAGGCAUAUAGUCUAGGGGUUCUCCAUACAUUUUUUCCCCAAAAUAUUUAAAAAAAACACACAAAGAAAUUUAAGCUUGAAUCCAAAAUAGUAUUUUGGACUAGGCCAAAGUGGGUCCCAAUUUUGAAUGUUGCUAAGCAAUUAAAUAAUUUGAGUCCAAAAGGAGAAAAUCUCUCUUAUGCAUUUAACUGUUUCUGCUUUUUUCCAUUACAUUCCAUCUUAUAAUAUUUUGUUUUUGUCCUUGCAUUGAAGGGCUUAUAUAAAUGUUGUCCUCAUUUGAUAUUAAAAUGUUUGGGCACUUCUAUAAGUAUCCGCUUUACACUUUCGUAUUUUUCUACUUCUAAGAAACUUCUAUUUUAAUAUUGUAAUACGUAUUCUAAAGUGAGAGUGGUAUAUAUAUAUAUAUAUAUAUAUAUAUAUAUAUAUAUAUAUAUAUAUAUAUGCUUCUGGAAGUACGGAACUCUUCGUGCUUCUAAGUUAUUUUCAAUGUUAGGACUUUCAAAUCGACGAUCGUCUUCGUUAGACUUGAUCUAGAGUAUUUGAAAUAUUUAGAAAAUAAAUUUUGUAAUUUUUCGAUAUCAUUUGCCUAGUGAUCGAGGGGGCUUAAAAUCAAUCAUUUUAAUGGCCGUGAUGAGUCGUUUGCCGGUUUAAUAGUGUAGAAAUAUUCAAAUCACGUGAAAUUUUGAUAAACAAUUUUUUAUACUAAAUAAAACAAUAUCAAUAUAUUUGAUCUAAAAUUUUAAUAUCAUAUCACCAUAUUUUGUAAGAUUUUUAUUUUCAGCCAUUGAUUUUGAGCCCUUUCGAUCACUAGGCAAAUUAUAUCGAAAAAUCACGAAAUUUGUUUUCUAGAUAUUUCAAAUACUCUAGAUCAACUCUAAUGGAGUUGAUUAUCGAUUCGAAAGUCUCAAUAUCAAAAACAACUUAAAAAGCACGAAGAACUCCGUGCUUCCAGAAGCAUACCAGCCUCACUCCUUAUUCUAUGCAUAAAUUGUAUUGUACGGUAAAGUAAUUUACUGUAAUAAUCAUUACUCUUAGAACCGGUAAAAAUGCAUAAAAAAAAUUUUGUUUUCCUCAAAUUAGAAAACUAAAUGAAAGAUGUUUCCCACUAUUUACUAAUUAACUUUCUUUUUCCCUCAUUUUUAAGAAUAAAAUGAGAAUGUUAAUAGCUAUGUAGCUGUACAAUACAUACUAUAUAUGCAUAACGGUGCAAAAUUGCACUUUUUAAACUUUGAUGGGUUAAAAUAUAUGUUUUAGAAGAUAGGGGGUAAUACACAAAAGAUUAAUAUUUAUGAGGGUGUUUUCUGCAUUUUAGAGCUCGUAACAUGUACACUAACAAUCCAAACUCAAAAGCUAAAUUAAGUAGAGAAAUGCUUGUACAAUAUAUCCGGAUCAAAAUUCUUAUUGGAUUCUUUCGGCUAAUAUGAAUAUAAUAUUCCUUACUUCGCAUUCUGGCAUGAAUUAGGUGAUACAAAUUCAAUAUGCAUAGGCAGAAGAGACCAGGUUGAGCUGAGUUACGUUCAAAAUGGUAGGAGGUCAGUGUGGACUAAAUCAUAUUCAAAGUGGCGUGAGACUGAUUGGGUCACAAUUGAAACCCGUAAGCGCUAUAUUUAUACGCUUUAUAUAAAUUUAAUGCAUAUUUCUAAAAGCCCGAGUUUUUUAGAUUAAUAAUUAACGUCAACAAUCCAUCACUAUUUGCAUGUGACAAUAAAUUGCUAAUUUAUAUACUAUUAGUAUAGACACAUGAACAAAGUCAUGUAUUAGGUAUUAUUAGCAAAUUAAUUUUAUGAAAUCAAAUUAAUAUCCACUUGCGACGCACCACUAACACCAUAUUGAAUGCUUCUUUAUUUGAAUGCAUAAAAGGACAACAUACAAGUGCCAAAUAAUUGCAUUAAGAUAUCAAAUUUCAUCCACAAGAUUUGGGUUGAAUGGAAUUGGAUUUAGAAAUUUUCUCUUAUCCUCCAAAUCGAUAUGUUAGAGGGUGUUAGAUUAACCAUGUCAUAUACACAGAAAAAGUUAUUAAUAAAUAAUAAAAAAAAUUAUGUUAAAAUGAAAUAGACUUAGAAUUAGCUGCGAUACUAUGUUAUCCAAUAAAAAGGGGAUAAUCUUAACAAUCUCGUCAUAUCCAAUUUGACUCACCAAAGUAAACAGCCUAUAUUUGAGGGGGGUCUCCAUAAAUUUUUUUUAUUAUUUAUUAAUAACUUUUNAAAAUGAAAAGAAAAAAAAAAAAAAAAAUCUAAACUUGAGUCCAAAAUAGUGUUUUGGACAAGAGCAAAGUGGUCCCAAUUUUUUAUUGUUAUUUAGCAAUUAAGUAGUUGAGUUCAAAAGGAGAAAAUUUAUAUGAUGCAUUUGACUGUUUCUUCUUCAAUCUCUUUGCAGCUUAUAAUAAUUUUGUUUUUGUGCGAGUGUGUACUGUACUCACAUUAGAUUGGGACUUUUGAUUGUACCAUAGUUUAUGCACUAAAAAUCCAAUUUUAAUAUAUAGAACUUAUUAUAGGAAAAAGUGUCUAACAUCGUAAACCAAGGAAUAAAGUAGGCUUCGUCUGUGACACCUUGCUUUUUAUAGAGGUCAUUCAUUUUAGCGCGACUCUAAUCAUAAUAUAUUUAAUUCUCUUAAACUUUUAAAUCUACUUAUCAGCCAAAAUAUUAUAGCCGCACUAAGAGAUUUAAUCUUACUGUAUAUCUUAUAUAUAAGAUUAUUUCAAAUUCUGUGGGUAUCACAUUCCUACUCCCUUUAAGUUCUGACAUUUUCGGCAGACUUAAGCAAUCUCACAAGUAUCAGGUGAUAUGAGAGUCAUCUUGCUAGCCUAGUUAUUCAGUCCGUCUGUUAUUCCUAAAUUCUGACUUAGCCUGUCAUUCAGAUCAUGACUCAGCCAAACCCAUCUCACUCUAGCUGGCUGAUAAUUGACUCUGAUAUCAUUGGUAACACACCUUGCUUUACAGAGGAAUCACCUGUCCUAGCACUAUUUUAGCCCAAAUAUGUUUAACCCUCGUAAUUUUUUGGGACUAACUACUGUCCGAAGUACUACAACCGGGUUAAAAAUUUAGCCCAAUUAUAUAUCUUACAUAUAUGACUAUUUUAAAUCCUGCAAGUGCCACGGUCCUACUUGGAUUCUUUGUGAGAUAUUUAUGAAAAAAAUUAUAGAAGUUAUUAGCUAGUCUUGUUAAAAACUGAGUUAUGAAGUGUAAAAUUACUUAAAUUCUAUUUCGUCCAAAUAUAUAUUGGAGUCUACAGUUUCAUAUUGUUACGACAAACGCACAAACGGAAACGAAAAUGACGAACACGAAAUAAUCAAACCACAAAUAGAAAUAAAAGAGAGUACACAAAUUUACGUGAAAAAUUCUUUGCAGAAAAAAAUUACUGGCGAGGGAGGAGAAAGCUUCACUAUCGAAAAAAAGAAUACUAGGUUCGAGUACAACCCACACGAUAUGUUGCCUCUAGGGCAAAAACGAGAAAGAAAAAUUCUUAAUGGGUUUCGGAUCUGAUCCCUCCGCUACCCACCACAAACAUUCAUUUUUUUUCGAUAACUUAUUUUUCAAAUCGAUCGCACCGCAAAACUAUCGGCGAGUCGAAGUUCGAUCCGAACUGAAGUCGAUUAUCAAUUUCGAGUCACAUCUAAUACAUAUAUUAAGAGCAUAAGUAUUGUGACAUUAUGUUGCUCUCACAAGUUGAGUUUCACUGCUUUCACAACUCCUCCGGAUUAUUUUAUAUAGCUCCUAGUUAUUUUUUCAUUCAAAUUAGCACAUGGUAUAAAACCAAAUCGAGUUCCACACAUUAGAUACCACUAAGGGACCAUUUGGUUAAAUAUAAUUAUAAAUGCAGUGUAGUUAAAAAUGCAUGCAAUUAAAAAUAUAGCAGUUAUAACUAUAUGAAUCAUAUUUAGUCGGAUGUAGUAGAAAGUGCUGCAAGUAUAAAUAAUUUGUUUGGUUGCAUACAGUUGAAAAAUAAUUUUUAAAAUUUUAUUAUUUCAUAUAUAUAUAUAUAUGAUGGUGAGAUUACCUCCAAUGUAAAAAAGAAAAAAAAAAAAAUUUUGAGAGAUAGGUAGCACGCUACCAGCUUCGUUUAUUUUAUUUAGAAAUAAACUUAGCAAGAAAUAUGAAUCAACUAGGAUUCAAACUUGAGCCUCGGGUACCAACCACCGAGCCCUUUGCCACUUGCUCUGGCGACGGUUGGUAAAGGAAAAUAAUUUUUGUUUAAAAAAUAUUGAGGAGGUAAGCAUACCUCUUAUUUAAAAUUAUUCUCUCCAACUGCUGUAGUUGGAACUGCGGCCAAUUUAGGCAUAGUUCGAACUGCUAUAGUUGGGCAUCCUCCUGCAGUUCCUACUGCAGCAGUUGGAGUUAAAUAUAUCAAACCAAACACGAAAUUUAUAUUUAUAUGCAGUUACAAUUACAGUACAGUUACAACUACAUGCAACCAAACGGCCUCUAAAAGUCGUGGAUCCUGGCUCUGAUCAAGAAAGUUUUGUGCAAACCCGAAAGCGCCCUCCUAACAGAUAUAGAACUACUUGAUAUGGUAUAUUUUAUCCCUAUCUCAUCUAUUUUAAAUUUAAAUAGAAUCCUAAUCAGACUUUGAUGGGAAGUCGAUCUGGACUCUAUAUAAAGAGGUAUUGAUCCUGCCACCUUCUCAUAAGCAUUCUGGUGAAGAAUUACCAUCAGUUCCACACCAUACGACAGAGUGCCUGAGAUAGGGGAAGAAACCAAAUCACCCAAGUUCGAUUCGUGACUUUCAGAUCGUAGCCGGACUUCCAGCUUCCGCAAGAUUACUCAAGAAUCUCUUCUCUAUGGCGCUCUGUGAGUUAUCGUAUUUUUAUUUUUGAUCCUGGAUUUGGUAUGUAUUUAUUUUUAUUUAUUUUACAUAUCUUGAGAUUCCAUUAAUUGGAACCAACUAAAAAGCUUACAUUAAUAGAUGAAAAAUUCUUGCACAUUAAGCAUGUGAUUAAGAUGACUCUUCUUUUCCUCCUCCUUUGUUUAACCUCUUGUGGUCUCUUCUCGUUUCUUCUUCUUUCAUUCCUUCUCCUUUUUCUUGCUUGUUAGGAAACACUUAGAAUUAUAGAUAUCCUCAGAAGUGGAGUUUGAAAGAUCGAGAGGCCCGUUGCGAUCGCGUCGGUGCAGCUCAUAGUCAGGAGUAAGAUAGAUCGUAAGCAAGAUCUGGAUAAUUAUUUCUUUUUUAAUUAAGUUCUUUUUUAUAAUAAAGUUUUAAAAACUAUAUAAUUAAUGAACCCUCCAAUAAUAAAAUUAUAAAAUUAUAAAAAAAAAAAUGGGUGGUUUGUGGGGUCCCACGCUUGAUUUCUCCACUUUUUUAUCUUCCUUUGAUUGAAAGAAUCAUGAAAAAGUACAAAUGUCACUUGAUAUAUUUAUCAAUUAUCACUGUUACAGCUACAAGUUCGUGUGAUUUCGUACUUUCUCACCCUAUGUGAUUUCGUAUUUUUUUAUUGUAGUACCCCGUAAUUUAAAGUGUAUCAAAUUAAUAUUAUGUGGUUUCGUAUUUUCUUAUUUUAGCACUAUGUGGUUUAAAGUAUAUCAAGUUAGUGAUUUCGCACUUUCUCACUUUAGUACCCUAUAGUUUAAUAUUUCGUUAAAUUAUAUAUAAAAAACUUCAGAUACCCCAUCUAGAUUUAUCGAAUAUUCAUUUUAAUACCCUUUAGUUUUAACUUUGUCACUAAUUUAACAAAAAAAAAUACUCCAAAAUAGAUAAUAAAAAAAGAAAAAUGAAAUCACAGGGUAGUAACUUAAUACAAAAAUAAAACUACAGAAUACAAACUUGAUACACUUUAAACUAUAGGGUACUAAAGUGAGAAAGUGCGAAACCGCAAGGUAUUAACUUGAUACGCUUUAAACCACAGGAUACUAAAGUAAAAAAGUAUGAAAUCAUAGGGGGGUAUUUGAAGUUUUCCUUUAUUUAUUUAUUACAAAGGCAGCUAUAUGCCUCGCAUAUUCUUACCAAACACAAGCGUUUUCGUGUCGAACUCAUGUUCAAUGCAAACACGCUAUAAAUGCACAUUUAUAGUGUAUCUAAUUAAAAAUAUAUAUUUUUAUUUAUUUAUUUUUAUGUAUAUAUCAUGUAAUAUGACAAAUAUUUUAAUUUUUGGUUAAUGCAUGUAAAUUUUUAUUUUGACGAUAUAAGUAAAUUAUGUGUGGUGAAAUUUUUUUAAAAUAUAUGAACUAUCAAUAAAAUUUUUAUCAUCUCUUAUUCCUAUAGAAAAUAGCUUAAGCCGUAGGAGUCUGACAUGACUCGAACUCAAAACCUUCUGCUCUGAUAUUAUAUGAAACAAUCGUUGUACUCUAAAAACUUAAGCUAUUAGAGAACGAUGUUUAAAUAAUUUUACAUUCAACACUCCCCCUUGGGGGGGGGGGGGGCUCAAGACUUUUUUAGUCAGCCCAUGACGUGGGCUUGAAUUAAAUAGGAGAAAUUAAUAUGCUAGGAGCCUGGCGUGACUCGAACUCAUGACCUCCUGCUCUGAUACUAUAUGAAACAACCGUUGUACUCUAAAAGCUUGGGCUUGAAUUAAAUGGGAGAAAUUAAUAUUGAUGUCCACUCCAUUCGUGUUCUGAAUUUUUUUUGAAACCAUCCGGUUACCGUGUUCAAGUCAUGUUGUGUCUCCUGUUCCAUAUUCAUGUACACCCACAUUUUGUUUUUCCUCGAAAGGUGAGCCUUAUGUUUUGAUACUCAAUUUUAAUUAAGAAUAUAAUUUGUUAGAGACCUACACAAAUAUAUUAUUUGUUAGACAAAUAAAUAAAAUAUUUUUCUACCAUAUUUUUUUACCACACAUAACGCAUAUUCUCUAUGUCGAUUGAUAAUUAAUUUGACAAUUAGUUUUUUGUUUUACCAUUCACAAUUGGUAUCUCAAAGUUUCAUUUUUUUUUUCUUGUUUAUAAGAUUUGGUCAUCCAUAAUUUGAUAAAAUAGUAUGGUAUUUUAUACAUUUGAUCACAAUUCUCAUCUAUCAAAUACUAUAUAUUUUUUACGUAAAAUAAAAAAAAAAUAUGUCAAAUAAAAUAUUUAUAUAUCUAUUUCUUGGGAAAAAUGUACAAAGACCUAGUUGACCUUCAGCUAUUUUGCAAUUAGCCACCUAAACUUUCAAUUUUAGCAAUUCCAGUGCCUAAACUCUAUCAAAUAGUUUAGCAUACCCCUAUUUUCAAUUGAAAUUACUAAUUAUACAACUGUUUUGAUUAUAUAUUUUGGAGAUAAACUUGUAAAGCAUCAAAAUCUGAAGAAACUUAUUUUUCUUCCCUUCUAAUGUUGAUAAUUAAGCAUAAGAAUUAAUAAUUAAGCAUAAGAAUUAACGAAUAAGACGAACCAAUAGUUAAUAGAAAAAAAAUAAAAUUUUAAAUAUUUGUAAGAUUAUAUACAACACAUACAACCAAAAUGAUCGUAUAAUUAGUGAUCCUAAUUUAAAUAAGUGAUCUAUUGAACUAUUUUAUAAAGUUUAGCGGUCUAAUUGUCAAAAUUAAAAUAUCAAGGGGUCUCUGCAAAAGAGAAAAAGGUCAAGGGGUCUCUGUACAUUUUUCCUUUUUUUCAACAUUUUUAAUAUAAUAAAAUUACCGUACGAAGCCGCUGUAACGGGCGGGAAAUUUGCGCCGCACCAAACAUCCGCCCAUUUCGCGACCGAACCGGUCCCACCAAACCCGGCCCGGCCCGCUUCGAGACCGAACCGAGUCCCGAACCCGACCGGUGACCGGCCCAACUGGGCCGGUUCAUGAUAUUCUCACCCCAAAUUUCUUUUUCUUAUUCCUCCCACUUUUUAAUAGAUUUAAAAAUAUAUAUAUAUAACUUAUCUAAAUUAUACACUAUUUUAAAUCAGCUAUUCAAUAUUUCAAGAUUUCUAUUUUGCUAUCCAUCUUUCCAGUUGAUUAAUUUGAUUCUGUUAAUGACACUUUUAUUUUAAAAUUUAAAUGUAUCGUUUAUCUUUACAAAUUUAGCUAUUAUAUUAAUUUCAUGCAAUUCUCGCAUUAUAAAUUUUUUAAAAAUAAAUAAUUAAUUUAAAUUUUAAAGUCAAAAAUGCCAUUUACAGACUCAAAUCAAUAAAUUAAAAAGGUGGUCAGUAAAAUUAAAAGUUUAAAAGAUUGAAUAGCUGAUUUGAAAUGGUUCAUAUUUACGAGAAAUUAUGUACAUUUUCAUACUUUUAGUAAGGAAAGGAACAAUGUAAUGAAAACCCCUUAACUAUGCAACUUUAAAUUGCCCCAAAACUUUUGCACUGAGAUUCCUGAACUUUCCAUUCCUUUUUUGGUAUUAAAUGAUACUUUUUAAUAACUUCUUUAUUAAAUGUAUUGAUAAUUUUGUCCAUGUAAAUACUUUUAAUAUAUUUUUUAGCAAAAAAAGGUAAUUUUAACUUAAUUAAUUAAGUUAAAAUUAUGCACAUUAUUUACCAAUACUUUUAACAUAAUUAAGUAUUACAACUCAAAUAAAAAAAUAAAUAAAACAUAAGAAUGUGUCGAUCCAAAAAAAAAAAGGAUAAUUUCAUACACAUACGUACAAAGUUUUAAAAAUACGAGUUUAUUCCUGUAAAACUGUUCAAAUAUAUUCUUCUAAAACUCUAUAAAACUUUUACCAUUUGGACAAUUAUGCGCGUGUUAAAAAAUAAUUUUUACAAAAAAAAUUUUAGGAUUUAUAAUUUAAGGUUCAAGUAGAACAUGAUAUCUCUUUAGAGAUAUAUUUUGAAAACUAAUAUUUUGUAGGAUAUAUACUAAUAAUUUCAUUCCUUUGUAGGAAUACAAAUCCAAAAAAAUAAUAAUAAAGUCGAGGGGCUAAUUUCAAACGCAAUGCAGUUUGCGGGGUACCUAUGCAAUUUACGUACAAACUAGAAAAGAAGGUUAUCCACUUUUUUCUUAAAUCAUUAAUGAAUAAUAUUAUAAGAGAAUAUUCAAGGGUAGGUAUUAAAAAUAUUCUAGUUAUUUUUCAAAGAUCUAAAGUUUAGUUUACUUACAUACAUUUUUUAUCUUAUCCUUAAAAAAAGUAGAAAAUAAAAGCUGAGGGGCUUGUUUCAAAUAUGUCUAAGGUUAAGGGGGUCCGUACAAUUUUACCCAUAAAAGAGACAUAUUUUUUUCUAAAAAAAAAAGGAUUCUGUCACCAACAAGUGGCAAGAUUUUCAGGAAGGAGACAGGGACCUUAUUUAAUAAUAAUUAUUAAUUUUUUAAUCACAAUUUAAGGAAAGUUACUUAAAAAAAAAUAGUUAUAGUUGAAAUGAUCCAAGUGCAAUUAUUGCAUUUCAUUUAAUUAAUGUAUUAAUUACCAAAUUGGAGUACUCCACAAUUCAUUAUUAAUAAUAAUACACAAGAAGACAACCUACUAAGAUUUUUUUUUUUAAUAUCAAGGUAAAUUGUAUGAAGUCCCUCAACAAGAAGAUAUUUUGAAAUGGCCUCCUCAAAAUAUUUUUUUUGAAAUAUUUCACCAUUAGGAAAUAAGUAAUUUGUAAGAAUGAUCAAAAAGAGAUGUCUAUUAAACUAUUUAAUAAAGUUUAAAAAAUAUAAUUAUUAAAAUAUAAAGUUCAGGGGGAGGUUUGGACAUUUUACCCUUAACUUCUUAUUAUAACCUCAAUAAAUUUUAAUUAUUUUAAUUAUUGCAAAAAUAUAUCAUUAUAACAUAAUUUUAUUGGUUUUUAUAAAAAUAUUAUUAAUUACGUUUUUGUAAGAAAAUGCUACUUUUUAAGAUAUUUCAGAUUAAAUCUGAAUUUUUAGUAAAUUAACUAAAGUAUUCUUAUUCCACUUUCUCUCUCAUUUUCUCUCUCAUUCAUUUUUCUUCGCCCUCUUGUCUCUCUUCUUCUCGCUAUACCUUUCUCUCUUUCUUCUCUCGCUUUCUCUCCCUUCCUUAUACUCCUCCACCACCCCACGUAGAUGCCACACUACUCUCUUCUACUUCGCCCACACCUCCACCAACGCCGGCUGUAACAACGCAAGCUCGUAUAUGAAAUAGAUCGCAGAGGUGAGGCUACAGUGAGGGGAGCCGACGUGGAUGAUAAUGACAACGAGGGUGUCAUGGAUUUUGAGAACGAGGGAGAGGGAAAGCAUAUGAGUGCAGGGGCGGCUGCCAAGAUAGAGGGUGAGAAAAAGGGUGUGGUAGCGAAAAAUAAUGUAGAAGGUAGAAGAGAAAGACGAAAAAACAAGAAAAAAAAAAAGUAAAAAAAUAAAAAUAUAUAUUUUUCUUCUUCUAGGAAGGUCACCACGUGCCACUACCGCUAAAAAAAGGCCAACAAGCAGAGAAGAAAGAAGAAAAAGAAGUAAAAAUUACACUGUUUAAAAUAAAAUUGCACUGCUUGUGGCCAAGUUGUACUAUUUGAGACUUAAGUUGCAUUAUUUAAAACUAUUUGAGACUGAGUUGCAACUUUUCAAGCAGUGCAACUUAAGUCUUAAAUAGUGCAAUUUUUAAUUAUUUUUGUAGUGCAAUUUAAUCUCAAAUGGUUUUAAAUUGUGCAAUUUAUCCUCAGAAAUGCAACUUAAUCUCAAAUAAUAUAAUUUCGUCUAAGACAGUGGAACUUCUCCUUCUCCCUUUUCUUUACUUUUUGACCUUUUCUGUAGCGGCCACUGCACAUUAUGACCUCUGAGGAGAAAAAAAUGUGUUGUUUUUUCUUUUUCAUCUUCUUUUUUCUUCUCUUUUUCUCAUCCUUUGCAUUCUUUUUUGCUACAGUGCCCCCUCCCACGUCUUGUGCCGCAGCCGCAGUCCCUAUCCCCGCCCCAACACCCUCUUCCUCCCCAUCAUCCUCAAAUCCUACAGCAACCUCGUUGCCGUCGCCAUCGCCAUCACCAUCAAUGGCCGCAUUUUUCGCCACAACCUCACCCCCAUGAUCUGUAGCAAAUUCGAGCCCGCAUCUUAUCAUCAGCGUUGGCGGAGGUGCGGGUGAGAUAGAAGAGAGGAGCAGGCGUCUAUGUCGAGGCAAUGGAGGAGGAAGAGAAAAGAAAUGAUGCAAGAGAAGAAAAAGAGGCAAGAACAACGAGAAUGAGGGAGAGGGCAGAGAAAAAUGAACGAGGAAAAAAAAAGAAGAAUAAGUGUAUUUUGAUCAGUUUACAAAACAUUUAAACUUAAUAAGCAAAAUUUAAAAAGUAGUCUAUNAUAUAUAUAUAUAUAUAUAUAUAUAUAUAUAUAUAUAUAUAUAUAUACAUAUACAUAUAUAUGUAAAGUAGGACUACUAUACUCUUAUGAGUAUAGCCCCCUUUGUACUCAUAAGUUUUCAGCCGUUAGAUGAAUGAAUGUGCGGUUAGGAUGGCAGUGGUUCCCGGUUAAGAUGAUAGUAGUCCCCUAAGGUUGAGUGAAUUGUUGGUUAAAUAGUUUGAUCUAACAGGUGAAAAUGGUCAAAGGGGUAGAUCUAAUGGUAAAAAAUUUAUGAGUACAAAGAGGUCUAUAUUCAUAAAAGUAUAGUAGCCGGAUUCAUAUAUAUAUCAUAUAGAGAGAAAUAGAAAGUCCUUAUACUCUUAUAAGUACGAUCGACUUUGUACUCAUAAGUCUUUUCAAUGAUAGAGCUUUUGAACCAACGAUCCAUACCGUUAAAUAUAAUUUAGAGCAUUUGAAACUUCUAGAAAACAAAUUUCAUAUUUUUUUUAUAUCAUUACCGAAUAAUCAAAAGAUUUCAAAAUUGAUAAUUUUUAAUAACAGGUAUGGGACGCUCGCUAGUUUAACAGUAUGAAAUAAUCGAAAUGGAUUGAAGUUUUGACAGAAAAUUCUAUUCACUACGUAGGUAGAGAUCUAUAAAUCCGAUCUUAAAUUGAAGAAUAUGAUUCUCUAUUUUUAAGAAAUCGUUCAAUUUUGAUCGGGCAUUUUAUGACCGCUUGAUGGAUUUUAUUAUAAUUUCGAAAAAUUACGAAAUUCAUUUUUAAAAUGAUCUAGACCAUUUAAGCGAUCUGAAAAUCAAAUUUGAUACUUUUUUAAUAUUAUUCUCUUGUCCAUCAAGUGAACAUAAAAUAGAUGGUUAAAAAUAAAUAUCCUUCAAAAAGUAAUGAUACAACUUUUAUAUUCAAGAUUUAGAUCUUGAUUUAAAUUAUUUAAAGAAUUUUCUAAUAAAAAUCUAGUUAAUUUGGACUCUUGUAUAUCGUUAAACGAGCAAACGCACUGUACCGACUAUUAAAAUUAUACAUUUUGUAACCCAUUGAUCGUUUGAUUAGUGAUAUCAGAAAAGCAUAUGGGGCCUAUUUCAAAAUCUCUAUAGUUGCAGGGGCAUCCAUAAAAUUUUACCUUAAAUAGGAUGUUAUCACCAACAACCGGCCUGAUUUAUAGGAAAGUGAAAGGGACCUUAUUUUAAUAAUUAGUUUCUUAAUCACCCUUUAAGGAAGGUUACUUAAAAAGGUAGUUACAUUUGAAACCAUCUAAAUAAAAUUAUUGAAUUUGAUUUAAUUGUCGUAUUAAUUACCAAAUUGGAGUACUCCACCAUUCAAUGUUAAAAUAAUACGCAAGGCGACAACAUUCUAAGUAGUGAUGCAAAUGAAAAAAAAUUAAUCCAUUCCGAAUCCACCAAUUAAGAAAGAAAAACUUCAAAUAUCAUUUCUGUGGUUUCAUUCAUUCUCACUUUAGUACCCUAUAACUUAAAAUGUAUCAUUUUAAUACUAUAUAAUUUUAUUUUUUUCUUCCCACUUCGGUCGAGUGUUUGUGCCUGCUCUUACCUACCGUAGGACCUCCGUCCGCGAAGCGAAGAAAGAGGAGUAGGAACAAGAGGUUGGAAGAAAGCAGGUAUAUGAAAAUUCAAAUUUGACAGCUGACGAUGGAUCGCUAUUUUCUGAUCCGCUAUCCACUCCGUUAUUUUUUUUAUUAUAUCAGUUAUAAAAUUAAAAUUACAGAGUAUUAAAGUGAUACACUCUACGUAAGAGGUAUAUAUCUUAAACCCCUUAAAUCCACAUAUUUAUAAUAAAAAAAAUUUAGAUUUUUAAUAUUAAAAAAAUUGAUAUGGCAGAAAAAAAGAACCCAGCUUGUCAAAAAUUAGACUAUAAAAUUUACACUAUAAAAUUAGUUGCACAUGUAGCACUGCUCAACAAAUAUCUCAACUUCACCAAUUUGUUGACUUUUCAAUUGGGUAGGUUUUUUCUUCUUUGUUAUUAUUAUUAUUUUGUAUUAAUUAUAUAUAGUUUUAUGUAAAUAUAUCGAAUAGCAAAUAUAUUUUCACAAAGUUUAAGUUUUUAUUUUUAUUCCUGCAAAAGUUCUACCGCUUUCAAAUAUAUUAUUUCUUUUUAGGAUCCGUUAGACAAAUAUAGUUAACCGUGAGUAAAAUAUUCAAUCCUGGUUAGUAAAUGGGUUAAAUUGACAUUUUUACUCUUCUUAUAUUAUUAGGUAAAAUAUUUUUUGGGAAGAACAUUUUUAUAUAAUUCAAACAGUUGGGAUUUUUGAAAAAAUAUAUUUGUAAGAGUAAAAAUAUCAUUUUAUUUAUCUGCUUUUAAAAAAUAAACAAUGCUAUAGCAAUAACAAAUCAAAGAAACAAAUAUGAAUAUUACUGAAUUUUUAUAGAGAGAAAAUAAAAAAUUAAAUUUUAUAGGGAUAUGUUUACUAUUCAAGAUGUUUACAGAAAACUGCGUGCAAUUUUUUUUUUUCUUUUUUUUUUGCCAGGUGGCAACCAGGCAUGGCAUGAUGUUGAUGUGACCUCCUCCGCAAGGCCGGCUUAUUUUAGGCCAGGAUAAUUUCACAUGUAUCACAUUUAAUUUUAUAAAAUUUAGUUAUUUAUUAUUAUAUUUUUUGAAGACUCCAAAUAUAUAAAUUUAUUUCUACAUGUUGGCUUUGCUAGUUGACUGUAAAAAUAGUAGUUUUUAGACCAUUGCACUCUUAUAAAAAAAAUAAUAUGUUUCCUAUAAUUUUUUUUAAAAAAAUUAUAAUUUAUGGUUUACAUAAAAUAACAAAAAAGUUAAAAAUAGAAAUAUUAGGAAUAAUAAAUAACAUUAAACAUAAUCGAAAAUUUUAUUUUAACGUGUCAACUAACGAAAUAGGAGUCCGGCUACUAUACUAUCGAUAGCACGGAGCGCUCCGUGCUACCAAGUUGUUUUCGAUGAUGCGACUUCUAAAUCGACGAUCGGCUCCGUUAGACUUGAUCUACACUAUUAAAAAUAUUUAGAAACUAAAUUUCAUAAUUUUUCGAUAUCAUUUACCUAUCAAACAAGUAGUCUAAAAUUGAACGACUGAAAAUAAAAAUCUCAUAAAAAAUAAUGAUAAAAGAUUUAAAUUCAAGAUCAGAUAUACUGAUCUUACUCUAAAUAGUGAAAAGAAUUUUCUAUAAAAUUUUCAUCGGAUUUGGAUUGUUUUACACCGUUAAACUCACAAACACACCACAUCGGCCAUUAAAAUUGUCAAUUUUGAGAUCUUUUGAUCACUAGUCAAAUGAUGUCGAAAAAACCUGAAAUUUAGUUUUCAAAUACUUUCAAUAGUGUAGAUCAAGUUUAACGGAGCCGACCGUCGAUUUGAAAGCCGCAUCAUCGAAAACAAGUUGGUAGCACAGAGCGCUCUGUGCUACCGAUAGUAUAGUAGCCUAGUUCACGAAAUAGAAUAUAUUGGCAAUCUAUGUAAUUUUGGAUGAAUAUAUUGCAGACUAUGCAAUUCUGAAAAAAUUUAUUUGAUAACUAAAACUCUUUAGAAAUAAAUAUAUAUAAUUUUAUUGCUUUGUAGGGUUUUAUAUGCAAAUUAAAUGCUAUACUAGCCAUGUUGCUAUACAUGAGCCAAACCAGCACAUGCAUGAUUCCUACAAUAGGACACCCCAUGUGAAAGCGGUUUGGAUAAACUCUUAUCGGAUCUAACAACGAAUUCAAUAAGAUGCAAAUAUAAAUAUCAAAAUUUCGUUCAUAUCAGAAUUUGCAUACAAAAAAUAAAAAAAAAAAAAAACAACUAUAAAUGCGAAUAUGAUUCUUAAAAAAUCCGAUCGUUAUCGAUUAUUUUUACGCAUAAUAUAUAAGAGGGUUAUGAAUAUAUAUGGUAAUAAGAUAAAGUGGCUUUUAUUAUAUUCUUUAUUUACUUUACUAUGAAUUUCAUGUUAAAAUUUAUUUAUGCUGUUAAAAUAUUAAAUUGUUUCUUUUUUUGCGGUAAUUUUAAUUCUUAUUUGUAUAUGCAUACUAAUUUAUAUUAUCAUCUGAAUAAUAUUUGAAUAUAUAUUUGACUCAUAUCUGAAUUCGAAUCUACUAGACGCAUCCGAAUUCGCAAUCGAAAAACAUAUGAAUGUGAAUAUGAUUUCAGAAAUCUGCCCGAUUCGACCAUUUUCACCCCUACCACCAACUGUACCUAGUAAAAUUGACGUAUUUGAUGGUUGAUAUCUGAAGUUCUAUGUUGAAAGCGUAGUUGCUUCAAAUUUUCAAUUAAGUAAUUAGGUUUCGAACCUGGAAUCCCGAGUAUCAACCAUCAAACCUUUAACCAACGGUGUUAGGGGCAUGUUUGUUUCACCAACUUCUCUUCUGUUAUUUAUUUUCAUAGCACGGAAGAAAAGUUCUUCCAGUUUCAUUGCUUGUUCUGUUUAUUUUUAUAGUUAACAUUAAAGUUCUAUCAAUUUUGUUAUUUAUUCGGUAGGAAAUGAAUAACGUAAAAUGAUAUAAUUGUCUCCUACAUAGCUUGACAAAUAAAGUUUCUUCUCUUAAUUUUAUUAUACUUUUUCCUCACAUCUCUUUCUAGUAAUUAAGUUCACACCAUCCUAGGGCAAAGCCAAAUUAUACUAUUUUAGAAAACUCAAGCUUCGACUAUAACUAUAUUACCGUGAACAAAACACCGGAUAUACUCAUUUACUGUCGGAAAUCACUUUUCAUUUUCCACUUUCGUCCAAACAAACAUGCCAGGUACACUCAGUUCGAUAGUAAAAUCAAAAUUUGUCACUUGAAGCAUAGUCAAAAUUCUGCCAUGUUUAUAACAAACUUUUAUAUAUAUAUAUAUGAGCUGGAAUGCUAUCAGUAGCAAACCGGUUCCGUUGCCACCCAUUUGUUUUCGAUGAUGGAGCCUCCAAAUCAACGAUCGGCACCGUUGAACAUGAUCUAUAUCAUUUGAACUAUUUAGAAACCAAAUUUCAAAUCUUUUCGACAUCAUUGACCUAAUGAUCAAAGGGUUUCAAAAUUUAUAAUUUUAAUAGUAGAUAUGAGGCGUUUUCUCAUUUAACGGUGUAAAGCUAUCUAAAUCAAUUGAAGUUUGGUUAAAAAAUUCUUUAAACUAUUUAGAACAAGAUCUAUACUCUUGAUCUUGAUUACAAAAUUUCUAUCAUCACUUUUUAGAGGAUAUUCAUUUUCAGCCGUUCAUUUUUACGCCCACUUGAUGGCCAAGAGAACAAUAUCGAAAAAACAUAAAAUUUGAUUUNGGCGCCCCGCCGAUUCCUGUAACCAAGCGCAUGCGUCUCGCGCACAUAUAUAUAUAUAUAUAUAUAUAUAUAUAUAUAUAUAUAUAUAUAUAUAUAUAUAUAUAUAUAUAUAUAUAGUUGUAACAAUCCAGUCUAAUAGCAUUAAUAACUCGUCAAUUCCUAACCCAAUUCCGAUUAUUGCGAUAUGGAUUCAUCAAUUCCGGUCAUGGGUCUAAAUCUCACCAUUUAAACUUGGAAGUUGUUAAUGAUAUGUCGUAGAAGGGAGGAACUCGCGAGUUUCGCAAACUCAACUUCAUUCCCCACCCCAUCGAAAUCGAAAGGCUGAUCCUUGCGUAAUUGCCAGUAAAAAUUUGAAUAAUCUAGAGACUUUAAUACCAAAAUAAAUCAGCACUAACUUUUUAAGUACUCCUUGGACUACUCCCUCAUUGUUUUGUUACAUUAAACUCAAGAAUACGUUUAUUUGUUAAUAUGGCUUAAGACUUUUUUAGAGUCACAAAUUCAACCUCCAAAAUUCCAAAAAAAAACCAAAAAAUCAUUGAUCUGUUUCAUAACAUUAUUUUUAGUAACAUCAGUUUGAAAGAAAAUUUGGGUCAUAUUUGACUUGGAAAAUUUUUUGCCAUGACUAAAAACCCUACCAAAACCUAACACGCAAUCAACUUUCCACAAAUCCAUGCUACAAUUUCUCCAAUUGAUUUUUUUUUUUUUUUUGUUGACCAUGUUGUGUGAAUGGAAUCUCCAAUUGAAUGUUACAUAAGAAAAAGAAAAAAGAAAAAAGAAAAAAUCCAAAUGACAUAAAUGUAUAAAAUCCAAAUGACAUAAAGAUGAUUUAGGACAAUGAACGAAAGUACAAUAAUUUAAAAUUCGAAGGCUAAAGUGUAAUUUGAAUAAUAGUUUGAACUUCGUAAAUAUAAUUUGCCCUUAAAUGAAAUGUUAGCGUAAUUUGAAUCAUGCAUUUUCAAAAAAAUUUUACGAUCACCGUAUUUGGAUGCGAAUUUUUUUUAAAAAAAAUAAGUUGAUUGAUAACAGAUAAUAUAUUCAACGAAUAUAAUCGCAUAAAUUAAAUAAAUUGUCCUAUGAACAACCAAUUUUUAUUGCUUUAAUUAUGAAAAUGGUCUCUUUUGACUUAUAUGCCAAAUUAAUUUAGUAAAGUUUUUACAUUGAUAUUCAAUGUUCAUUUCAAUUUUAAACCAAUUUAAAAUAUUGGUAAACUUUUGGAUUUAAAUUGAAGCAACAAUUAAAAUUGUGAUUAAGGUGCAAACUCCAACGAGGGAUUUUGUGAUUUAGCUAAAGAAAAAAAGGGUUAAUUGCAUGCAGGCUCCUAUAAAUAUAGUGAAUUAUAAAUUUAUUCCUACAAAAUUUAACUUUUAUAUGUUGUUCCUAUAAAAUUUCUAAUAUUCUCAAUUAUAUCCCUUCCGUUAGAAAAUUUUAAUUAACCAUAGGUUAAAACUUAACCUUGGUUAGUUUAUGAGAUAACUUAAUACUUUUACUCUUUUUAUAUUAUACUGUUGUGGCUUUUGAAAGGACAUAUUUGUGAUUGCAAAAUUAAUAUUUCACUUAUUUGUUGUUAAAAUAUAAACAGUUCUAUAACAAUAAUAAAUCAAGGAAACAUAUUUGAAAAUAUUAAAACUUUGUAGAAACAACAUAUGAAAGUUGAACUUUAUAGGAAUAUAUUUGUAAUUUACUAUAUUUGUAAGGACCUGCAUGCAUUUAACGCAAAAAAACGUCAUUUUGUGAAGAGAGGUUAAGGGCCGAACGUAAAUUUUCUAAAUAUAUUUGGAUAUAAGUGCAAUUUAUCCUCUAAAAUAUCUCCCCAAAAACCCCAUGUUACUUUCCUGAUUAAUAAAUUCGAUAAUAAUUUGUAUCCAAUCAUUCAUGUAGAUGAGAACAAAAAUAAAAUGUGACAUUGACCAUAAAAAUUAUAAUAAUAGGGACAUGGUUCCUCAAUCCAUAACGUGCAUUCAAAAAUAAAAUAAAAAUAAAAUAAAAAUGUAUGGGGAUUGGAGACCCCCUGAACUAUGGAAAGGGCCAUUAAAAAAUGGCCCUCUUAAUUUUUUUUAAACUAAUAUUUUUAACUUUAAAUACAUGUGUUUAUACGAGUUUGCUUGGUAAAAAAAAUACAAAUAAAUUCUUAAUUCUUAAUUUUUAAUUAAAAUUAUUAUAGUUAAUUAAAUUAAGAUUUAUGUAAAUUUAAUAACUAUUUAUUUUCACCGAAAGUGAAGAGGAGUGAAACGAUUUUUGAUCGUAAAUGUUAAUUUCUACUGUUUGGUUCACCGUAACUUUUUUCGGUGAAAACUCAAACUCUCCAAAGGCCGAAGUUAAUUACGCUACGCCAUCACUUAUGCCAAGCAAACAACAGAACUGUGAGAACUUUCAGUUCCGCUGCGAUGCAAAUAAACAACAAAAUAAAGCAAUUGAUUAUCUAAACUCUAAUUCGUUCUAUAGCUUAUGAAGUUCGUAUUUGGUAAAACAAACAGGCCUUAAAAAAGCUUUGACGAUAUCUUAGCAUUAUUAAUAGUAACAAUCAUUUCAGAAGUUUAAAAUGCAUAGACAAUGUUCAGAAAAUUCAGCGGUAACUCCACCAAUAUAAAUUUCUUCAAACUAUAUAAAAGGCAACAUUCCGAAAUACCAUAACUAUUUUCCCGAAAAAUAGAAAAUAAAUAAAUAAAUGAAGUCAAAGUCUAGGGGCUAUAUCUAAAUAUCCUACACUUGAGGGUUCUCUAUGCAAUUUUCCCCCCUCUACGGCUCUACCCUCCUUAAAAUAAAAUAGGGGGACAAAAAAAAAUAAAGGGGCGUGAGAAUAACAAACAAAACCCCGGGAGAACGUUCAAUCAUAGCGAAAAGCGACACCGUUUUAAGCUUAUUAUUAGGCCAAGAAUACACAUUACACACACUCUCUCUCUAUACACAAGAGAGAGAUCUCUCAGAUACCCGCUCCUCUUCUUGGACCCUUCUCCCUCUCUCUCUCUCUCUCUCUGCGCCGGGAAUGCGAUCGUUGGAGCUUUUCCCUAGCGUUGAUGCGUAGAGAUUAGGGUUUCUAGGUCUAGCGUUGUGGAUCUGUGUAGAAAGAGGUAGAGGUAGAGAGAGGGGCGUUGAUGGAGGGAGGAGGGGGGGAGGCGAGGGCGCCGCUCCUGAGNGGGGGGAGGGGGAGGGGGAGGUGGGGACGAGGAGGUGCAACUCGGUGACGACGAUGAGGAGCGAGUUCGUGGCGAGGUUGCCGGAGAAGGUGAAGGAGUGCGUCGACCCGGAGAAGCCCUUCCACAUCGACGUCUCCCGCACCAGAGGAUUGAUCGAAGGUAUAACACACACACACACAAAAAAAAAUAAAAAGAGAAUCCCUAAUAAAUGGUUUCGAAUUUUUUAUUAGGGUUUUUUCGAUGUGUUUUUGGCAAAUUGUUUGUUAUAUGUGGGUUUGUUUUUGUUUACUUUUGUUUCACUGUGAGAAAUUGCUGUUUAAUAGAAUAGCAAAAACAAAAAAAAAAAAAAUUCCCAAAAUGGUUUUGAAUUUAGGGUGUUUUUGGAUGUGUUUUUGGUAAUUUUUGUUAUAUGUGGGUUUUUUUUGGGGCAUUGUGAGGAACUGCUCUUAAAUAAGAGAGAAAAAUUGUAUUGAUUUACAAGUCAGAAAAUAAAAAUAGGGCUUUUAAGAUUUCAUUUUGGUAAUGUUUUAGACAUUUCUUUGAUUUUAGUUUUAUUUCACUGCUAAUAAUUGCCGCUAAAAGAAGCAAAUGAUACAAUUUAUAAGUCAUAAAAUGAAAAUUUUGGAUUUUCCUUAAAAAAAUUGUUUUUUUGGGGAGAAUUUUAGAUAUAUCUUCUUAGUGGCUUUUUUUUAAUUUUACUAUAAAAAAUUGUUAUCAGAUAAGAUAGUAAAAUGGUAUAAUUUAUCUGUCACAAAGUAAUAAAAUGAAAAUUAUGUGCUAGUAAUAGGCUGUAUUUUUAUCAUUCCGAGGGUUAUAAAUUGUGUUAUUUUAUUAUCUUAUUUGAAGGCAAUUUUUACAAUGAAAUAAAAAUGUAAUCAACAAAUACUAAAGUGAUAUCUUUAAGCCCACGAGGUGGCAAAAUAAAAAUCCAGAAACAGCAGGGAGCUAAUUGAAAUUUCCUCCCCCCCACCCCUUUUUUUUUAAGUACAAGUGCAUCGUGAUCCACUGAUCAUUCUCAACUAUAGCCCGUUUUCAAAUAGGUUCUCUUACUCUGCUUGGAUUUUUUUUUCCCCUUUUUUUUCAUUUUUUAACCCCUGUUUGGGGUGGGGACUUUUGGGAGUAUCUUCUCCUUUUUUUCUUUUUGAAGGUGAAAAUGGUUGGACAACCCCCUCAACUAUAGCUGAUUUUGAAAUAGAUACUCCAAAGGCUCCAACUUUUGUGAUUUUUUAGUUGUAAAAAAAAUGUAGAUACAUAUUCUUGCAAAGUUUUAGUUAUCGAAUAUACCCAUAAAAAAGUUCCAAAAUAUGCAAUUUUCUUUUUAUACCCAUUGACUUCUUAUUUUAUUUUACUGGAGUCUGGACCAUUAUACUCUUGGAAGGAAAAAAAAAAUCAGUUUUUUUGGAUUAGGAUUUUGAGAUUCACAUAGAAUGAUAAGAUAGAUAGAAUAGACACAUCAAAAAUGAAAAAAAGCAUUUAAAGGAUUUUAAAUAAUAUUUAUUUAAGGGUGGAAUGGUCAUUUUGUAAAGAAAAAGUUAACUUUAACUAGUCAGCAUAUGGGGAAGGAUAAAUUUGUAAAUUUUGAAAUGUUAGAGGAAAAUAUGAUAAUUAAAUUUUUUAAGGAAAAUCUGCAAUUUCACUUCUUUCCAGGGAUAUAUUAGCAAAUUUUCCCCUUUUUCUUAUUUGUACCUCACCUUUAUUUUUUUUUGUAUAUGUUAUUUUUGAAAAACAAGUUGUGUAUUUGUCAAAAUUAAGGGCUCUAUGAGCUAUUAGCUAUUAACUGUUCACAAUAUUUGUACUUUUGUUAGUUCAAAAAAUUAAAUUUAAUUGAUUUACCAGUAAAUUUAACAACUUAAGUUAAAAUAAUCAAAAGUUAAGGGGGUGCCAGUCAAGAAAAAAAAAAAAGGUAAGGAAUCUAUUUAAUAAUUGCCUUAGCUGAGGGGGGGUCCCUGUGCAAUAUUUUUCCUUUUCUUUUUAAUGGUAACUUCUGUCUCUCUGGGGGAGGAUCAUUCUUUUAUAAUAGAUCAAUUUUAUUUAUAUAAUGUGAAUUAAAAGGUGUGAUAGAUUGAUCUGUAUGGUGAUGUAUGAAAUGUGAUUGUUAGUAUGAAUCUUACAUAUCUGUUUCUGUUUAGUGAUUACCUCAAUGUGUUGUUUUAAAAUGGAAACUGUAUUCUUAUGUUUUAAUUGUGUUGUCCUGUUUCAGACUUUCAGUCACUUAUGUGAGUAGUAUAUUUGCAGGCAAUUCUGGAAGUUCAAAUGGAUUUAAAUGCUUUCCUUCUGCUCUAGCUUGAACUUGUAUUUACUAUAUCUUUUUUCUCCUUUUUUUUUUUUUUACUUUUUUAAAUGCAAGUUACCUUGCUAUGUAAAGCAUUUAUGUAUUAUGAAUGAUUUAGAAUUACUUAAUCGAAGUUGUCUCUAGUUUCAUAAACAUUUUGGUGUUCUCAUCCUUUUUAUUCUUUCAAUAUUCUGGCAUCAUUUCUCCCAUUGAUUUUGCUCUCAAGUAGCCAAUGGGUACAAUGCAUUAAUUUACUAGAUAAUAUGAUGUGUUUGUUAUAAUGCAUUUCAUUUUUAGAUAAUAUUGUAUGCUUGAGAUUCAACUACCUAAAUGGACAUAUGGCGCACUACUAUUUAAUAUCAUUGCGUAUUUGAUGUUCUCUGGCUUUUAUGUACUUUUUAGUUUCCGUAGUAGGCUUUUCUGACGAAUGUUGUUCCUUGUUUAACUUUCUUUUCCAGCGGAAAAGGAAUACUAUGAAAAACAGUUUGCCACCUUGAGAUCCUUUGAAGAAGUUGAUGCGAUAACUUCGGCAAAUGAAAUUGAUGAAGCCCAAGAUCUUGAAGAGCAGAGACAAAGUGAAUUCGCCAUGAGGAUAUCAAACUAUGCAAAUAUUGCUCUCUUAGCCUUAAAGGUAACAUGUACUUGUCCUUUUAAUUGUUUUGUUGUUGAUUUUGGUGUAAACUGUAUCAUUGGUCCUCAGCAUUUUGGCAUUGUUUUCAAUUUGGUCACCAACCUUUCGAUAGGUAUUUCAACAUUUUCUUUGCGCUCUUAUCCAUUUGAUUGAAGUCCUUUAUCAGUUGGAUAGAAAUAUCCACGUAAUCAUUAGCCAAUUGCCAUGUAAGCAAGUCUUAUACUACUGAUGUUGUGAUCUAGUGAGCAUUUCCAUCCAAUUGAGCAUAAGAACUUAAUGAAAAGGAUUAGAUUACAACAGUGUGGAAAUGUCUGGGUCCAAACUGUAAGUUUGUCUUAAAAAAAUUGGAGGACUUUGGUGCAGUGGUGCAGUUUACUUUUGAUUUUUUGGUAAAACGCUAGAGAUUAUGCUUAUUAAUUAUGACCUUAUGAGAUUUUAUUUGAAUGAUCAUGUUAAAUUUUCAAAUUGCAGGUAUAUGCUACCAUAAGGAGUGGAUCCAUCGCAAUUGCUGCCUCGACGCUUGAUUCCUUGUUGGAUCUGAUGGCAGGCGGCAUUCUCUGGUUCACCCAUCUUUAUAUGAAGAAUAUAAAUAUAUACAAAUUUCCUAUUGGCAAGCUGCGGGUGCAACCUGUGGGAAUUAUUAUAUUUGCUGCUGUUAUGGCCACACUAGGUAAGUUUUCUUUUUUCCGUUUGGCAGGUCAAUUUGUUAAUUGAUGGUCAUUGUUGUGAUGGAACUUGUUAGUAUAUUAUAGACUACUUCAAUGUUGAUUGCUAUUUUCUGACCAUUGAGAAUAUAAGUACUCUAAGUUGAAUGUAUUUAGCUUGGAUUUUAGAACAACUCUACUAUGAAAAGCGGAAGUUGAAACAGGCUUUUGGAUAACAAAGUAUAUGAAGCUUUUGAUAUGGCAAGUAGCUAAAUAAUAAGCUAGAGCUCUAAUUUGAAACUUCUGCUUCUACUAUAGUAAGAGACUGUUGAGGAGAUUUUAAUGAGAAAUGCAGCUAGUGCUCCUUCUGGUCCGUUUGGGUGCAUGUGAAGCGUGCAGCGCAAUGCGUGAGUUGCUCUUUGCUUACCAGGAUAGCCGUUUGGCAAAAGCUGAGAACCUUUCUCAUUCUUUCUGACAUCUCGGGAGGUUACUCUGUAGUUAUGCACCAAAUUCUGCUUUCACACCUGGUGGUUGGGUAAGAAUCCAGGUUGGAUAAGAAUCCAAUGGGAUGCUUUCACAGAUGCAAGUUUGUCCUUAAUGCACUGCUCUGCACCAUGCGCCAUUACACUCCCAAACGGAGCCUUCAGGCAGCUCUAUUUGUUGUGCGCUUCUGCAAAGGCUUCGACCAGGCCAAAGCCAAACAAAUCUAUGAUUUUGUAGCAGUUGGAAUUAUCUCUAUUGUACGUCUGAGAAUAGAUUUGUAUGAUAUACACCACAACUAUGGAAAGAACGGGACAAAAUUUUGACUAUGUCUCAAGUUGGACAAACAUUUUUAUUGUUGAUGCAUGACAUGGAUGGAUACUUUAGAAAGCUACCACAAAAAUAUGAAUUUUUUAAAGCACACUUGGACAAAACAUAAACCCAAAAUAUAUACAACAUGAUGCAAUGAAAUACCAGGUUAAUAUAAGCGAGUUCUCUAAUUUUCUUUAAAGACUUUUUUACUUUUACAAUUGAAAGUGUCCAAGUUAUAAAAUUAGAUUUUGUUGUCUUCAGUUUAACUACUUUCCGUGUAAAUCCUAUCCUUGCUAUUUGAGAGAUUCUUCAUUACUUUUUCACUCAUUUUCAGUUGAAUUUUUUAUCCAACGACCUGUAGCAAUUUGUAAUACAAGCAAGAAAAGGCAUUUGUUAUGUUUUGUUAAACAACCACUUCUUUUUUUCUCCUUGCGUAUUUAUAGGAUUUCAGAUUCUAGUUCAAGCUGUUGAACGUUUAAUAGAAAAUGAAACUCCUGAUAAGAUGACUACGGCACAACUAGCUUGGUUGUAUUCGAUCAUGCUGUCUGCAACUGUUGUAAAGUUGGCUCUCUGGCUCUAUUGCAGAACCUCAGGGAACAAGAUUGUCCGUGCUUACGCUAAGGUUAAUCCAUUGUUCUUUCUUAUUUCAAUAAGAUAUAACUAUACCUUGGAACAUUAUUAUUAUUAUUAUUUUGCAUGCUUUAAUAAUGUAAUUAAGCUCAUAUAUGGUCUCGUAGUUAAAUUUUUAAAAGAAUGCCCUUCUCUACAAAGAAUAAUUUCUUCCAAUGCAUAAGCAAUUUUCCACCAUUAAUUGAAUAAUUGUAAGAAGCUGCAUAUACAAGUAGUAUUUGUAAAACUGUAAACAAAUAGAUGUGUAUAUGUAAACUCGUUGUUCGGAUAGGCAUGUAGUAUAAUAAUAUUUGGAGAAUGAAUAUAUUUUUCUAACGUCUUGCUAUAAUUGGCUUUAUAUAGGAUCAUUAUUUCGAUGUUGUGACAAAUGUUUUGGGUUUGGCUGCUGCUGUUCUCGGAGACAAAUUUUACUGGUGGAUUGAUCCAGCUGGGGCUAUUGUACUUGCAAUUUACACAAUUACAAAUUGGUCUGGAACUGUCUGGGAAAAUGCAGGUUCUGCCUUCGUUAUCUUACCCUCUUCUGGUUGAAGCCCCACUUUUUCUGUUCUGUUCACAUUUCACAGUACGACACAUCUUGCAAAGUGGGAUAUGAUAUGAUAGGGAUAUGACGGUAUCCUACAUGUAUAUAUAGUUUUUCCGACAGAAGAGUAGCUGUAAAUAAUGAACAUUCCGGAGAAAAUGACCAUAGAACAUCGUAGAACUAAGAAAAAUUCAUAAAUUAGAUAAUAUUUGUUGCUAUGGCAGCAAAUUUGGUUCUUCAAAUACAUAGCAAGUCGAAUUCUAUGGAAACAAAUGAUAAUUUUGUACCUUUUGUUCUAAUGGCUAUGAUGUGUAUUAUGGAACUGUUAUUGCUGCUUUACCUCGUCAACACAUAUAAUACCUCUAUAUACCCCGUCAUGUGCCAUACUACACCUGAAUUUUUGACCUAUUAUUGGUUUGUCUUUUUUCUUAAUACUAUAUGCAGUUUCACUAGUUGGUCAAUCAGCUCCUCCAGAAAUGUUGCAGAAGUUGACGUACCUUGUUAUAAGGCAUGAUCCUCAAAUUAAGCGUGUUGACACAGUUCGAGCUUACACAUUCGGAGUUCUCUAUUUUGUGGAGGUAAGUAAACAAUGCUUCUUUUAUAUUUGAUUUGAGAAGACAAAUGUCCAAUCUUUAAUAAGCAGUAAAGUUGUGCUUUGUUUGUUAGAUUCUAAUAAACUUGAUUGAGAUAUUUGCAUACACACCUUUGGAUAACUAUCUACCCAUCCUUGCAAAUUAUGAAUUUUCAAGUAUAACCAUUCAAUACUGGUGUGUAAGUCCCCCUCUUUCUAGAAAUCUUUUAUGUAAUGCAAAGCAAAACCAGCCACCCCCAUGAACUGGAUGACUCUCCUAGUAUAAGAUAUGGGAAUUGUUCUAAGAAAAUGUACUUUUUACGGGUGUAUAUCCAAAUUCACUUCACAGAGUGUAGAUGCAAAUAGUUGAUUUUGCAGGGCUAUAUAUAAAAAGGCUCAUAAUCUUAUAGCAGUUUCAGGGAUGGAUGGUCCGUCAAUACUUUGACGAGUUAUCAACCAAAAGACCAAGACCACAUUCUAGCAACCUACUACUAAAAUAAUUUAUCUUGAAUCAUUUAUCGAGAUUAAGCAAUCUUAAUUACGUUCAUAAUUUAUCUUGAAUCCUUUAUCGAGAUUAAGCAAUCUUAAUUACGUUCAUAAUUUAUCUUGAAUCCUUUAUCGAGAUUUAAUCAAUCUUAAUUACGUUCUUAUUUCUCUUAGGCCUUUUUGUGCGUAAUUAGGGAAAAAAAAGAAAAAGAAAAAGGGAAAUAGUGCUGAGAAAUAAUUUUAGCUAUUAGAUUACACCAAUGAACAGAAAGGACCCUAAAUUAUGUGGCUAUCAAUUUGUAAAUGAACCAUGGGAUUCGAGUGAUUCCAAAUUGAUCACUUCAUCCUGUAUAAAAGGCAUUAAAACUAUGUAAUUAUGUUGAUUAAAAUUAAAUACACCACAUAGGUUAAUUGCAAAACUCGGAAAAUAAUAUACACGGUCAGGAUUUACAAUAUGUCAUCGAUAUAUUUUUUGCUUCACAUGAUGAAACUACCUGAUCACUUGAUUUUAGAGACUGAUGUUCUUAACGAAUAAUAAUUUACUUAUGUGUAAGCCUCUCCUAGAGGGAAGAAACAUUUAGGAGCAUUGAAACAAUGCAUGAAGCAAGAGAUAAUGUUAUGCAAGUGAAGUUUUCCUCGCCAAAACACUUAGCAACUAUUUUUCAACUUUAACAUAUAUGUUUAUCUAAACAAGUCUAUCUGGUCUUAAGCGGCUGACGAAUCUUUGAAAGCAAUUUCUAUCAGCUAAUCGGCGGCACGCUUGUAGUCGGUAGUGUUUUUUUUUCUUUUUUUUCCGCCCCUUCCAAGGCCUGUGUUGCCUCACCCCUGUAGCUUAAUUCAUCUUUUCAAUGAAUGAAGCGGAUAGCAUGCUAUCUAUUUCUCAAAAAAAAAGGUCUAUCUGGUCUCCUUUCAUUCCUUCAAAUUUAAAGUCGACCUUCGAAGUAAAUGCACUUGUUUUAAACAAAACCUCAAUGUCCAUAAUAAGCAACUAUCGUGCGCAUCCGCUUUGUAUUUCUUGCAGUCAAUUCAUUUUUAAAUAAUGCUCAGGACUUUGCAGUGAAAACAUCUGGCUUUGUUUGUCACUUUUUCCUAAUAUGCUUGUAGUUUCUUGUAUUGUAAGUCGCACGCAAUUGGCAUUAAAUCAAUCUCGAAAUUCCAAUGACAGGUCGACAUUGAACUCCCCGAAGAUCUGCCUCUAAAAGAAGCGCAUGCUAUUGGUGAAUCGCUGCAGAUAAAGAUCGAGGAACUCCCGGAGGUCGAGCGAGCGUUCGUCCAUCUCGAUUUUGAGUGCGAGCACAAGCCGGAGCACUCGGUCCUCAGCAAACUUCCCAAUAACCAACCAUGAGCUCUCUAUUGUCAUCAUCUACAAUAGUUUGGUUGGUUUUCUCUUCCUCUGCCUCAUUUAUAAAUAGUUCAACAUCUUCCAUGCGGCGAAUUUAAGUGUGUUAAAGGUGCUUUCGCGACCUUUUUAAAGUAGGUUUAAGGAACUUGAAAGCGCGUGAGCUGUUUAAUUCAUUAUUAUCUUAGCUUUGAGUGCGAGAAGGUUCUGGCGUGGAUCAAAUUGGAAUAUUUUGGACAAAUAGUAGGGUAAAUUAUCAGUGUUGUACAACAUGAGAGAUGUUAGCUAUAGCUUCAGAUGAGUUUUUCAAGUGUAGGUACAUUUGCAUGAUUUUUCACCUUUCGACAAUGCAAUUGUGCUCAAUUAUUAUAUCUACCGUGAGAAUUAUAUCUGAAGUUUUAUUUCUUAUCUUAAUUUCUUAACUAAGGUUCUAAGUGGUAUUGAGGAUUACUUUGACACUGUUGGGCAAAACGAGUUGGAGAGAGAAAUAUGUAGAGAUAUAUUUAUUUGUUGUUUUAUCGCAACUAUAUAUAGAGUUUAUUUCUUAUUCAAAUACGUGAUAUCGACUUCUUUUUUUGAAUAAUCUUGUAAAAUUUUCAAAUUGGCCAAAUACCAGGGUUUGUCCGUUCCUCUCUCUCUGUUAGGUUGGGGUGGUGGUGGUGGGCUCAUGCCCUUCCUUUCUUUUUGGCCAGGGAUGGUGUCCCUGCCUCUCUCUCUCUCUCUCUCUGUGUUAAAAAAGUGAGAAACCAUAAGAGUGGUAUUUAAAGUUUUUUCCUAAAAUUUUAGAAGGUUAUUUUUGAAAAAAGAAGUUCAUAAAAGGCGUUAUUUCUUCCAACGAAAAUAAGUUGGAGAGAAAAAGCAUACAAAAAUGUAUUUAUUUGUUGUUUUAAUAGAACUACGGAAUUUAUAUCUUAAUCAAAUAUGUGCGAUCUACGCAUUGCAUUAUUUCCUCUAUUAGAAACAAAGGAAUGUUUUUUUAUCACACUUUUAUUUGCAUAUAAUGCAUUCGGUUCAUAAUUCCAAACGAAGCCAAAUUCUGAACCAUCCACCACAACUAUAAAACUAUAAAGAAACCAACCGUCAAAUUUAAAACCCUAAAUUCCUAGACAUACAUGUUAGAAAUCUGCGACUUACACCGACAAAAGCAAAAAAGAUUUAGUUUAUCGGGCACGAAAAUAUAAAAAGAGAAUCAAAAAAGAAAGAAGAAAAAUAAAACAAAUAAAUAUUUACGUGGUUCAACUAUUGGUCUACAUCUACAAGCAAAGACGCAGUAGAGAUUUUUAUUAUAAUAAAAGUGAUGUACAAAAUAUAUCUCUCUCACAAAACUUGUUCCAAAAAUAUACACUUAUACUUCUUCUCAUCAAACCGAUAGAUUAAAAGAUAUAUCUAUAAGUGUGGUUAAAUCCUAAUACAACUAGAAAUACAAAUCCACUAAAACUAGAAAUAACCUCAAUAAAAUUAUGCAUAAUCUAAAUUCAACUUAAUAGGAUAAUCAAAACAGAAUUUGUGGCACGUAGAAAUGCUCCCUGCAAAUAUGCAAAAUUGCAGAUAUACACCAUAAAUUUGAUGAUUCUAUGCACAUCCUUGAUAACCUGAUUAUUAUUUGCAUCUCAUGUAGAACCUCAGUUUCUGUGAAAAAGCAAGCAGUAUUUAUGCACGCGCGCGCACACACACACAAACAAAAGAAAAAAAAAAAGCAAGCCAUCCCCAAUACUAUGGAACUUAACUGGCACCGAGCUGAAAUAAGUUUGUUGGAGCUCCAAGAGAGCUGUUGGUAGUGCUUUUUUUUUUUUAACUUAGUUUUCCAGCACUUUUCCAAACAGCUCUACUCGAUCUGUGUUUCUAAAUUCCAAUAAGCUUCAUCCAGGCUGAACAAGCAUCAAGAUUGAUUCAAUUUAUGUUCAAAGGAAAAGAUUAUUCUUCAUAGAAGACGUACGUAACUGAAUUCAUAUAAUGCUUAAAUGAGAACUCUUUAGGAAAUAUAAAUAGCUGACAAUUGCUGUCUAAACAUUAUUAGCACCAUUCUUCGGACAUUAAUGUAUUAAUUAAAGGUACAUCUUCCAUCUAAUAUCGCAAUAAGCUUCAAAAUCUUUACCAGAACAUCCUGCAACCUCACCAAGAUCAGCUCCUUUUCGGAUCAUUUGAAUCAACUGCAUAAAAUGUAUUAAGCUGCGGUCAGGGUCAAAUCCGAAAUGGUUUAUAAAUUUAAUGAAAAAAAAAUGAUAAUGAUUUAAUUAAUAAAACAACAAUCUGAAUUAGGUCAGGAAGAGAAAAGAAUGCUUCACAUACGAUUUAUCAAUUUACAAUUCAUGAUGUAACAUUUUACCGCCCUGCUGUUAACAUUCCGACCCACGAGUGUUGCUGUCGAAAUUACAUGAAAACUGAGCACAUGAUAAACAGAUGACUUGGUAAAACCCCAAGGAACAAGAUAAAGCAAUCAAACCGCUAAUAUCAUGGGACAGCUACAUGCUCAAUCCUAACUGCAUUUAACUGCAAGUCUGAGCGAACAAUCAGAAAAGCAACCGCAGGCCGAUAAAGAGUUAUAUUUCGUACUCAAAGGGGGUAAAGAAAUCAGGCAGGACCAUAGUGAAGGCACACUAAAAUUACCCUAAACAAAUAACUAUAGAACAAAAAAUUACUAGAACGUGCAGCCCUUCCUCUAACUUUCAAUUAAGUAAAAAAGUUCUGCCGCCGAGUCCUCAAGAAUUUAACAAAGGGGUGGUAAAGAAGAGAUUCAGUUUACAUUAAUCCCAGGUCUUAAAAGUACAUAAAGACUUAACGAAAUGUCCACUAAUAUAACCUAAUGGCAUUUGAAAGUAGAUCAAACUAAAAAUCUUCUUUCAAUCAACAGAGCAAUUCUUUCCAGUCUGAUUGAUGUGAUGUGGCUAUCGAAUAGUUAUCUGUUGCAAAACUUGUGAGUGAUACCCUCAGCACUUCUCUUCAGCAUCCAAAUUUAUGACAAAAGGGUAACAUUUCAAGGUAGUCCCAUGUACAAUACCGAUGUUGCAACCUAGUCCUUAUACUUGAGCAUUUUAGUCCCUUAACAUUCAGAUAUAUUGCAAGUCUAUAUCUGAUCAUCACUAAAUCUAAGAUUUUCCUAUAAAAUAACUUUUUCCUCUUCUCCUGUAAAAUGACUUUCUUCCUCUCCUCCUGUAAAUGACUUACUCAUUUUAGUGUACUUGAAACAAAUUUAAAAAGGUCACUUUAUAGGAAAGAGUCAACUCCUCAGAUUCUUUAGUGACUAAGGAUGGAAUUGCAGUAUAUGAAAAGUUCAGGGACUAAGGAGUUUAAGUGAGAAGUUCAGGGACUCCGUCACAAAAAUCAGUUUGUACUUUGUACAAGGCCUAUCCGCACAUUUGACCCAAAAAAACUAUAAUAUAAGGAUGCAAAUAUGAUCAAAUACUUCGAUACUUUACAUCAAUUCUAAUAGUACCGAGUGUCGAUUCAAAUGCCCUAUCAAUGAAAUGAUGUGGAAGCACAGAGGCCUUUGUGAUUCUAUGAGUAUACUAACUCUAUUAUAAGAAAAAACUGUUGGCUUCUGUAUAAUACUUAUUCCUCGUGCUAUUUCUUAUAGCAACCCACCCAAUCCAAUUCAACAUCCUAGCCUCAACUACACAAGUUAAAAAAGAAGGUUUAAAAAAACCUCAAAUAGGCUCUUUAAUGCACCUGUCCUAGCCCAGAAUGCAAUGUGAAGCAUGCUAGUUUAUAUAAGCCUAGAUAAUUUACCUUUUGAAGAUAGUCGUACAACACACUACAAAUGCUACCUCUGCAAUGUUGCAAUGUCCUCUUCAACAUCUCCUUGUUAAUCUCCAUAACAAACUAAAGGGAAAAAAAACCCCUCGGAACUUAAUAGUACAUUUUCUUAACAAAAACUGACCAGAUUUAUAUUCCUAAAGAGCUGUAAUAAAUAAUUCAAGAAUAUUCUAAUUAGUACUUUCUUAUGACUGAAUACCCAUAGAACUAUAUGACCGACAACAGGUUGGUAAUCUUUCAAUCUUCAUAAGGCAUUUUCCUGCUGAGAACAUCUUAAUACAUAGGAAGGCUUAGUAAAAAAGCAAAAAGGAGCAAUUAUAAAGCAGAAAAAAGGACGAGAGCAUUUCGUAAAUCUCAACUAUGGCCAAAUUUAGAAAUCACUAUGAUGAAAUUUUCAGGAAAAAAUGUUUUUGAGAGUCCUAACCAAUUCUUAAUCUAAAUCAAGAAAUCUGGUAUCAACACAUCAAUAUUUAGGAGUAGAAGGUAACUGAAAUGGCAUAAGUUCCAAGUGCAAAGAAAUAAUACAACUACUGAGACCAUAAGUGUUGUCUGGUGAGUUAAUCGCUAUAAAGGAACUGUUUUAACAAUUCUCUUCUUACCCUUUUCUCGGGGGUUUGAGAGAAAGGAGAUCAUAGGAAAACACUGUUUUAACCAUUGAAAGAUAAGCAUCGAGUACACACAUGCACAGAUACUAUAUUCUCAAGUACUGACCAAACAAUUCAGAUAGGUUUCAUUUGGGUCCGACAAUAGCAUCUAAUGGAGACCAGAUUCUUUUUAUUUUUACAAUCUUAUAUGGAAUGGAUCCAAACAUCCACUGCACCCAUAGAAAAUCACAUAAUCCAUAAAGUCAAUUAUGAUUUUAACUCUUCGGAAAAAAAAAAAUUACACAUUGACACAAGGACUACAAUAAUAGCAAUAUAAACUCUCAAAAGUAAAAUCUUAGACAAAAAGACAAUGAAACUAACUUCAUAUUUGAAAUUCUGCAACACAAACUUUCUAAUAUAUGCAUCAAUAUCCUGAAAUAGAGUUUAAAACGAAGGUAUCACAAGAUUCACAAAAAAUAAAUAUAUAAAAUGAAAAAAAGUGUCUGCCUACUGAAAAAGAGAUAGAUCAAUUAAAUGACAAGUGGAAACAACUACCAAUUUUCUUCUUACACACACACACACACACACACACACAUACACACACAACCAACCAACCAACCAACCAACCAACCAACCAACCACAAAAAUUAUAGAAUGUAGGGUGAUUUUAAAACAUAAGACAAAGUUGGCAUAGAAUAGUUCAUCCCUUAAAAUAUUCCGGCUUAAUAGAAAUAGGCAUUUUAACUCGCAAAAUUCUAUGUCAUAGUCAAAUGGGGCUAUACAGGGUUUUAUAAAAGACCAAUCUGAGAUUGAUAAAUAGGAAUUUGGGCCGAAGCUGAGUUUGCGGGAGUAAAUGUUUCUAAGAAAGAAAGCUAGAAGAUGGAAAAGGAGAUAACUAAUCGAAACAUAAAAUCAUCAAUUGGGCAAAUAAAUUUGUCAACCCUCUCUGAAGUCCCAUAAACAAGCAAUGAAACACCUGAAAGAAUGCCUUUCCACUCCAAAAAGACUUCAAGAAUAUCCUAGAAAUUUUACUCAAUGUACUAAAGCUCCAAAUAGGAAUUAGAAUACAUAUCAAAAAUUACAUUAUCUCAGGAAAUAAAUAAAAGUUUCCAUGUUGAGCUGAUUAAAAACUAAUGAAUUAGCAAUUAAGUAGUGGAAAUAGUUAACUAGCUCUGUAUUUGGCAAGAUUGCAUACUAACGUCAACGAUUCAACAACAAGAAAAGUGAAAACAGAAUGUUUCUAGGAAUUGAGAAUGGAUCAAAAUUUCAGCCGCAAAUCUACUUAUCAGCUACAUAUUUUUGAGGUUUCAAAUCGUAUGCAUGGUUCAGAAUCAGAAAAUCCAUGUCCUCGAGCUCCAAUCUGUUUGAUUCAUUAUAUUAGUUAGUCAAUCAACAUUCUCACAAAUUGUAUUGCUGAUUGAGUCCUUUUGUUAAACUUGUUCUACCAACUCAUGCUUCACAUUUGCUUCGUAAUAUCUUCGAGAAUAUCUGCUAAAGGGACUUUUCUUUUAUUUCACUUUUUCAAUAGAUGAAGCAAACCGAUUCAAUAUUAGAAGAAACAUAAAAUUUACUCUUUCACAAAGAUUGGCUUUUCCUAUAUGCAGAAUUUGUUCCAAUAGUGGAUACUAGAAUUUCUUCCUAGCUUCGUUAUAUUCAAAAUCUCAAGUGCCUCUUCUUCCUUUUAAUAUUCUACAGAUCUUAAUUUCUCAUAAUCAUAACAGACAUCACAGAAUCUUCAAAAUGUCAAUAGAAGGUAUCAGACACACAGACCACAUAAAGGCACAUAAAGGCACACCUACCAAAAAAAAAACACAAUUUUAGUAGUAAAACCCCCAUAUGCCCUAUAAAACAACAGCUAAUAAUAACAGUUAUCGGUUGGUCUGCGUUUCUCCAUAAAAAUUUACAUAGCAAGUAGCAACAAAUCAAUCUAACUACAGUCAGUUGUUCAUCCUAUGUAAACAUUCUUGGCAUCCUUAGAUCCAAAAAAUGGUGAGAUGGUUUCUCUUUCACAAUUAUUCCACCCCCUUUAUCAAUUAUAAGGACAAGUCUAUAAAGCAUUUAAAUUUCAAAAGGGAAAAAAUAUAUAAAUAAAUCCUCAGAAUCUCAUGCCAUAAGAAUCACCAAAUUACCAAAAGUAAUUACUACAACUACCACCAAAGAUCCAAUUAAUUUUUCAGCGUUCCUUAUCACUCAGAUCCCAAAUUUUGCCACCACGAUUCAACAUCACGUACCAAAUGUUAACACAAAUACUAAAUUGUCCCCUACAAAAUCAAUCUUCUAGGUAACAUACUAACUAAUGGAACCAAUCCUAAGCCCUCAUCCAUUUAAAUAGGAUCUGAGUCACAUCAGUCAUUUCUCUUACGGCUAAUGUUGCAGUCUAUUAUUCGGUUUGCCUCUUCCAUUACCUCUUUAAUCAAUGCACGUGGCACGAUUCGCCUGAUAUCCACGAUGCAGGUGAUCGGAGGUGUUAAGAAUAAUCCUAGACUCCUUUCCUUUUUUCCUACGAUGCGGUUGUCUCGGUCUGACAAAAGAGAUCACAGAGAGAUGCACCUCCUAGCAAAUAUCAUGCCCUAAGAAUUAGCACCAAAUUAUCAUCAGCAAUUACCAAUUACUACUACCAAAGAACCAAGUUUUACAGGUGAUUCUCGCCAGUUGGAUCCAAAUAUCAUCUUCCAAACAGAUCGCAAAGAGAUGACGCAUGCAACACACCUGAAAUUGGAGGACACUGGAGAUCAAUUGGUCUUGGGAUUUCCGACGAGAGCGAUCAAUUCAGCAUCCCAAAAGAGAUCGCAAAGAGAUGCAUCUCUUACCAAAUCUCAUGACACAAGAAUUAGCACCAAAUAAACACCAGCGAAUAUCAAGUACUACUACAAAAUAACCAAUUUUUUCUAGCGCUUCUCAUCACUCGGAUCCAAAUAUCAUCUACCGAACAAAUUUCCAACUACUACUAUCAAAAGAACCAUUUUUCUCUAGUGCUCCUCAUCAUUCGAACCCAAAUAUCAUCUUAUACCAAACGGAUCACAAAGGGAUUAUGAAUGCAUCGCCACACCUGAAAUCAGAGAUGAUCAAUUGGUUUUGGGAUCGGGGAUGGGGAAGAGGCCGCCCCCCGCUGCGGCGGCCCCCCGGGGCGGGGCGAAGCCGAGGAGCUUCUGGAGGUUGGUGCGGAUGCUGAUGGAGCAGAGGAAGUAGAGGAAGGGCAUGGAGCAAUCGGUGGGAUCGGCGCCGGGGAGGCCGCGGUGGCUCAUCUUGAGGACGAGGGGGACGGGGGCGAAGGGGAGCUUGGCGACGGCGCGGCCCUCGAAGAGGGAGUUGAGGAGGCCGAAGACGACGAAGAGCACCGCGGCGACCACGGCCCCGGACUUGAACUUGGAGAGCGAGAGGUCGCGCGUCGACUCCUUGAGGCUCGCCUCCACCCGAUCCAUCUUCCGAGCCCUAGACGACGACGAAGAGGUCGAAGAGGUCGUCGUCGCCAUUGUUGAGCCCUUGGAGGAGGAGGAGGAGGAGGGGUUUGAGGAGGAGGAAGAGGAGGAGGGGGUUGCGGAGGAGGGGGACUUCAUGGAUUGGAGCUUCUUGGAGGCCUUGUCGAUGGAGGAGCGGAGGGAUUUGUAGGAGGAGGUGCGGUAGAUGAGGAGCCACGAGAUCGCCUCGCAGAGCACGGCCGUGAGCGCCGAGAUCGCCACCACCGAGAGGCUAUCGCCGUAGCGGAACGACGAGAACGACGUCGACGACGCCGCCAUGGACGAGGGGGCUAAAGCUGUUGUUUCUCUCUCUCUCCCUGGUUUUGGUUUAUAAUCUUUUCUUAUAUAGACCAAUGUUCUCUAAACAGAGAGAGAGAGAGAGAGAGAGAGAGAGAGAGAGAUUCGUAUGUGUUCUUGGGUUCGAAUUGUCUACGACCCACGGUUAUUCGAAAUUUUAUCCGAAUCGGAAAUCGAACUGUACGGAUUGACUCGACGCUUAAUAGAUAUAAUAAUAAUUUUAAAUACAGAUAUAAAAAAUUAAAAAUUAAUAAAUUUAAAUUCGGAUAUAAAUUUUGACUCUAUCCAAUCCGAAUUUAAACCUAAAAUAAUUUUACAUUACUUAUUUAUAAAACUUCUGAAUUGAGAAUCUUAAGGCUUGGAGCACUUUCUGCAUACCGCGUGAUGUGGCCCCGCAACUCUAUUUCGCAUUAAAUGGUGUGUGACCAGCUCCUCUAUUUUGCAUUGAAUGCCAUCCUUACGCAGGGUCUUUUCGGUUAUUAAUGAGAGCGACGGCGUUUGAUCCUUUGUAUUCCCAUUUCAUCCGCCAUAUCGCCAUCUCCCUCUACCUCUCCGUUUUUGCCCUGGCGCUCCACCGUUACCUCCAUUUUUGUCAGGACGGGUGUGGGGUGUGGUUGGUGCUAUCUCCGUCAUGCCCUAGCAGAGUUGUUUGUAUGGCCCCAUCUUUUCCUUACCUUUUAGGGUUUCGCUACAGCAAUUUUCUUUGUGUCGGAUGGCAGGUGCACUGAUCACUCCUGCGACAUGGCCUCCUAUAACUCGCCAAAGCAUCGUGUAAUGCGGCCUCCGGUGUAGAUAGUCGGAGGUUAUGCCGGUCACUGACACGAUGUUAAGUGUUCUCCGCUGAUUGUACACCUAUCAUUCCCUCUUCUUUCCCUCUUAAAUUUCUCAUCCUCUUCCUUAGGAUGGUGCUUAAAUAGUGGUUUGUGCUUUCUCUAUUUUUUUCGUUUCUCGUCGUUUGCUCUUUUCUCCGAUUUUUACUAGGUGCUUUUGUAUUCUUCUUCUCUCUUGCGGUUGCUAUUUUGUUUGAUUUGGUCUCUAGCUAUCAGCGUGCGUUUAUUAUUAUGUCACCAAUAUUUUCUUUUUUUUGUGCGCACGGGGGAGGAGAGAUAGGUCAAGGAAUUGCUCUGAUUUUUACAUUUUUUUUUAUUCUUGCUGCAUGCAAACAUGCGGCGUUUGGGUUGGUGCUCAUUAGAUGGGCCGGUUUGCUCGACGGAUUUUAGGAAUAUGCUGAUACCUGCUUGUCUGUGAUUUGUUUGUUUUUUAAACGCAGGUUUGCGUGCUAUGGUUUCCUUUUUUUGUGAAAUGUGCAUAUUGAACUCCUUGGAUAUUUUCCCUAUUGAUGGUUGUUUGCUUAUUUUACACGCUCGGUAGGCUACUGGAACAUGGUUUAUUGAUUGGUGCUGAUGAUAUGGCGGAAGCUGCUCGCCUGCAUGCUACGCUAUUGUGUUGUACAUUAUCAGCCAGAUUUUGUUUAGUAUUGUCUUUUUUUCUGGCUGUCACUAUGUAUGCUUACUAUUAGAUUGGGUUUUGCAUUGAUUCUAUACUUUUGUUAUUUACCGUUCUCUUUUGGGAGCAGUGAUGGCACCUGUUUCUAUUACUAUUUGCUUUCGCAAAUUAUUCUGUGAUGUGUGGUAGCGCUUUUUUCUGGCAAUGUCGACAUAUAGUGUCCCAAUUGAAAAUAAGCAGGGAUCGGUUAGUGUUUAUGUUGAUAUGGACGUUAGAAAAGGGGAUAAUGUGGUGGAGUUUGUGGGGUGUUGGAGUGCCCCGUGUGCGAACAUUCAUCAGGUCGAGGAAGAGGCGGCACUCGGGUCAGUCGGAAAGUUGUGCGAUGAGUUUGCCUUCAAAGUUAGGGAUUUUAAUUUGGAGGAUAAAAAGUUCUACGAUAAUCUAUAUGAGCAGCUUUCCACUGACCAUAGCAUGCUCAAGAAAAAGUAUAAACGGCUUUAAAAUAAUUACAACCUGCUGCGGGGUUACUACAACGACCUCCUGACUGAGAAGGAUCGAUGUAUCGUUGAACGGAGAUAGCUGAAAGAGAGUAUGGAUAGGUGUGUUGAGUUGCUCGAUUGCCCAGAAGCUAUUACAGUUAAUCAAAAUAGCAAUGGCAGAAAUUUAGAUAAGGAUCCCAUGGUAUCACCUGGUUAUGAAAAUUAAUGGGUUCUUGCUUUUAUUUUUCGACUUCACAUGGUGACAGAGAAGUUUGUAGAAAGCAGCAUUUUGUUUUUUUACCUCUUUUUUGAUAUGUCUGGCUUAAUUAUGUUAAUUAUAUUUCUCGAUGUUUUUUUUUGUUAUUAUUUUUUUUUUACAAAAAGAAAAGUUUGUUUGAUGGUUUGGUAUAAGGCGAUGGCAAUGACGGAAUAGGUUGGUUCAUGAUUAUCAAUCUAAGAAGGCAUGGCAACUUGCCUAGUCUAUUGGCAAUCGUCGCAGCUUGUGGAGAGCAGCAAUAGUAGGUUGAUUUUUUUGCUGCGAAAUGACAAGAAAUAUGAAGAUUAAUUAGACCAAGCCUAAUUGUUUUAUGCAUCAACUGUUUUCUAUUAAUAUCUUUAAUUCAUUAACAUAGGCUGUGGAUUCUUAUAAUCUAAAUAUUUUCUCUUUUUUCAUAUUUUUAUUUGUUUAACAUCAUUACGCUCACCUAUCAAGUAAGUUUUUAUUGGUGAAUAUCUCUAUUUUCUGAAUUUGCUUUGUUUGGAAAUUUCUAUAGAUUUAUUGUGUGUUCGUGAUAGUUUAACUAUCUGCCUACAAUUCUGAUUCCUUUGGAAGCUUCUCUUUUCGAGUUAUGCUCUAAUUUGAUUCAAAUAUUGUUAGUGUUGAAAACUCACCAGAGAUUAUAAUUUUGAAGUACUUUCUCCAAUUAUUGUAUAAGUGAUUUGUAUUCAAAGGACAUGCACAAUCAGAAUUCUAGAUGAGUAUUUUUACAUAUAUAUACAUAUUGUGCUUGAUGACUUAAGUAAUUAUAAUCUAUUGAUAUUGAUGGUACCCGAGGUACUUUGAUGAUAAUGCAUUUUAAUUAUUAUAUUCUUAUAUAUAUUGUACAAGCAAAAUAUUCUACACAUGCAGUUGUAGGAAAUUUGCUUUCUCUCUGUGGCGGCUGUAGAUUUGUAGACUAAGAUAAAUAGUUUGAUUGGACAUAUAUUAAGAUCAUGUUUGAAGCCAAAAUAAAUUAUUUACAAUAACUUAUUCAUUAUAAAACUUUUCUAGUGUGAUUAUACACAGGAUUUAUUUUUUCUUUCUUAAAAAGUCUUGCUAUUUAUAAUUUGGUAGAAUAAUAUAUUUCACCUACGAUGUUAUUUAUCUUAUCGAGUAAAAUGACUUGAAGGCUGAAUAUAAUAUUCAAUUCUAGACAUUUAAUCAAACUUCUCAUUUAACAAAUAUACAAAAUUUUCAAAAUAAAUUAUAAAGAUCUACGGAACAAAAUAUUCAUCCACCGAAUAGGAUCUAAAUGUUCGUGUCGAUCUUUGGUGCAAAAUUUUUUGUUGUUUUUAUUUAAAGCAAAUCUAUCUACAGAAUACACUCUAUCUAUCCAAUGGACAAUAUUUUUAUAUUGAUUUUGUUACAUUAUUAUUAAUAUUAAAUUUUGAAAAAUUAUCUUAAAUUUGUGGACAAAUGAAUAGAAAAUUUAUAUCCUAUUUUUGGGUGUAGGUGUAUAUGAGAGGGUUUAUUUUCAAGGUAGGAUUUGAUCCUCUCUACAUGUAUGAAUAGAAUUUAAUUUCCGAUCUCUCUUAGGUUGAUUUUGGGUAUGUGUAUGUUGCUACAAAGAAAGUUUAUUGGUCGAGCCUUUAGACAAAGUCAAAAACAAAAAAGAGGAAAAUAAAAAAUAAAAACUAUUUUCUCUUUUGAGCAACAACUCCUCAGUACUAAGACAAUCGCAUCUAAAGGAAGCAUGUAGAAAUAUAUCGAACAGCUUUUGCAUGCGAAAACACACUCAAAAAUUAAAAUAAAAAAAAUAAAAAAUAUAUAUAAUGGGUGAUAAUAAUGUAUACACAAUGAAUGCCAAAAACUGCUUACACAAAUGAAUAUGCUCCGUAGAAAAAGUCUAAAAUAUAACAGUCACAUGAAGCAAUGUUAUGUCUCCAACUAAUUAAAUUGCUUUUCUAGGAUUCAUUCGUUCAAUGUUUUAAAAUAUAUUUGUAUCAAAAAUAGUAUGAUUGACUGAAUAUAGAUAAUAUACUGCAACUGCUAAAGUAGACCUCUUUAUGAACCCUAUAUGAGAAGUUGACCCCUUUAUGAACCCUAUAUGAGAAGUUGAUACGUGGCUUUUUAUAUGUUUGUCACGUGUCAAACUCAAAUACAAAUAUAGAUUUUCUAUUACUAUAUACUAAAAUAGAACCCUUUAUGAACCCUAUAUGAGAAGCUGACACGUGGCUUUCUAUAUGCUUGCAACGUGUCAAGAUCAAAUACAAAUAUAGAUUUUCUAAAUAUAUCUAUUACUAUAUACUAAAAUAGAUCCCUUUAUGAACCCUAUGUGAGAAGUUGACACGUGGCUUUCUAUAUGCUUGCCACGUGUUAAGCUCAAAUACAAAUAUAGAUUUUCUAAAUAUGACUAGAUUGACAGUUAUAUCCAAAACAAAUUAUAUUGUAGAUAACUUUAUAAUAAGUAGGCAACAAAGUUUUUUUUUCUUUAUAUUUUCUUGAAGACCAACAUCUAUAUAUUUUUGAGUUUUGAAAAUCUGUAUGUCUAUCAUAUGCAUAUGCUUACUCUAAUUUGUGUCAAAUAUAAAAGUUUAGUUGAUCUUAUUAUAUACCUAAAUAUUAAUGUCAUUUGUAAUUUUACAUAUCAAUUUUAGCUAUCAUUUUGUUUUGCACAUCAAUAUGUAAUGUAAAUUAUUUUGCACGCCAAUUCAUAGAUAAUAGAGCAAGGUUGAAUUUUACUUUUUACUUGAGUAUUUACUUUGGUCCAUAAUUUUUUUUCUCUAGCUUUUAUACUUUAAUAUAUACUAGAAUUAAGAUUAAUAGUAUAUUUUUUAUUUAUUAAAAAAAUAUAAUAUUAAUUAGAAUAUUUUUAUUAUUAUCACAUAAUAACUUUUGUUAUUUUAUAUUAUUAUAUUAUCCGUGUAUCGCACGGGUCAAAUACUAGUAUAUACAUAUUGUGCUAGAUGACUUACGUAAUUGUAAUCUAUUGAUAUUGAUGGUAUCCGAGGUACUUUGAUGAUAAUGCAUCUUAAUUAUUAUAUUCUUAUAUAUGUUGUACAAGCAAAAUAUUCUACACAUGCAGUUGUAGGAAAUUUGCUUUCUCUCUGUGGCGGCUGUAGAUUUGUAGACUAAGAUAAAUAGUUUGAUUGGACAUAUAUUAAGAUCAUGUUUGAAGCCAAAAUAAAUUAUUUACAAUAACUUAUUUAUUAUAAAACUUUUCUAGUGUGAUUAUACAUAGGAUUUAUUUUUUCUUUCUUAAAAAGUCUUGCUAUUUAUAAUUUGGUAGAAUAAUAUAUUUCACCUACGAUGUUAUUUAUCUUAUCGAGAAAAAUGACUUGAAGGUUGAAUAUAAUAUUCAAUUCUAGACAUUUAAUCACACUUCUCAUUUAACAAAUAUACAAAAUUUUCAAAAUAAAUUAUAAAGAUCUACGAAACAAAAUAUUCAUGCACCGAAUAGGAUCUAAAUGUUCGUGUCGAUCUUUGGUGCAAGAUUUUUUGUUGUUUUUAUUUAAAGCAAAUCUAUCUACAGAAUACACUCUAUCUAUCCAAUGGACAAUAUUUUUAUAUUAAUUUUGUUACAUUAUUAUUAAUAUUAAAUUUUGAAAAAAUUAUCUUAAAUUUGUGGACAAAUGAAUAGAAAUUUUAUAUCCUAUUUUUGGUUGUUGGUGUAUAUGAGAGUUUAUUUUCAAGGUAGGAUUUGAUCCUCUCUAUAUGUAUGAAUAGAAUUUAAUUUCCGAUCUCUCUUAGGUUGAUUUCGGAUAUGUGUAUGUUGGAUGAGUAGAGUAUAAAGAAAGUUUAUUGGUCGAGCCUUUAGACAAAGUCGAAAACAAACGAAAGGAAAAUAAAAAAUAAAAACUAUUUCUCUUUUGAGUAAACAACUAGUCAGUACUAUAAAAGGCAAUCGCAUCUAAGGAAGCAUGUAGAAAUAUAUUGCAUUUUGCCCUUCCGAGAACAGUUUUUUGCGCAUGCCCGCGCGCGCACACACCAAAAAAAAAAAAAAAANGAAUUUAAUUUCCGAUCUCUCUUAGGUUGAUUUCGGGUAUGUGUAUGUUGGAUGAGUAGAGUAUAAGGAAAGUUUAUUUUGCCGAGCCUUUAGACAAAGUCGAAAACAAAAAAGAGGAAAAUAAAAAAUAAAAACUAUUUCUCUUUUGAGUAACAACUCGUCAGUACUAAGGCAAUCACAUCUAAAGGAAGCACGUAGAAAUAUAUUGCAUCUUGCCCUUCUAGAGAACAGCUUUUGCGCACGAAAACACACAAAAAAAUUUAAAAAAAAAAAAAAAAAAAAACUGUAUAAUGGGUGAUAAUAAUGUAUACACAAUGAAUGCCAAAAACUGCUUACACAAAUGAAUAUGCUCCAAAGAAAAAGUCUAAAAUAUAGCAGUCACAUGCGGUGAUGUUGUGUCUCCAACUAAUCAAAUUGUUUUUCUAGGAUUUAUUAGUUCAAUGUUUUAAAAUAUAUUUUUAUUAUUCUUUUGUCUCAAAAAAAAAAGGUGUGAUUGACUGGAUAUAGAUAAUAUAGUGCAACUGUUACAUUAUAGACAUUUUCGGUCCGGAGGCUAUCGCCUAAUUUUUUUUAUUUGCCUUUGGUAACAACAAACAGAGCUCAUCACCACUAUAGACCAUUUUAAAUCACACAACUUUUUAAAAUUUUGAUCUUAAUAUCAGACUUUUUAAUUUAUUUAAUUUGAAUCAGCCAUCCGUGCUUUCACUUCAAAAUUUAAGUUUAUUAUUUUACUUUAAUGAAUUAAUAGUUGCGAGAAUUGUAUGAAAUACAACUAACCAAAUAUUAAAGAUAAAACAAUGCAUUCCAAUUUUGAAAUCGAGGUAUCGUGGAAUGACGUUGACCGCUUAAGUCAAAAAAAUUGGUAGGUUUAAUAGUAAAAUUAAAAUUUUAAAAGUCGGGUAGCCGAAUCAAAAUAGUUUAUAGUUCAAACAAGUUCUAUGCGUUCUUUAGCUUCUUUUUUUCCCAGCUUUCUAUUAGGGGGAUCAUCUCUUAUCCUUGCAAUUCCUCCUUAAUGCUGCCUCUUUUCAUCUCUAACAAGUUAAUUUCCAGCAUUAUUAUGUUAGGAGAUCAUCCUUGUCCUUUUCUUUCUAUAUCGUCUCAUUUCAUUUUCAGUUUAGAGCCUCCGUGUUGUGAUCAGAAUUGGAUUUCUGAAGAGAGUAUUGUCAUAGAAAUCUUUUGAGCAAAAUUUUUUCCACCAAAAUAGAAGAGCCAAAUUGGAGAUUUCGCUAUAGGAUUCAAGCUGCUGCAACUGUAAUAGAUGCUUCUGGGGUAAAACAAAACAAGCACUCGGAAGCUCUUCUAAUUGAAUCUUCAAAAGCAAAAAAAAAUAUAAUUCUCACUCAAAUACAUAAACCUUUUUUCUUGGUUACUUUUAACAUAAAUUAUCCCUCCAAAAUCAUGAACUUACACAUGGAUAAAUCAUGCAUAUAUAAACUUCCAUGUAAGGCCUCGGAAAACAUAGGGAUGUUUUAACUUCCUACGCUUCUAUCCAAAUACUACAUUAAACCUCAAAUUAUAAAUUUUUUUUCCUUUCCGAUCCCCAAAUCAACUGGAGCGAAGAGUUCGCACGGUACAUCGAUAUCAAUACAUACAUUGAUUCUGCCGAAAUAAGAUUAGCCUGUUACUGAUUUUCCAAGGUUAACAGCAAAAACAAUUACACCAAAACAGAGAUAACUAAGAGAAAAAUAAGCUGAGAAUGCUCCCCGAAUGCAUAUAUCUCAGGUUCUCAGCAUCAAUUCAUUUACAAAUAUAGAUAUAUGCUAAAUGCUAACUUUAGCCUCGAAGAGAAAAGCUCCUGCUCCUGGAUUUUGGAACGGAAGGCGAAAGAUCAGGAGAUACAGAAAAGAUAUAUUAAGAUACAGUGCGUCCAUAGCACACAGAAGCAAGGUAUAGAUUCUUGGCCCACUUCUCCUGCAAAAUCAUCAGAAAAGAAAAUAAGGAAACUGAUUUUUGUGAAAAAAAAAAAAAAAAACUGAUUUAUUUUUUAUUCAGCUCAGUGGCUUGAAUGUGCUAAGUAUUUUCCUCACAAUAGCAGACUAGCAGUGUCUUCUGCAGUGCCAAGCAUUUGGGAGGAUUGUAUCUAGGUCUCUCAUUUUCAGAAAUUUCAAAAAAAAAAAAAAAAAAAAAAAAAAAAACUAAAUCUCGAUCUUUUCAGAUAAAUUCUGUGGCCUCAAAUCUUAAUUUCAUAAAACUCCCAACUUUGGUUAAACCUAACAGUGAUUGAUUAACAGUUUAGACAUGUAUUUCCCCUGUGAUGCAGAAUCAGAAGCUACAAUUUGCAGUUUCUACUUUGUAGCUGCAGCGGAAAGCUGAGUAAAGGAUCUUAUUGAGAAAGCUAUUAGUCUCCUUGAGUAGCUCUACUUAAUCUGUACUGCAGAAACAAAAGCCAGGUCCCUAAGCUUUUCUUUCUUGUUACCUUGACAUGUGUGCUUGGGAAUGCAGAGGUCCGAAGAGUCUCCUGGGUCUCAUCAACUGGCUUGCGCCUUGGCACGCUAAGGAUAAGAGCGGCCUGAUCCCAUGUGGCGGCCAUCGCAGUGAUCCGAUAACCAUUGUCCCAUCGCCUGUGAAUGCCCUCACUCGGAUAGAGAAAGUCCAAUUCAACAACCUGUUCAGACAAGAUACCAUUGAGAAAGCACGAAAGACUGCUAGUACGUUGAAAUGCAAAUUCAAGCCUCAACAACAAAAUCUUGACCACAUUGACAGCUGAAUCCAGGAACCAUAAGGUGUUAUAAAAUGUUGCUGAUCAAAUGCAAAUAAGGGAAAAACAAAAAAGAAAGCAAAAUAAUUUAGAAAAAACAAAACAGCACAAAUUAAAAAAAAAAAGCUUAAUUACACUCUACUACACCAUACUUUAUGUUAUUUUCAUGUGCUUGUAAUUUUUUCUUUCAAAGACACCAUUGUAUUAUUAUAUUUUAUCAAUAUCUACAUUGUAUUUUUAAUUUAUUUUUGUUUUUCUACCUUGUACUAUUUUUUUCUCAUAUAUAUCACUACACUAAUUUUUUUCUUGUCAAUAUCUACAUUACUGUUGACAAGUUUAUUGUUUAGAAAAAUCUAACAAGUAUAUUAAAAGGUACUGGUUAAAUAAUACAAAAAAAAUGUAGAAUGAAUUUCCAUGAUAGAUUCAUUGAGAUCAUUUAUCAAGUUAUUUUCAAUUAUUUUUUUGUUAUUUUUACGUAUUUAUUUUUCAUGUCAAAAUGACCUGAAUAUAUGCUCUAUUACUCUUUAACAAGUAUUUUUUAACAGCUUUUAUAUCGAAGUAUAGGUUUAUUACUUUGCAGGGAUUUUUAAAAAGGGACAGUUGAGUGGUGCAUUUGAAAAAAAAAAAAAAAAAAAAAAAAAAAAAAAAAAAAAAAGGAGGUACAAUAUAAGAAGUGAAAAAAAUCUAUAACAUACAGUGUAGAAUAGUAUAAUCAAGCCAGUUAAAAACUACUUUGCUCUUGCGGCUUCCUUAGAUAUUAGAUUAAAGUAGAAAAAACUCGAUAAACUGGCGAAGGAAUAAAGACACAUAUUACUAAUGAUUGCUAGUAUUAACUACAGAAAAGCUUCAGAAUAAUUUAUACACAAAAAGAUGUUAGAAAGAACAGGGAAACCAACCAUAUUCCUACCAUUGUUCAUACUGCAGGGAAAGAAUAAAAUGCUUGGAGAGCAUAAUAUUUGAUUUCACAAACACUAUAAGGAAGCUUUGUGAAGGAAAUGGAAGUUUUUACUUUGUGAAGAAUAAAAUAUCAGAGGCAGAUCUGGAAACUGACCUGAUCACUGAAUCGAGCACUGCGAGACAUGACGAUACCCCACCGACCGCCAGAAGUUGCCAUUGAUGUUACAUGAAACCCUUCCUUCCACUUCUUGUUUAUCCAUUUAAAGGGAAAAGACUCACUGACUUUGUAUGAUUGCUGUGUAUAGGUUGUGCCUGAAAUUUAUUAGCAGCGUAAGUUACAACCAGAGACAAGAAAAGUGUGACGUGAACAAGAAUUGACAUCACUGAUAUAAAAAGUAAUCAAGAAAAAAAUAAGAUAACAUUUAGAAAAGGAAUAUCACAUUUCUUAAACUAAAUAGCCAACGCCCAGCUGACUAGGAAUCCACAUUAAAAUUAAAAUAAAAUUACAGCAUAUUUGUAAGCUAACACAUUGUUGCGGUCAGCUAACGUUUGAGCUCAUAACUGACAAAAAAAGAUUUCGUUUUCCUACCAAAAUUUACUUCAACUGGUAGCAAAAAAGGUUAGAUUUAUAUAUACAGAGAACAAUAUGACAAGCAAAAACCUUUGAAGAUGGUUUCGAAUUAUCUGGCAGUAUAACAAGCUCAAAUGACCAAAAGAAGAUAUGUCCUUACUAGUUCGCAAUUUGAUCAAGCAACACUAAACAAUGUCGCAACGCCAUUGAUUUUUACCUUUUCAAAAAUUUCAAACACAAUUCAGAAUUUAGUGAACUAGAUGAUAAAUUUUGCAUGUCCCAAGGACUUCAUGGCUCAAUAAGAUUUUUCGAAACUUACUCAGCAAAAGCCUAAAGAUUAAAUGUUGAAAGGAAAAAGACAGCAAAAGAUUUUAUAGUAUAUCACUCUACAGGUAAUAGACAGAUAAAAACUCCAAAAGAUACAGUUGCCCAGCCACGCAAAAUCCUGAGAAAGCGAAAGAGAAAUACAGCAAGAGAUCUCAAAUGCUACCAGUGGACUAAAAUAUGUUUAUCAUGUUCCCAGCAUUGGUGAAUUUCUCAGGGAUGGCAAAGUAACCCAUUAUUUUUGAGAUCUCAAAUGCCACCACUCAACAUCGCAGUGCAAAGUUCUAAAGGGUAAAGUUAAGUGCAUGCUGAUCCAAAAUUAAAAAAAUACUUGCCUUUCGACAUCACAACAAGUGAGCUCCCAUUAGUAGCACCAGCAACAGAGGUGAUGUAGUAGUUCUUUUCCCACUGUUCCAUAAUCCAUUCCUGCACAAUUAUUUGGUGGGAACAAUUGAAUCUCAGCAAAGCCAAAAAGGAAAGGAAGAAAGAAGAAAAACCAAUGAUAUGGCAUUAUACCUUGUGAAAAAAACAUGGAGACAAUUCAUAAACUUGAGAUGAAAAGCCAGUUCCUGCAUCCAUGAUGACUGCCCAAAGGUCCGAACAUGAUGCCACACAACUUAUUAGCAGACCAUCCUCAUUUCCUUUUGACACAUGUUGCGCCAAGCGUGUGUCGGCAACAUUAUAAUGAUACCUGAAAAGUCAAAUCAAACGAACUUAACUAGUGAAUAGAAGACAAGCUGUGUCAUGAUAGAAUGAAAGGAGGGGAAAAGCAUAAAACUCUUAAAAUUCGUUUUCAAGUAAUAUAAAUAAACACUUCGCAAGGGAACGUCAAAGAUCUAAGGCUCACGCUAAAAGCAAAAAAAAUUCCAGAAUGGCAUUUCUUACUUUUUCAGUUUAACAAAAUAUGAUUUCAAAUUAAAUCCACCAAAAAACUAUUAAUUAUUUUCAAAAAUAGUGGCGAGGUGUCAAAUGAUAAGAUCACAGUGAGACAACAUUUUCUUUCCAACUGUUUGAGCCAGACUAAAUCUUUACUAUCUAAAAACACUAGCCUCACCUCAUUCGGUCACAGAUAGAACUACUUGUGAUUCUAUACAGAAUAAGUUCUUUUAAACCCCUUUGCCUACUUUCAUUUCCACUUAACCAGUUGAUUAUGUAACUCCAACAGCAGGCAACCAUUACAACUGGUGACAUCCAGAACAAUAAAAUCAUGCUUGUAGAACCAUACAUUUUACUGUAGACGAUAUCGUUCAAAAACUUAUUAUAGAUUGGUUUUAAUCCAUAUGCAGAGGACCAUGCCAAACUAGCCAUAGAAUUGACACACAUUCUGACUAGGAGGCAUCAUGUAACAAAUGCAGAGUGCAUUAGUUUUUCUGUGUGAUCAAUUAAAGCUUAAGCUUCUAGUUAACCAUUAUCAACUGACACAGCAGCGUUUUCAGAACUCAGUUGAAUGAUCAUCCAUCAGGUCCACUUUGAGCAAGUAGAAAGAAAGUACUAACGUAGCAGAACAUACUUGGAAUCAAGAAAGAGACUAGUAAAUAACCAGUGAACUCAAGGUUUAAAAGCAGCAUAAUUGGCUUAAACAAGAUAUACCUCUGCUUCAUAGGCUGUCUCGCAUUGUAUACUGAUAUCCACUGAGAGGCCGGAACUCCCAAGCGAAUCCUCUUCUUUUGUUGUCCUUCAUCCUCUUCGUCGGUAGUCAAUCUACCACGCUUCUGACCAACCUAACAGAUUAACCACCCAAAAUUCCAUCAUUGCAAGUAUAUAAAAAUUGACUAACAUGCAUAAAGUUGAAUUUACAAAGGACGCAUAGGGAGCAAUAUAUCACCUUUUGAGCUCCAUCAGUGUUAAUUGGCCUACUUGCAGGAUUUGGUCCAAUAAGACCAUCAAACAACGAUAUAAGCCUGGGGUAGUUCGGCUCUUCAUCAAACUUCAUGUUAACAACAAUCUCAAGAAAUUGCUUGAAGGGAGAAGGGCAGAAGCAACAAAGCAUCUCAGGUGAUGUAGCCAUCUUCUUCUUGCAAACGAGAAACGAUUUAUUGUCACCCUUCAACAGGAAAAGAAAAACAUAGUGAGUUUUGACGAUACAUUAUUAUGGCAAGUGAAUAGGAUGUUAAUGACGUUUAAAAACCUGGUAUCCUUGCCACGGUAAUCUUCCUCUGUGAAGAAAAAUGAGUGUAUAUGCAAGGGACUCUAAAUCAUCUCUUCUACUUGGAGUUCUUCCCAAAUGUGCAUGAGCACUAGCAUAUCGAACAGUCCCUCUACAAAAUAGAAAAGUCAGCUUUCGAAUAGAAUUCUACUAGAAUGUAACUUUUGAUUAAAUUUAGGACUAAUUACAAAUUUGUUCGCCUGAAAUUUGAUUCCAAUCUUACUUACGUACUCUAACAAUCAGUUUAACAAUUUAGUUGCCACUGUUUGUUCAGUAUAGCAGCUUAAGUCCUUCCGCUAGUCUAUGUCUAAAUAUACUACCAAGUCAGGAUCAUUCACUACUAGAACCUACCUUAUAAUAGCUGUAAUACCGUCUAACUGUACCAAUGAUGUUAACACGUACGUCUUUUCCAAAAAGUGAACUAGAGAACUUUAUUAGUAAUCUUGACAAACUUCAAGGGUUAAAUUGGUAAAAGUGAUACUCAAAAUAAAAUCAAGGCAGAACUUCAGCAGCCAACUUCAUAAUUAAACCAUGCAUUUAGUAAGAAAUGAAAGCACCAAUUUACCUGAAGACAUCUGGACGUUGGUCGUAUUCAACAUGCUGCCCAGUUCCAUUAUCUCUCCACCUUGUUGCUACAAAAUCAACAAUAUGCAAUCAAUAAAAUAACACAGCAUGUCAAAGACAAAAAAGAAAAAAAAAAUGUACAGCUCAUGUAAAAGACUAAGGGCCUUUUUUGCCCCAGGUGUACGAUGCAGUGACAUUCAACGAACUGUUGUUUGAGUAGUGAUGUUAGGAAAAGCACUGACUGCAUUCAAAUUGAAAUUCUUCCAACAGCACAAGCAGAAGCUCCAGAUUGAAGUUUCUGCUUUUGUGCCUGGAGAUCCCAUUUCUGCUUAACCCCACAAUAGACUAGAGUUGGCUCCAGUUGAAAGCAAAAGCAGAAGCUAAGACCAUAUGGGCACUAAGCUGCUAACGCUCUAAAAUAGAAUGCGUCCAUGUGAUGGAAAGGCCCACUAAUCAUCAUCCGGAUGGACUGGAAAAUGAGAAUUUACCUAAUCCAAGGUCUACGAGAAAUAAUUUCUUUUCUUGAGGAGUUGACGGCUGUCCAAGAAGAAAGUUCUCAGGUUUUACAUCUCCAUGUACAUACCUAAAAAAACAACAACAUCCAUCAAGAUCAACCCCAAGAAAGAGCUUAUCUUAAUACAGUCAAAGAUAAAAAAUGAAUAUUAAAGAUACUCAACAGUGACCAUCUCCUUACCCUUUAGAAUGCAUCUUUUCCAGAAUUGACAGGGACUCAACAGCAAUGCAAGCCACCAUUUCUGAUGACAUCCUGAAUAUUACAAAUAAACCAAAAGAAAACGAAUGACAACUUGAACAGAAAGAAAGUCAAUGGUGAUUAAAUCAUUCUACUUGUUUACUGUUAUGUAGCUGUUUUUCAGCCACAAAAAGGCCUAUCUGUUUUAGAAUGUUUGUUCCAAAACCACAACACAUGACAAAUAUAUAAAUGGACAACAGAAACAUGAUGCAAAUAAAUUGAAGAUCAGAAAAUUUCACAUAUUAUUAAACACUGAGCCAAAUGAUAUAAACUAGGGCACAUAUAGAAAAGUAAAGAAAGGGACAGGAAAAAAAAAGGUCAAUGUUUAAUCUCAACUGAAUUUAAUUCAAAACUGAACUAUGUUAAUCAAACUACAGAGUUGAGGUACAAUUCCCUCAAAACACAACAAAGAAACAGAAAAAAAAAGAUAAAUAAAAGGAUUACAAGACAAAGAAUAGCAUCCAGACUUGGAUGCACUGUGCAUAAGUGCGCUACACUAGAUGCAAGCUCAGCAUACUGCAGGCUAUUAGAGAAGCUUAAUAACGAGCAACACAGGAUUAAGGAACACAUCAAAAAUUCAAAAUACAAGACUACGUGUGAAAUAUGGCCAGGCAUUAGAGAGCCCUUUGAGCAACCAAGUCUUUUUGGACUGUUUUACAGCUGUCAUUAUCAAUGAGCAAGAAAUAAUUUAAGAAAUCAAAAAAUGACAUGAUAAACAGGAUGAUCAGAUACUCACGUUUGCCCUGAUGAAUUCCAUGCAUCCCACAAACUAGGUCCCAGCAUAUCCAUUAUCUGCAAGUUAUUGAUGGAAGAAAAAAAAAAUUAGUAAGAUUUUAGAAGAGACAAAAUUACUGCCGCUAAGGAGCCGCCUUAAAACCAUAACAGGAAAGAGAGAAUUAACAUGAUAAUAAGGUGAUGCACCUUAUGAAAAUAAAUGCAAAAGACAUCGGAGUAAACCAUACCAUUACAUAAAAUUCUCCCUGCCGCCCUUUAUAAUGCACCUUAGGCACACCAUGAAUGCCACCUAGAACACUGUUAAAAGAAAAUGCCACCACAUUAGUUCAACAACAGAAAAACAACAACGAGUAGACUUUCUUCAGACAAGAAGUUCCAAACUCACUUGUAAACUUGCCACUCGUAUGGUGGACCGUAGCUACAGCCUUUGCUUGUCCUAUGCUCAAAUUUUAUGGCAACCUGUUUAAAAAACAGACAUCAUCAGAUAAAAUCAAAUAAAUGUUAUUAAAUUGAAUAAAUAGUAGCGACAAAAAGUAGUGGAAAGGGGGGAAAUCACGCAUGAACUUCCAAAACAAGAACAUGCAAUCAUAAGCAGAAUAUAAACAGAAAAGGUACCUCUAGAGCACCAGGACCUGCUGCGCGUUCAUUGCCUCCAGAGACACGUCGACCAACAAAUACCUGACCAAACCCACCUUUCCCCAACUUCCUUUCGACCCGAUAGGUGGGAGACCCUCCUACCUGGACCUGAGAAAUAGACAAAGUAAAGAUUAGCCAUUGCCCACAUGACUGAUACCAUCUAAAUGCAGUAAUAGUAUGUUAGCUUAUUACCACAUAAGUAAAUUUGGAAAAAAAAAAAGGCAAUGAUAGAAGGAUCCAGAGCCAAAGAAAUUAAAAAGAGGAUUAGCAAUACAAAAGUUUUUCAACUCGCAACAAAAUCACACACAAAAACCAAAGAAUAAAGGACAUAAAACCAUAGCACAAACAAACUUUAGCGUUGAUCUAUGAUUAGAAAAGUUAAAGCACUAUUUUGAGAAGGAAAAUUAAGUACUACCUUCUGGAAACAAUUGAGAGUAGUGCAACCAAAAACAAUGCAGUCCAGAUAUUCAAAAAUUAAUAAAUUAAAUGAGAUAGCAGGGAAGAUAGUAAUAAGAGAGCAUAAGUGUGUAAUGUACUUAAGUGAGAGUAUUGAUAUCAAUAAACACAGGCACAUUAAAGAAACCGGAUACACGUCACCGAAGGGGAGCAAGGGCAAAGGGAGGGAAAAAGAAACCAAGAAAAUAAUUAAUAAGGAAUGAGAGAGAAAGAAGUGUAGCAAUACGGUUUAACAUACUGUUCUCAAUGUCAAAAAAAUGAGUUAAGCAAAAUACGGGCGCAAAAGUGGCAUCAAUGUAAUGAAAUCAAAUGAAUGAGUUGUCACUUUACACAUAGAGGGGUAAUGUUUUAACAUGGGAAGAGCCAUGAAAACCAAAAUAAUGGCUAUCAAUAUGGCUAUAAAUAGUAUUCAUUCAUAUAUAUAUCGCAACAAAAUUGACGAUGAUGUCUUAAACCUAUGAUGCUCACAUCAGCAAGUCUCCUGACAUAGUAUGUGUGUAUAAUAGAUGCUCUAUCGAAUGGACCCAGAUUUUCAAGAACAAGCAAGAAAACUCAUAGGACAAGAACCAAGCUUUUUUUAUUUUCCUGGAUGGAGAAAAUGAGGAGACAAAAGAGAGAAAAAGGAGAAAUAUUCUCCACAGAGCUUGUUUUCUUUCUCUCAAAAAGUGAAAAGAUCAUUUUCAUUCACUUUUUUCUAUUCAAUGUGUUCAAACAACAGAAGAGAAGUCAUUUUCUUCUCCUCUUUUCCUCUCCUUUUUUCUUCCUUUUCUUCCAUUUCUCUUCUAAUCUUUUCCAUUUUUUUUCAAAGGCUAAAACUGGAUACAAAUAUGCGAGAAGGAGAAAGAACAAGAACGGAGGCGAUUCUUACCUUCUCCGGGAAGGGAACCGUGUUCCCCUCCUCUUCGGCUCCGGCUCCAGCUCCGGCAACCCUAUUGGCGCUCAAUCCACCACUAUCGUUCCUCAUCUUCUCCUUCCCACAACCCCCGCCCUUGUCCUCCUCCUCCUCCCCCUCAAUCACCACCACCUCCUUCACCCGAUCCCCCUCCUCCUCCUCCCCCGCGUUCCUCCCCUUCCUCGGCCUCAACCCCGGCCUCCCCCCCUUCGCCGCUGCCGCUGCCGCGUUCUUCGGGGGCCGACCCCUCCGCCUCGCCACGGGCCGAUCCUCUACGACGGCCGCCGUAGGCGGCGGCGCUCUUCGUCCGCUCCGCAGCUCCGGCAUUCUCCGUCCAAUCCCCGCACCAUCUCCUCAAUCUCGCCUCAUCCCCUCCGCCAUUCCAAGGCCCCAAACCCUAGAAUCGGCUCCACCCGCGCGAUCGCCCAAAUCGCCCGACGUCUCCACCAAAUCUCUAGGGUUUCCAACAAAUCUUACCUCAAAAGAACGAUCGGAGAAGCGAUUCGAUCGCGAAAACCUACCAAAGAGCGAUCCAAUCACGCCGAUCCUUCGCCCCGCCCUCUUCUUGCUCGCGAUCGACCGGUCGAGAGCUCCCACGAGAGAGAGAGAGAGAGAGAAGCGAAUUAGGGGAAGCACCGCGACGGAGAUUGAGAGAGAGAGAGAGAGAGAGAGAGAGAACGAUAUCCUUGCGAUUGGGGGAGAAGCGCCCUUUUAUAGUAACCAGCAUCGGUGGUCGAGUGCGGUAAAUAAUGAGAUGUGGGGGGAGUGAAAACGCAGUGCGGGCGAGUUUCGCACGUGCCUUUCUUGAGGGAGCGCACGUGCGAGACUUGGCGGCAAAAAGGGUGGCGGGGUUUUUCCGUAAAUUUUUCACGAGCGCGGGAUCGGAUUAAUGGUGUUUAUUAAUUUUUUUAAUUUAUUAAUUUUUUACCGAUGAGCCAAAAGUGCUGCGCCGUACGAGUCUGAUCUGAUCCAAAUCUAAAAUAACGGGUGCGGCAAACCCAUGUUUGCUCCACCGACAUCAUAGUAUAUAGAUAAAAAAUUCAUAUACAAAAAUUAUUAAAUUUUUAUAUACAGGGUAAAAAAGUUGUACAAAAAUUAUUAAAUUAUUAAAUUUUUAUUAAUAAUAUGAUUAAUAAAAAAUUUGAAUUAGGCUACUAUACUAUCUAUAGUACGGGAGCUCCCAUACUAUAGUGUUGUUUUCGAUCUUAGAGCGUUCAAAUCAACGAUCCACAUCGUUAAAUAUGAUUUAGGGUAUAUGAAGUUCUUAGGAAUAAAAUUUUAGUUCUUUUCGAUAUCGUUUACUUAGUAAAUAAAUUAUGUCAAAAUGGACGGUGGGAAUUGAAUACUUUUUAAAAUUUGAGCCUAGGACUUUUAAAUUCAAGAUCAAGAAUGUUAACCUUAAUCUAGAUAGUUUAAAGCAUUUUCUAUCAAAAUUUGAAGAAAUUUAGAUUCUUCUACACCGUUAAACUCCAAACUCAUCAUAAUAGACAUUGAAAAUUGACAAUUUUGAAAUAUUUUAAUUAUAAAGUAAACUAUGUCGAAAAAAUAUAAAAUUUUAUUUCUAAAAACUUUAAAUACCCUAGAUCAGUUUUAACUGUCACGCCCCGGAUGUCACGUUCCCCGGGCAUGCCGACAAAUCCGCCGUAUACAAAGGAAAUUCCCCUGUAUACGAAGCGACAAUAGUACCUGCAAUCAUAUAAUACUACAAACAGUAGUAUUGAGCUGCUCGAGUAAACAAAAGCUACACCAACUGAGCUUCAUAUAUAUAGUUCAGAAUCCAAAAUACAGCGUUACUCGCACUGGCGAGUUAAGUACUAUGUACAUAAGCUCGAAGUAAAACAACUACCUGUAGUAGGGUGCCUCUAGCUCUGUCAGUCGGGUAGGGCUCUAACUCGCGACGCCCUUGCCUCGAUCCUGAUCCGCGGAAGGCGCAGCAGCUAAAACCUGUGGCUCUGCAAAACAGGGGUAACAACUGGGCGUGAGAACUACUAUAAAAACAAGUAGUCCUCAGUGGGUGCCGCCCAAAACAACAUCAGUCCACCCACUAAGUCUACAGAAGGGAGCAAGAAUAGUAGUAAAUGCAGGAAUAAAGUCUACCGCUAUCAAACACUACAUUAUCAUGCUCUACACUAACCAACUGUAAAAAAAUGUCCAAUCUGACCCAAUCCAAUCGGGACUGUAAGCAUACCCGUCCCCGGGACUGUGAAUACACCCGUCCCUGCCCCGUUGCGACUAUCGGGCUCUAUCCACACUAACUGGUCCGUAGAGAGCAAGUCCAACUGGCAUGAGCGACACCAACGCGAAAGCACAAAGCCUGACUCCGGAGUGGCACUCGUGGGCGCUACCCAACCGAGUAUGCAGCGUAUCUCUGUCGAGCUCAAACAGGCUCUGAAAAGCCAAAGUCAAGUAACCGACUCAAACUGGUCUAACCACCAACAGGUAAUGUGCCCUCGGCACAAUCUGACGCCAAAAAGGCGAUACGGGUCCACCGUCAACUCUGACGGCACCCACCAGUCGGGAACAACCUGAACGAUCCUGUAAAAAUCCACUCGGCGCACCAGCACGAGCGUAAAUGUAAUCUAAACUACCUGGAGUACUCGUCUCGAAAAUACUGCGACAGUACAAUUUAAUAACGGCUCCUAGAGCUAAAUCAGGCAGUUUAAACGAGUGACAGGUCCAAAUCGCAGGUUUUCUCCUAAUUCAAUUUCCAAGUCCAACAUGUAUAACCUACUUAAUUUAUUACCACAUGCUCCAAAUUCAGAUUUGCAAUCUACGAUAUAAUCCAUGAAUUCGAGCUAGAAUAGAGUAUCCAAAGGUCGAAAAUUAUACAUGCCGACGAAUAUGAACUUAGGAGUAAAAACCGAUGUAACCCACCUCUCAAGCAACUCCUGGCAGCGAAGAAAACGUUAAAUCCGACCAAGCUAACCUUAUCCAAAUUCAGCAAACAAGGGUCCUGAAGCUUUGUCUUGAAGUCACGAAUCCAAUGGCCCAGGUUUCGCUGAAUUCUGACGCUCCUACGCAGAGAACGGGCCAGAAUACGAAACGUCGACGCUGGAACCUGCGAAACAGCAUCUCUGAAAUCUGCUCGGCAAACAACAGCCUAGUAAAACUAGGGUUUGACAGGGCAAACCUGCUCCAAAAAUCGCGAUCUUGGGCUCAGAAUCUUCGUCUCGAAGUCGCGAAUCUAACACGUCAAAUUUCGUCGCGUUUCGACACUCCUACACAGAGAACUAGGUAAAACACGGCGGGUCGAUGCUGGAAUCAGCAAUCAGCACUUCAGAGUCUGCUCGGCAAACAGCAACUCAGUAAAAAGAGAUUUCAACAGAGAAAACCUUCUCCAAAUUGGGCGAGUAAGGAUCCUAUGAAUUCGUCUCGAAGUCCCGGUUCCAACGAACCAAAUCUCGUCGAAAUCCGAUGCUCCUACGUCGCGUACGAGCUGAAAUACUAACAGUCGACGACAAGAUCCUGCGAAUCAGCACUUAAGCUCGAAUUGAAUGAAGCUUGAAGUAGAGAAGAAAUCCAUAGAGGAAUGAGAGAUUACCCACCUCAACCAGCGACUCCAAUUCCGGCACGGCGUCGAGAACGACGAAAACACUCCCUCGCCCGGCCUCCUCGCUAAACUACGGCGACGCACGUAUGCUCGGACGGCUCGGCGACGCGACGUCGGCGACGAACGCUCCACCCAAGCUCCUCCUCCUUGCGUAUGGCUCCAGAGACAGAUAGGGAGGAAAUUUAAUUAAAGAGGUGUUGGUUGCAACCCUCAAUUAAAAUGGAUAAGCAUGCAUGCAUGGGAGGGGGGUACGUGGCAGCAUCCAUAUAUAUAUAUAUAUAUAUAUAUAUAUAUAUAUGAGGAUACUACAUUCUGAGAGCCCAAUUCCCAUGUUCUUUACAACUCAAUAUCUUGCAAAGCACAGUAACAACUGGUUUAUUCUAAUUCUCAGUUAUUUUCAUCUUAGUUUUAUUAAGUCAGUUUCAUUCUGUGGAAUUAAACACAAAUAUUUAGAUCUGACCGUUAGCGGAAGCUUGUCGGGUCUUUGUCGCACACGAUCGAUCCGGAAUUAACGGAGGUUGGAUUACGGACCCGUCAUAAUCGGAGGUCUUGCUAUGAUCAGCUUUGCGGUAGACCUAACUACGAACGAGUUUACGUCUUGAUUCCAUUGUUCAAGAUUCCUUGGAACCCUUGAUGUGAAUGGAGAAUGCGGAUGUAAAUUUUCGUCCACAACCCCUUUGAUGGGAUUUAAUCUUAUACCAACUCUUUAUGUAUCAGGCUCUUAAUGCCAACCGUUGAUGUGAAUGGAAAAGCUGAUUUUCUUUGGAACUAAAAGGACAAAAAAUUUUAAAAAUUUUUUUAUGAAAAAACUAUUUUUUCGAAACUAUUUUUUCACGCUUUUUCGAAAAACCGAAUAACCCCUUAUAAAUAUUAUCUGAAGCUGUUAGGGAGAUAAGUGCCUCAUCUUUCAAUUUUUUAGCAGGACGAAUAUCUGAUCAAGUUUUAGGAUCAAAUCAGGUGAUGCGCACAUUUGAUCCGACCCAUCCAACCAAAUUCUAACUCGUCCAAUCCUGGCUUGACUUGGACUGAAUUUAUCAAAUCUAUUUAGCCUAAUUUCCGUACUACCACAUUAAAUUUGUACCACGUGCUGAGAGUGGAUAGCACAUGUAAAGGGAGCAUAUUGGCUUCCUUUUUGUUCGAAAAUUAUUAGGAACUAAUUAUAUCGGAGAUAGAUAAGUACGAAUAUGAGUUUUUGUAAGAAUAAAAAUAUUUUUUUAUUUAGAUAAAAAUAUGAGAAUAAGAUGGAAUUAGAAAAAUUAUGUUUGGAUGGUUAUUGGGAAUAAGAGGAUUAAUUGUUAGUUAUAAAUAAAAAAUAAUGAUAUUACCCAUAUAAUUGAAUUUAAAUUUUUAAAUUUUAAAUUUAUAAUUUUAAAAUAAAAAUUAAANCCUCUGUCUGUGGGUGAAAAGCAGUGCUGAAAUGUAACUGAGUCCCCAAAGUUGUCUGUAAACUCCUCCAGAAAUGCGACACAAACCUCGGGUUUCGGUCUGAUACAAUCGAUACUGACACGCCGUGCAGCCUGAUGAUCUCAUCAAGGUAUAGCUGCGCGAGUCUCUCUCUGGACCAGAUGGUCUGAACCCGUAAGAAGUGAGCAGACUUGGUCAGUUUGUCCACUAUCACCCAAAUCGCAUCAAAGCCACCCUGCGCUCUAGGCAAUACCACGACAAAGUCCAUCGUAAUCUACUCCCACUUCCACUCGGGCACUGGCAGACUCUGAAGCUUGCCAGCAGGUACCUGAUGCUCGUCCUUCACCUGUUAACAAGUCAAACACUGAGCCACAUAUCUGCCAAUGUCUCUCUUCAUUCCAUUCCACUAAAACUGUGCCUUUAAGUCCUUAUACAUCUUGGUUCCACCUGGGUGUACUGUAUAAGGUGAACAAUGAGCCUCUCUCAAGAUGUCAUCUCGGAUCCCUGAAUCCACCGGCAUACACAGUCGGUUCCUGUACCGCAGUACUCCCGAACUGUCCAAAGAAAACCCUCAGUCUGCCCCUCCGUCUGGCUGCUCUCUAAUCCUGAACAAGUACGGAUCUCCACUCUGUUUCUCUCGGAUCCUAUCCAACAGAGUGGGCUGUAAAACUAGAGACGUCAGCCUCGCCGUAGACCCAGGGGUACUAUCUCGAGUCCCAGCCGCUGUAGCUCCUCGAGUUGGGGUCUCUGCUUAGUGAUCCUCAAACUCAGGCUCUGCACUGCCUUCCUGCUCAACGCAUCUGCCACCACAUUCGCCCUGCCGGGAUGAUACUGAAUACUAAUGUCAUAGUCCUUCAGUAACUCCAACCACCGGCGCUGCCUCAGGUUCAGCUCCCUCUGUGUGAACAGAUACUUGAGACUUUUAUGAUCGGUGAAGACCUCGCAGUGCUCGCCGUACAAGUAAUGCCGCCAGAACUUCAAAGCAAAGACUACCGCUGCAAGCUCCAAAUCAUGCGCAGGGUAAUUCUUCUCAUAAUCCUUUAACUGCCAUGAAGCAUAAGCAAUCACCCUACCAUGCUGCAUCAGCACGCAACCAAGUCCACUGUGCGAUGCAUCACUGUAGAUCACGAAUCCCUAGACUGAUUUUUCGGACUCGUACGCGGCAUUAUGAGUUCACGGAUGCUUUUGGAUUGACGAAUGCCCUGCCGAUUCAUGGUUUUGGAUGAAUAGAGUGUUCAAGCCAUCUUGAUAGGUUUGUGGUAGUCUUCAUCAUGAUAUCCUAAUAUACAUCCCGGGAAUGAUCUGAGCAGAGGAGCACUUCGAGGAUUGUGCUAACAGCUUCUGCGAGCGAGAAAGAAGUUUGUAUACUAAGUUAAAAGAAGUGGCGAGUUCUGGCUACGGGAAGUUGCUUUCUAGCCACGUGAUUUUCAGCUGAGGGCGUUUAGCCAGUGCCAAGAAGAUUGAGGCGAUUCGAGAUUGGCCUAGACCAACGACGGUGACGGAGGUACGGAGCUUCCUGGGACUGGCAGGAUAUUACGUCAGUUUGUGGAAGGCUUUGCGAAGCUUUCCACACCACCCCUCACACGCUUGACGGCGGAAGGGGAUUCGUUUUGUCUUGAGCGACGACUGUCAGAGGAGCUUUGACGAGUUGAGGUUGAGGUUGACGUCGGCUCCUAUCCUUGCCCUUCCGGUGAUGGGGGAUGGAUUCGUGAUCUACAGUGAUGCAUCGCACAGUGGAACUUGUUGCGUUGCUGAUGGCAGCAUGGUAGGGUGAUUGCUUAUGCUUCAUGCAGUUAAAGGAUUAUGAGAAGAAUUACCCUGCUACUGAUUUGGAGCUUGCAGCGGUACUCUUUGCUUUGAAGUCUGGCGGCAUUACUUGUACGGCGAGCACUGCGAGGUCUUCACCGAUCAUAAAAAGUCUCAAGUAUCUGUUCACACAGAGGAGCUGAACCUGAGGAGCGCCGGUGGUUGAGUUACUGAACGACUAUGACAUUAGUAUUCAGUAUCAUCCCGGCAGGGCGAUAUGUGGUGGCAGAUGCGUUGAGCAGGAAGGCAGGUGCAGAGCCUGAGUUUGAGGAUCACUAAGCAGAGACCCAACCAACCGAGGAGCUACAGCGCUGGGACUCGAGAUAGUACCCCUGGGUCUACGGCGAGGCUGACGUCUCAGUUUUACAGCCCACUCUGUUGGAUAGGAUCGAUAGAAACAGAGUGGAGAUCGUACUUGUUCAGGAUUAGAGAGCAGCCAGACGGAGGGGCAGACUGAGGGUUUUCUUUGGACAGUUCGGGAGUACUGCGGUACAGGAACGACGUGUAUGGCCGGUGGAUUCAGGGAUUCCGAGAUGACAUCUUGAGAGAGGCUCAUUGUUCACCUUAUACAGUAACACCCAGGUGGAACCAAGAUGUAUAAGGAACUUAAAGGCACAGUUUUAGUGGAAUGGAAGAAGAGAGAGCAUUGGCAAUAUGAUGCUCAGUGUUUGACUUGUUAACGAGGUGAAGGACGAGCAUCAGGUACCUGCUGGCAAGCUUCAGAGUCUGCCAGUGCCCGAGUGGAAGUGGGAGUAGAUUACGAUGGACUUUUUGUCGGUAUUGGCCUAGAGCGCAGGGUGGCUUUGAUGCGAUUUGGGUGAUAGUGGACAAACUGACCAAGUCUGCUCACUCUUACGGGUUCAGACCAUCUGGUCCAGAGAGAGACUCGCGCAGCUAUACCUUGAUGAGAUCAUCAGGCUGCACGGCGUGUCAGUAUCGAUUGUAUCAGACCGAAACCCGAGGUUUGUGUCGCAUUUCUGGAGGAGUUACAGACAACUUUGGGGACUCAGUUACAUUUCAGCACUGCGCUUUUCACCCACAGACAGAGGGUCAGUCAAGAGCGGACCAUACAGACUCUAGAGGACAUGCUGGAGGGCAUGCGUCCUAGAUUUCUUGGAGGAGGAUGGUAUCGACAUGUGAGACUGGUUGAGUUUGCGUACAACAACAAGCUAUCAAACAAGCAUUCAGAUGGCUCCGUUUGAGGCAUUGUAUGGACGCAGAUGUCGAUCCCCCUGUUUUGGAGUGAUGUGGGUGAGCGGAGGACACUGGACCGGAGAUUUUACUUGAGGCUGAGGAAAAGGUGAGAGUCGUCCGCACACUUCUGACAGCACAGAGCCGACAGAGGAGCUACGCCCGAUAUCAGGAGACGAGACUUAGAGUUUUCAGGUUGAGAUCAUGUUUUCUCAAAGUCUCACCGUCCAGAGGGAUACGCCGUUUUGGGAGUACGUGGAAAGCUUAGUCCACGGUUUGUGGCCCUUUCGAUGUAUUAGAGCGUAUCGGACCGUGUGGCUUACAGGAUAGCUCUACUCCCCCGCACUUGCUGGCACCACGAUGUUUUCCACGUCUCAGCAUUGAGGAGAUACGUUUUCGACCCCUCAUCACGGAUUGACUUCACUCCACUAGAAGAUUGGAGAGGAUCUAAGAUACGAGGAGCGACCGGUGCGGAUUCUUGCUCGUGAGACGAAAAAUUGCGCAACCGGGUCAUCCCGUAUGUAAAGGUGCAGUGGAGUAAUCACGAGGAGAGGGAGGCGACUUGGGAGCCCAAGACGAUGAUGAGGGAGUCCUAUCCCGACCUAUUCGUUGCCCUGUCUUGAGGUAUAUUUUAAGUUUCGAAGGACGAAACUUUUUGUAGUGGGGGAGAAUUAGUAUCCUCAUAUAUAUAUAUAUAUAUAUAUAUAUAUAUUAUAUAUAUAUAUAUAAAUAUAUAUAUAUAUAUAUUAUAUAUAAUAUAAUUAUAUGGAUCUGCCACGUACCCCCCUCCCAUGCAUGCAUGCUUAUCAUUUUAAUUGAGGUUGCAACCAACACCUCUUUAUUAAAUUCCUCCCUAUCUGUCUCUGGAGCCAUACGCAAGGAGGAGGAGCUUGGGUGGACCGUUCGUCGCCGACGUCGCGCGCGGAGCCGUCGAGCAUACUGCGUCGCCGUAGUUUAGCAAGGAGGCCGGGAGGGAGUGUUUUCGUCGGUCUCGACGCCGUGCCGGAAUUGGAGUCGCUGGUUGAGGUGGGUAAUCUAUCUCUCAUUCCUCUAUGGAUUUCUUCUCUACUUCAAGCUUCAUUUCAAUUCGAGCUUAAGUGCUGAUUCGCAGGAUCUUGUCGUCGACUGUUAGUAUUUCAGCUCGUACGCGACGUAGGAGCAUCGGAUUUCGACGAGAUUUGUUCGUUGGAACGGGACUUCGAGACGAAUUCAUAGGAUCCUUACUCCCAAUUUGGAGAAGUUUUCUCUGUGAAAUCUCUUUUUACUGAGUUGCUGUUUGCCGAGCAGACUCUGAAGUGCUGAUUGCUGAUUCCAGCAUCGACCCCGUGUUUUACUAGUUCUCUGUGUAGGAGUGUCGAACGCGACGAAAUUUGACGUGUUAGAUUCGCGACUUCGAGACGAAGAUUCUGAGCCCAAAGAUGCGAUUUUUGGAGGCAGUUUGCCCUGUCAAACCCUAGUUUUACUAGGCAUGUUGUUGCCGAGCAGAUUUCAGAGAUGCUGUUUCGCAGGUUCCAGCGUCGACGUUUCGUAUUCUGGGCCGUUCUCUGGUAGGAGCUAGAAUUCAGCGAAACCUGGGCCAUUGAUGCGUGACUCAAGACAAAGCUCAGGACCCUUGUUUGCUGAAUUUGGAUAAGGUUAGCUUGGUCGAAUUUACGUUUUUCUUCGCUGCCAGGAGUUGCUUGAGAGGUGGGUUACAUCGGUUUUUACUCCUAAGUUCAUAUUCGUCGGCAUGUAUAAUUCUUCGACCUUUGGAUACUCUAUUCUAGCUUCGAAUUCAUGGAUUUAAUCGUAGAUUGCAAAUCUGAAUUUGGAGCAUGUGGUAAUAAUUAAGUAGGUUAUACAUGUUGGACUUGGAAAUUGAAUUAGGAGAAAACCUGCGAUUUGGACCUGUCACUCGUUUAAACUGCCUGAUUUUAGCUCUAGGAGCCGUUAUUAAAUGUACUGUCGCAGUAUUUUCGAGACGAGUACUCCAGGUAGUUUAGAUUACAUUUACGCUCGUGCUGGUGCGCCGAGUGGAUUUUUACAGGAUCGUUCAGGUUGUUGCCGACUGGUGGGUGCCGUCGAGAGUACGUGGACCCGUAUCGCCUUUUUGGGCGUCAGAUGUGCCGAGGGCACAUUACCUGUUGGUGGUUAGACCAGUUUGAGUCGGUUACUUGACUUUGGCUUUUCAGAGCCUGUUGAGCUCGACAGAGAUACGCUGCAUACUCGGUGGGUAGCGCCCACGAGUGCCACUCCGGAUCAGGCUUUGUGCUUUCGCGUUGGGUGGUCGCUCAUGCCAUUGGAGACUUGCUCUCUACGGACCAGUUAGUGUGGAUAGAGCCCGAUAGUCGCAACGGGGCAGGGACGGGUGUAUUCACAGUCCCGGGGACGGGUAUGCUUACAGUCCCGAUUGGAUUGGGUUCAGAUUGGACAUUUUUUUCAGUUGUUAGUGUAGAGCAUGAUAAUGUAGUGUUUGAUAGCGGUAGACUUUUAUUCCUGCAUUUACUACUAUUCUUGCUCUCCUCUGUAGACUUAGUGGGUGGACUGAUGUUGUUUUGGGCGGCACCCACUGAGGACUACUUGUUUUUAUAGUAGUUCUCACGCCCAGUUGUUACCCCUGUUUUGCAGAGCCACAGGUUUUAGCUGCUGCGCCUUCCGCGGAUCAGGAUCGAUGCAAGGGCGUCGCGAGUUAGAGCCUACCCGACUGACAGAGCUAGAGGCACCCUACUACAGGUAGUUGUUUUACUUCGAGCAUUAAGUACAUAGUACUUAACUAGCCAGUGCGAGUAACGGCUGUAUUUUGGAUUCUGAACUAUAUAUAUGAAGCUCUGUUGGUGUACUUUUGUUUACUCGAGCAGCUCAAUACUACUGUUUGUAUAUAUAUGAUUGCAGGUACUAUGUCGCUUCGUAUACAGGGGAAUUUCCUUUGUAUACGGCGGAUUUGUCGCAUGCCGGGGAACGUGACAUCCGGGGCGUGACAGUUAAAACUGAUCUAGGGUAUUUAAAGUUUUUAGAAAUAAAAUUUAUAUUUUUUCGACAUAGUUUACUUUAUAAUUAAAAUAUUUCAAAAUUGUCAAUUUAUCAAUGUCUAUUAUGAUGAAUUUGGAGUUUAACGUGUAGAAGAAUCUAAAUUUCUUCAAAUUUGAUAGAAAAUACUUUAACUAUAUAGAUUAAGGUUAACAUUCUUGAUCUUGAAUUUAAAAGUCUAGGCUCAAAUUUUAAAAGUAUUCAAUUCCCACCGUUCCAUUUUGACAUAAUUUAUUUACUAAGUAAACGAUAUCGAAAAGAACUAAAAUUUUAUUCCUAAGAACUUCAUAUACCCUAAAUCAUAUUUAACGUAUGGGAUCGUAUGAUUGAACGCUCUAAGAUCGAAAACAACACUAUAUGUAUGGGAGUCCCGUACUAUAGAUAGUAUAUGUAGCCAAUUCAAAUUUUUAUUAAUCAUAUUAUUAAUAAAAUUUAAUAAUUUAAUAAUUUUUGUACAACUUUUUUACCCUGUAUAUAAAAAUUUAAUAAUUUUUGUAUAUGAUAUUUUUUAUCUAUAUACUAUGAUGUCGGUGGAGCAAACAUGGGUUUGCCGCACCCGUUAUUUUAGAUUUGGAUCAGAUCAGACUCGUACGGCGCAGCACUUUUGGCUCAUCGGUAAAAAAUUAAUAAAUUAAAAAAAUAAUAACACCAUUAAUCCGAUCCCGCGCUCGUGAAAAAUUUACGGAAAAACCCCCACCCUUUUUGCGCCCAAGUCUCGCACGUGCGCUCCCUCAAGAAAGGCACGUGCGAAACUCGCCCCGACUGCGUUUUCACUCCCCCACAUCUCAUUAUUUACCGCACUCGACCACCGAUGCUGGUUACUAUAAAAGGCGCUUCUCCCCCAAUCGCAAGGAUAUCGUUCUCUCCUCUCUCCUCUCUCUCUCUCUCAAUCUCCGUCGCGGUGCUUCCCCUAAUUCGCUUCUCUCUCUCUCUCUCUCUCGUGGAGCUCUCGACCGGUCGAUCGCGAGCAAGAAGAGGCGGGGCGAAGGUCGGCUGUUGAUUGGANNNNNNNNNNNNNNNNNNNNNNNNNAGUGACCCGAGAAGAUUGAGGCGAUUCGAGAUUGGCCUAGACCAACGACGGUGACGGAGGUACGGAGCUUCCUGGGACUGGCAGGAUAUUACGUCAGUUUGUGGAAGGCUUUGCGAAGCUUUCCACACCCCUCACACGCUUGACGGGAAGGGGAUUCGUUUUGUCUUGAGCGACGACUGUAGAGGAGCUUUAGACGAGUUGAGACUUUGAGGUUGCGUCGGCUCCUAUCCUUGCCCUUCCAGGUGAUGGGGAUGUCUUGGGAACAUCCUCGGCCCUCACCCUCAACUGGUGGUAACCUGACUGGAGAUCAAUCUUCGAGAAGACAUAAGAUCCCUGCAGCUGAUCAAACAAAUCAUCAAUGCGCGGCAAGGGAUACUUAUUCUUGAUGGUCACUUUAUUCAGCUCCCGGUAAUCUACACAUAACCUGAGCGAACCAUCCUUCUUCUUAACAAAUAACACUGGCGCUCCCCAAGGCGACACACUGGGUCUCACAUAUCCCUUGUCCAUCAAAUCCUGAAGCUGCGCCUUUAGCUCUCUCAGCUCAGCCGGCGCCAUCCGAUAAGGUACCUUUGAGAUUGGUGUAGUUCCAGGAACUACAUCAAUCACAAACUCAAUCUCCCUCUCCGGCGGCAAUGUCGUCAACUCAAGGGGAAAUACAUCCGGAAACUCGCGGACUACUGGAAUAUCCUCGAGUCCCGGUGCCGUCGUAGGUACCUCCACAACUGUCGCUAAGAAAGCAAUACACCCGCUACUCAGCAUCUGUCGAGCCCUCGCCGAAGAAAUCCAUGGAGGAAUGAGAGAUUACCCAUGGAUCAUUGAUUUGAACGCCCGAAAAUCGAAAACAACACUAUAGUACGGGAGCUCCCGUACUAUAGAUAGUAUAGUAGCCGGACUCUAAAAAAUUUAUAUAUAAAAAUUAAUAGAUUUUUAUAUACGGUAUAAAAAAAAUUGUAUACCGAGCAUAUAAGACAUGAACCAAACUUUUUUAAAAAAUAAGUAUCGCGAUCAAUCCUAUUUUUUUAAUAGUAUACGAUAUGAACAAACCUUUUUUAAAAAAAAUGUUGUGCACGAAAUAUAAAAGAUACGAACCAAACCUUCUAUUUUUUAAUUUAAUAAUAUAAUUGAUAAAAAAAUUACAUACGAAAAUUAAUAGAUUUUUAUAUACGGUGUAAAAAAAAUUGUACACCGAGCAUAUAAUACAUUUUUUUAAAAUAAUUAUUGCAUAGAUUAAUCCUAUUUUUUAAUAGUAUCUUUUUUUUUUAAUAUUAUAAGACGUGAACCAAACCUUUUUUUAAAAUAAUUAUCGUAUGGACAAACCUUAUUUUUUAAUAGUCAAUAUAACAAAAUUAAAAUUUUAUCUAUUAAAUACAAUCUAUAAUUAAUAAAUAUUUUUGCUGUAUCGUAUGAACCAACCCUAUUUUUUAAUAGUAUAAUUAAUAAAAAAAUCCCAUACAAAAAUUAAUAGAUUUUUAUAUACGGUGAAAAAAAAAUUGUAUACCGAGUAUGUAAGAUAUGAACCAAACUUUUUUUAAAAAUAAUUAUCGCAUGGAUCAACCCUAUUUUUUAAUAGCAUAAUACAUAAACCAAAACUUUUUUAAAAUUAAUUAUCUCAUGAACCAACACUAUUUUUUAAUAGUUACUAUAACAAAAUUAAAAAUUUCAUCUAAUAAAUACAAUUUAUAAUUAAUAAAAAACUAAUAUAAUUUAAUUGUAUUUAAUAUUGUAAAAUUUCUAAAAUGAAUGUGCUUUAUAUAAAGUUAGCGCGAAAUAUUGUAUCUAAUUUGUCGGGAUAUAUUUUCUACUUCGUAUAUUACUAUAUAUUUUUAUAUACUCAUAAAAUUAUACAUAUCUAAAUAAAUAAAUAUUGUGCAAAUUAAUUAAAAUAUUUUUUUCUCGCAGCAUUGCGCGGGCCCUUAGCUAGUAUAUCAUAAAUUCAAAACACAUGCACCUACUACAAUAUAGUUAGAAAGCAUGCAUAAUAAGUUCAAAAUCUUAUAAUGAAAUAAACGAAGCGGGUAGCGUGCUACUUAUCUCUCAAAAAAAAAAAAGAAAAAAAAAGUUCAAAAUCUUAUAAUGAAAAGAUGAGUAUCAAGGUUUUUUUUCUCUUUGGUUUCAGUUGACGGUCAGAUAUUUUACCGAGUCGGUGUCAAGAUUCGAAUAUGAAAACUAUCUCAGACCCUACCCACCAAAGGGUCAGGUCCAGAUCAGGUCCGAGUGGGUAUGAUUAUGAAGUAUUCAAAUCUAUACCGGAUGCAUACCAAAAAUAUAAUAAUAAUAGAAGUGGUGUUGGGUAGGUGGAACCAGUUGUAUCAGUUGGCUUGAUCGACCAGACUACACACUAGAUCGACCGUCCGAUUGAUCUAAGCUGAGUCCAGAUUGCUAGAUCGGGGAUCUGCUCCAACGGUGCUCAAUAGUGGCUUGAUCUGAUUUUUCAAGUUCAAAACUACAACAUUCACAAAACAAAAAACCUUCCCUAUUCCAUUUCUAAGUCAUAAAAUUUUCCACUUAGGGUGUGUUUGGAUCCCUGUUAAAUUCCUUCGAAAAAAAAUUUUCGGUGGAAAAUUUGUUUUUCCUUGUAUGGUUGUCUGUAAAAAUUUUUUUGGAAAAGUUAUUUUACAGAUUUCUAGGAAAAAUUCAGCUUUUCGUUUUCCGCUUGCCGUCCGCGGAAAACGAAAAGCUACAGGAAAAUAUCGCGGCGUUUGGCGCGAAGGGGAGCAACGGGAUGACGCGGUCCACAAGACCACUUUGGCCUCGUAGACCGCGUCGGAGGGAGGUCCACAGCAGCCCUUGUGUUUCUAAUUUUCUAAUCACCCAUCAAGUUUGAUGGGUGGUUAGAAUGAGAGAGGGAGAAAAUAUUGGGGAGAAAUUGGGUAUUUCAAUUUCUCUUCUUAUUAAAUUUCUCUUUAAUAUCUCCUCUGUCUCUCUCAUUCUAACCACCAAUCAAACUUGAUGGGUGGUUAAAAAGUUAGGAGUAUAAGGGCUGUUGUGCUCCUAAUAGCACAGUAGUCCUGCUCUAUAUAUAUAUAUACUAGCUGAGUGUACGUGCAAAUACACGUAACAAUUAUUUUAAUUUAUUUUAAAUCAAUAUAAAUUUGCACAUUAUAUUUAUUUAAAAAUUUAUUAAUUUAUUAAUUCAUAUGUUAUAUUUUAUUAGAAAAUAUUUGUAAUAUUCUAUAUUUUUUUACAUAUAUUAAAUAUUUAUAUAUAUUUUUUGAUUUCUGAUGAUCUAAAAUUUAAAUAUGUGUUUUAAACAAAAAGCAUCAAAAUUUAAUUCAUAUUUAUUUCAAAAUUUAAAAUUUAAUUUUUAUCCACUAUAAUUAAAAUUUUGGAUAAGAAUGCUAUUUUAUUAGCAAAUUAUCAUUUGAAAUCCACUAUCAUCACAUUUCUCACACACUUUUUCAUAUGUCCAAAUCAAGGCUUAUAUAUAGAGUGAAAAGUAAUGAGCAGUGUCUUUUCAAAUAUGAAAAAAAGCAAAUUAUCUUUUGAAAUCAAAUAACUACCUUUAUUAUGAAAGUAUGUGUCCUUUUAUUAGCAACUAAAAUUUUGAAUUAAUUAAAUAAAUAUUUCUGCAUUCAGACCUUUAUUAAUUUUGCAUGAGAAAGACAAGUUGAGAUGACGAUGAUGGCACAGAGUGGAAACAAAGAAGAAGAAAGAACGGAGGACGGGAAGAGAGGGAGAUUAAAAUUAUAGUGGAAGAUAGGGCGGAGGAUUUAAUUCAUUUUUUUAAAAAAUUAAUUUCAAUUGUAAAAAAUAGUAAAAGUAUAUGAAAAUCCUACCAACUGUCAUGAAAUUAUUAAAAUAAAUUAACAAUUUGAUCCAAAAGUGACGUAAGAUUAUUGAGAGAAAACUAAAACUAACAUAACAAAUAAUUCUUUAACUCGAAAAGGCACGACAAUAAAUAUUCAUAAACGAAAUCAACUUUUGAACAUUUAUUUUCAAAGUAAAUGCAUUAUAAUAAUGUUAUUAAAGUAUGAAUAAUCUUGAUAUAUUGUCACGCCCCGGAUUACACUUUCCCCGGGCACGCCGACAAAUCCGCCGUAUACAAAGGAAUUUCCCCUGUAUACGAAGCGUUAGCUGUACCUGUAAAUCAAACACUACUACGAACAGUAGUAGAGAGCUGCUAGAGAAAACAGAAGCUAAACAAACUGAGUUUCAUAUACAUAGUCCAUAUCCAAAAUACAAAGCUACUCGCACUGGCGAGUUAAGUCCACUAUGUACAUAAACUCGAAACAAAACAUCUACCUGCAGUAGGGUGCCUCUAACUCUGCACGUCGGGUAGGGCUCUAACUCGCGACGCCCUUGCCUCGAUCCUGAUCCGCGGAAGGCGCAGUAGCCGAAACCUGUGGCUCUGCAAAACAUAGGUAACAACUGGGCGUGAGAACUACUGUAAAAACAAGUAGUCCUCAGUGGGUACCGCCCAAAACGACAUCGGUCACCCACUAAGUCUACAGAAGGGAGCAAGGAUAGAAGGAAAAGCAGGAAGUACACUCUAUCGCUAUCAUCCACUACACUAUCAUGCUCUACAUUAACCGACUGUAGGAAAUGUCAAAUCUGACCCAAUCCAAUUGGGACUGUAAACAUACCCGUCCCUGGGACUGUGAACACACCCGUCCCUGCCCCGUUGCGACUAUCAGGCUCUAUCCACACUAGCUGGUCCGUGGAGAGCAAGUCCAACUGGCAUGAGCGACACCAACGCAAAAGCACCGCGCCCGCCUCCGGAGUGGCACUCGUGGGAGCUACCCAACCGAGUAUGCAGCGUAUCUCUGUCGAGCUCAAACAGGCUCUCUAACUCAAGCCGAAGUCCAGUAACAACUCUGACUAGUCUAAAUACAACAAACAACGUGCCCUCGGCACAAUCCGACGCCAAAACGGCGAACCGGGCCCACCGUCAGUCCCGACGGCGCCCACUAGUACGAAACAGUCUAAACGACCUCAGAAAAAUUCACUCGGCAUACCAGCACGAGCGUAAAUGUAUUCUAAACUACCUGGAGUACUCGUCUACAGUAUGCUGCGACAGUACAAUUCUAUAACGGCUCCUAGAGCUAAAUCAGGCAGUUUAAUACAUAUGUCGAUUCCAAUCGCGUUUUCUCCUAAGUUUAAACCCAGUCCAACAUGUAUAUUUAAAAGGUAAUAAUCAUGUUAUAUAUGCAGCAUUUAUCCAGGAUAUCAUUAUGAAAAACGAACUACAACAUGAUUUACCGAACAGAAAAUCAUACAUGUCGACUAUUACUACACUUAGGAAUAAACCGAUGUAAACCCACCUUAGUCGCUAAUUCUGGCAGCAAAACACCCUCACAGCUGCAGCACCACCUGCUGGUCGAUCUACACCCUCCAAAUCCGGGAGUCGAGCUAACACCACGCUCUACAAAGCACAAAUCACCGUUUCAGUCCCAAAAUUCGCAACAGUCAGGUACAGCACGGAUUCGACCAAUCUAACCUCAACGAAAUCUGGCAAGUAAGGGCUUCGUGGAUUCCUCUCGAAGUCCUGAAUCCAGCGAAUCAAGCCUCGUCGAAAUCCGACGCUCCUACGUCGAGUACGAGCCGAAACGCCAACGGUCGACGCUGGAAAUCUGCAGGGACAGCAACUAGCUCGAAAUUGAAAAAGCUUGGAAAUUAGGAAGCAAUUCUAUGGAACACCCACCUCGACGGCGACUAGCACUGGCGCGACGUCAAGAACGGCGAAGAUCCACGCUCGCCCGGCCUCCUCACGAUGCAACGGCAGCAACCGUAGGUUCGAACGGCUCUGCGGUGCGACGUCGACGGCGAAAUCGGCUCCGCGGCGGCGUCCCUCGCGUGCUUCCUUGGUACGGCCGAACGAAAGAGAAAAGGAGAGAAGAGAGGAGAUAAACUCCUCUCUCUCUCUUCCCUGCAUGCAUAAAAGAGGGGGGGGAGGUGAUGCCACAUGGCAUUACACAUACUCACACAUGUGCACUCACACACACACACACACGUACCCUCACACACACACUUAUAUAUAUAUACUAAGUGUAGGGAUACUAGUAUACUACAUCCUCCCCCACUACAAAAAGUUUCGUCCGCGAAACUGAACGUACCUCUACUCAAGCAUCAAACAAGUAGGGAUAGGCUUCCCUCAUCACCGUCUCAGACUCCCAAGUCGCCUCCCGCUCAUCAUGAUUACUCCACUGCACUUUCACAUACGGGAUGACCCGGUUGCGCAAUUCUUUCGUCUCCCGAGCAAGAAUCCGCAACGGUCGCUCCUCGUAUCUCAGAUCCUCGCCAAUCUCAAGUGGAGUGAAGUCAAUCACGUGAGAGGGAUCGAAAACGUAUCUCCUCAAUGCUGAGACGUGGAAAACAUCAUGGAUGCCAGCAAGUCGCGGGGGUAGAGCUAUCCUGUAAGCCACCGGUCCGAUACGCUCCAAUACCUCGAAAGGGCCAACAAACCGUGGACUAAGCUUUCCACGUACUCCAAAUCUGCGUAUCCCUCGGGACGGCGAGACUUUGAGGAAAACAUGAUCUCCAACCUGAAACUCCAAGUCUCGUCUCCUGGUAUCGGCGUAGCUCCUCUGUCGGCUCUGUGCUGUCAAAAGGUGUCGUCGAACGACUCUCACCUUUUCCUCAGCCUCAAGUAGAAUCUCCGGUCCAAGUGUCCUCCGCUCACCCACAUCACUCCAAAACAGGGGGGAUCGACAUCUGCGUCCAUACAACGCCUCAAACGGAGCCAUCUGAAUGCUCGUUUGAUAGCUGUUGUUGUACGCAAACUCAACCAGUCUCACAUGUCGAUACCACCCUCCUCCAAAAUCCAGGACGCAUGCCCUCAGCAUGUCCUCUAGAGUCUGUAUGGUCCGCUCUGACUGACCAUCUGUCUGUGGGUGGAACGCCGUGCUAAAAUGCAGCUGUGUACCCAAGGCUGUCUGCAAACUCCUCCAAAACUGGGAUACAAACCUCGGGUCUCUGUCUGAUACAAUCGACACUGGCACGCCGUGCAGCCUAACAAUCUCAUCCAAGUAUAGCUGCGCAAGUCUCUCCCUGGACCAGGUAGUCUGAACCGGUAGGAAGUGAGCAGACUUGGUCAGUCUGUCCACUAUCACCCAAAUCGCGUCGUAGCCACCCUGCGCUCUAGGCAAUCCAACGACGAAGUCCAUCGUGAUGUGCUCCCACUUCCACUCGGGAACUGGCAGACUCUGAAGCUUGCCAGCAGGCACCUGAUGCUCGGCCUUCACCUGUUGGCAAGUCAAACACUGAGCCACAUAUCUGCCAAUGUCCCGCUUCAUUCCAGGCCACCAGAAUCGUGCCUUAAGAUCCUUAUACAUCUUGGUUCCCCCAGGAUGAACCGUAUAAGGGGAACAAUGAGCCUCUCUCAGAAUAUCCGCUCGAAUCUCCGGAUCCACAGGCACACACAGUCGGUCCCUGUACCGUAGUACUCCCGAACUGUCCAAAGCAAAACCCUCAGCCUGCCCCCUGUCUAGCUGCUCUCUAAUCCUCAACAAGUACGGAUCUCCACUCUGUUUCUCUCGGAUCCUAUCCAACAGAGUGGGCUGUAAAACUAGAGACGUCAGCCUCGCCGUAGACCCAGGGGGUACUAUCUCGAGUCCCAGCCGCUGUAGCUCCUCGAGUAGGGGUCUCUGCUCAGUAAUCCUCAAACUCAGGCUCUGCACUGACUUCCUGCUCAACGCAUCUGCCACCACAUUCGCCCUGCCGGGAUGAUACUGAAUACUAAUGUCAUAGUCCUUCAGUAACUCCAACCACCGGCGCUGCCUCAGAUUCAGCUCCCUCUGUGUGAACAGAUACUUGAGACUUUGAUGAUCGGUGAAAACCUCGCAGUGCUCGCCGUACAAGUAAUGCCGCCAGAGCUUCAAAGCAAAAACCACCGCGGCAAGCUCCAAGUCAUGCGUAGGGUAAUUCUUCUCAUAAUCCUUUAACUGCCGUGAAGCAUAAGCAAUCACCCUACCAUGCUGCAUCAGCACGCAACCAAGUCCACUGUGCGAUGCAUCACUGUAGAUCACAAAUCCUUCGCCCAUAACAGGAAGGGCAAGGAUAGGAGCCGACAUCAACCUCAAUCUCAACUCGUCAAAGCUCCUCUGACAGUCGUCGCUCCAGACAAAACGAAUCCCCUUCCGCGUCAAGCGUGUGAGGGGUGUGGAAAGCUUCGCAAAGCCUUCCACAAACCGACGGUAAUAUCCUGCCAGUCCCAGGAAGCUCCGUACCUCAGUAACCGUCGUCGGUCUAGGCCAAUCUCGAAUCGCCUCAAUCUUCUUCGGGUCCACUGCUACGCCCUCAGCUGAAAUCACGUGGCCCAAGAAAGCAACCUCCCGUAGCCAGAACUCGCACUUCUUUAACUUGGCAUACAACUUCUUCUCGCGCAGAAGCUGUAGCACAAUCCUCAAGUGCUCCUCAUGCUCAGCAUCACUCCGGGAGUAAAUCAGGAUAUCGUCGAUGAAGACUACCACAAACCUAUCCAAGAACGGCUUGAACACUCUGUUCAUCAAAUCCAUGAAUGCGGCAGGGGCAUUCGUCAAUCCAAAAGGCAUCACCGUGAACUCAUAAUGCCCGUACCGAGUCCGAAAAGCCGUCUUGGGAACAUCCUCGGCCCUCACCCUCAGCUGGUGGUAACCUGACUGGAGAUCAAUCUUCGAAAAGACACAAGAUCCUUGCAGCUGAUCGAAUAGAUCAUCAAUGCGCGGCAGAGGAUACUUGUUCUUGAUGGUCACUUUAUUCAGCUCCCGGUAAUCCACACAUAACCUGAGCGAACCAUCCUUCUUCUUUACAAAUAACACCGGCGCUCCCCAAGGCGACACACUGGGUCUCACAAACCCUCUAUCCAUCAGAUCCUGAAGUUGCGCCUUUAGCUCUCUCAGCUCUGCCGGUGCCAUCCUGUAAGGUACCUUUGAGAUUGGUGCAGUUCCAGGAACUACAUCAAUCACAAACUCAAUCUCCCUCUCCGGCGGCAAUGUCGUCAACUCAGGGGGAAACACAUCCGAAAACUCGCGGACUACUGGGAUGUCCUCGAGUCUCGGCGCCGCCGUAGGUACCUCCACAACUGUCGCUAGGAAAGCGAUACACCCACUGCUCAGCAUCUGUCGAGCCCUCGCCGAAGAUAUCCAGGUGGCAAACAGCGUGCUCCUGCAGCCUCUGAAAGUAAACUCCUCCUGGCCUGGCUCGCGGAACGUCACCGUCCUCGCUCCACAGUCGAUCGUAGCAUAGUACCGCGCCAGCCAAUCCAUACCGAGCACUACGUCGAAGUCCUGCAGCUGCCCUAACACCAACAGGUCUGCGGGCAUGAUCCAAGAGUCUAACUGCACCGGACAGGACCAACAACACUCUGUAACCUGCAAGACAUGGUCGGGGAUCUGCACCUCUCGUGCCUGAGACAACGCUCCUAACUCUAGACCAUGCAACAAUGCAAAUGCUCGGCUAACAAAGGAAUGCGAUGCACCGGUAUCAAAAAGAGUGCGAACUCUAAUGCCAGAAAUCAAAGUGAUACCUGCCACCACUCGGUCGGCUGCUGAAGAGUCCUCCACCUGAGCUGCAUAGACCCUGCCACUCGGAGCCUGCUGUCGCCGCUCACUCGACCGCGGCACAGACGAUCUGUCCUCCUGGCGGUAGCUCGGUGCUGCUCCGUAAGACUGCUGUGGUGCUGGUGGUGCCGAAGCUGAUGACGGUGCUGGAGAUGCUGCUCGGGGACAAGCUGCCCUCAUGUGUCCCGGCUGACCACAUCCGUAGCACCUGCCCUCUCUCUGCUCGCACUGCCGAGGCCAGUGUGGUCCCCCGCAGAUCACACACUGUGGCGUCCUCUGAGUCUGCCCCUGCUGACGGGAUCCCCUGGAACGCUGACGCCCCGAAGACCCACGACCCUGAGAACGUGAUCGUGGAGGUCUCGGCGGACGUCUGCUGCUCGACUGCCCUCCGUCAUCUGGAAAGGGGCGCUUCCUGUCCUGACCCUGCCCCACGGCCUGAGUCCUCUCCUGCAGCGACACCUCACCUCUCUCCACCCAUAGGGCCUGCUCUAUGGACGCAUCCAGGGUCCUCGACCUCUGCGCCCGCACUAACCUGAAGAUGUCCGGUCUCAGCCCCUGCUCGAACAUGUAUACUCUGUGCGCCUCGUCUCUGGCCGCAAAUGGUACACAGUUCAGGAGUCGAGUAAACUCCCGAACGUACUCCUGCACUGGGCGAUCUCCCUGCUGAAGCCUCCUCAAAUCCUCCUCGAGCUUCUGCUUCACACUGUUGGGAAAGAACAUCCCAAACAGCAUUCCACAGAACUCGUCCCAACUCAGCUGCGCCGCCACUAGCCCCUGGUCUCGCCUCGUCCUCCGCCACCAGUCAUGAGCAUCACCUGCUAGACAGUGUACUCCCAGGGGUACCUGCUCCCCCUCUGGAACGAACAGAUCCUCGAAUAACUUCUCCAUCGCACUGACCCAUCCCUCAACAAUCCAGGCCUCAGUGCCUCUGCCAUCGAAGAUCGGUGGAUCAAAUCGGCGAAAACGAGCUAACCUCUCCGUCCACCGCUCCUGCUCGGCCUCAGUCAACGGUACUGGCCCCCUAGCAGGCGCAACUGGCGCUACUGGAACUGCUGCCGAUGGAGGAACUGCUGCAGCUGGUGCUGUCACUGGAGUAGUCGGGGGUGGAACUGGCGACUCUGGUGCCCUCGGUACAGAACUCGGUGGCUGAGCUAUCCUCUCACACAACCUCUGCAAUAGCUCCCCCUGCUGUCUCGUCACCUCGGUCAGGGCAGCUAACUGUGCACUCAGAUCAGGGGGUGCGCUAGUCUCUGGUCGCGCACUCGGCUCCACAACAGGGGGUACACUCGCCCCCAGUCUGUCACCCUGCUCCUGCCGAGUACUCUGCUCCAUCUGCUCAGAUCUCUCAGAAGGUCCAGCAUGAUCCCGCGCCAACUGGGCGCGCUCCCGCAACGACGGUCGACCCCGGCGACGAUACAUAGCUGAAAGGAACAAUUCGGGGUCAGAUACAACAAAACACUCUCGACCCAAUCAAACGAAAGUCUAGAAGGCGGUCCCUGUUUCCCUCCAAAAUUAUGUCGUCUGCAGCCAACAUAAUUUCUCAGGCCGAAACAGAAACUCCUUCAGUCACUCACUCUGCUCUAAGAGGAGUUAGAACAAAUAAUCAUUGACUUUCGCAAUAAAAUUACGCCUCUCACGUCUUGCUUCCCUAAGGUUUGCCAAACUUAGGUUUCCUAGGUCCCCACGACCUACAGCAAAGCUCUGAUACCAACUUAAUCUGUCACGCCCCGGAUUACACUUUCCCCGGGCACGCCGACAAAUCCGCCGUAUACAAAGGAAUUUUCCCUGUAUACGAAGCGAUAGCUGUACCUGUAAAUCAAACACUACUACGAACAGUAGUAGAGAGCUGCUAGAGAAAACAGAAGCUAAACAAACUGAGUUUCAUAUACAUAGUCCAAAUCCAAAAUACAAAGCUACUCGCACUGGCGAGUUAAGUCCACUAUGUACAUAAACUCGAAACAAAACAUCUACCUGCAGUAGGGGCACCUCUAGCUCAGCACGUCGGGUAGGGCUCUAACUCGCGACGCCCUUACCUCGAUCCUGAUCCGCGGAAGGCGCAGCAGCCGAAACCUGUGGCUCUGCAAAACGGGGGUAACAACUGGGCGUGAGAACUACUAUAAAAACAAGUAGUCCUCAGUGGGUACCGCCCAAAACAACAUCGGUCCACCCACUAAGUCUACAGGAGGGAGCAAGAAUAGUAGGAAAAGCAGGAAACAAACUCAACCGCUACAAAUCACUAUACUAUCAUGCUCUACACUAACCAACUGUAGGAAAUGUCAAAUCUGACCCAAUCCAAUCGGGACUGUAGACAUACCCGUCCCUGGGACUGUGAACACACCCGUCCCUGCCCCGUUGCGACUAUCGGGCUCUAUCCACACUAACUGGUCCGUGGAGAGCAAGUCCAACUGGCAUGAGCGACACCAACGCAAAAGCACAAGCCUGACUCCGGAGUGGCACUCGUGGGCGCUACCCAACCGAGUAUGCAGCGUAUCUCUGUCGAGCUCAAUCAGGCUCCAACUAGCCAAAGUCAAGUAAUCGACUUAAACUGGUCUAACAACCAACAGGUAACGUGCCCUCGGCACAAUCUGACGCCAAAAAGGCGAUACGGUCCACCGUCAACUCUGACGGCACCCAACAGUCCGAAACGGCCUGAACGACCCUGCAAAAAUUCACUCGGCGAAC